rnacentral:lncRNA from 1 species
AAAAAAAAAAAAAAAAAACUCUCCCUCGGAACAAGAAUUAAAGCAAAGCACAAAGGUACACCACAUGCAGCAAAAGGUACCAUCCCGGUGAUGAAAGAUUGAGAGCGAGUCCUCAAAUUAUCCGAAGCGCUAAAAUUUUUGUGACUACCAAAGCUUAAAAGUGUCCACUAAACAAAUCACUCGACCUCCUCUUACGCGGUCGUUUUUUCAUGCCCAGCCCAACAAAAAUGCAAAUUCCUCGAACUUCUUACGUCGUCGUUUUCAACGUCUUCUAAAACUAAAGGGCAAAAAAAUAAAAUGAAAUAAAAAAGAGUUAAAAGCAAUCGAAAUUCACAAAGAGGGAAUUCAUUUGAGUGACCAGUAAUACUCCACAAAAGCUAGAGAGAGAAACUGAGCAGUGCUGAGGGGGGGAGAGAAACAGAGAGAGAGAGAGGGAGAGAGAAUUCCACAUUCUCAAUCUCUCAUUAUUGUUUCUUUUAUUUAACUUCAUUUGUGAAUUUUUGAUUCGAAUUUGUAAAUUAUUGGUGUAAAUUAGAACUGGAUUGGAUGGCGGAGCAGAAAGGAAGGUGGAACUGGGAGGUGACGGGGUUUGAGCCGCCGAGGAAGUCACCGGAGCGGGAGGAUCAUUAUCAGAGACCUCCGCUGUUGGCUCGGAGGUACUCGAUUUCUACGUCUUCAUUUUCGACGCAUUCUGAGCUCUCCAAGCAUGCUCUCAGCUCCAAGCUUUUCAAACUGAAGGAUAAAGUCGAGGUCUCACUUUUUUAGUUCAACUUUUUUUGUUUUCGGUUGUUUUUCACGUUCAAUAAUGGAUGAAGAUUAUGCGAGUUUUAAUGCUUUUAUGACGAUUUGCGGCAAUGUACUUGGAAAUUUGUGAUUUUGUUGCUGUUUUUGUCCAUCUAGUGAGUUGUUGUGUUGACAAAUUAGUAGUUAACUCCGUUAUGCUAGUAGUUAUUUCUAGGAGUUCUUGUACCAAAGAUGCGUUUUUUUUUUUUGGGCUAAUUUGGAGGAGAAGUCGUUGAGAAUAGAGGUUUUCAGUUUGUAGCAAGAAAUUGAUUAUCUUUUUGAUAACAGUGAGGAAAAUAAAACUUGUUAGUGGUGGUUUGAUACUGAACAGUGUGUGGGCAUAUAGGAUUUGACAACGUUAUUAGAAUUCUUUCUUAUUGAGAUGAAGUGUAGGGUGACGAUUAUCCCAAACAGUGAUGGGGCAACUGGGGAAGAUUUUAGAGUUCUCUUUAAGGCGCCAAAAUGACGAACUUUACCUGGUUUUAGUUGUGAAUUUUAGUUUCAGCAUGGCUGCAGUAGGCAGCUGGAGAUAGUUUAGAUGCAAAGGGACUGAGGCAACUGCUUGUGAAAUACUUUUACUAUUUUUGUUUCAUGUAAUUUUCAUAGCAAUGGCUGUAGCCCUGGUAGUCUUAGUAAAGAAUUAUAGUACGAGCAACCUUGUAUAGCAAUAUUGCAUUAUCAAAACUGGCUGGAGAUUGUAUACUUGGGAAUAGCAGUCACUGGGGAGUUGUAAUUCUUUUUUUGCCUUAUCUAUUUUGGCUUUCAUUUAAUGCUUAAAGGUUGUUGUGAGCUGGGGGUGUCCCAUUUGUAGAUAGUUGCUGCUGAAUUUUGCAGGAUUGGAUGGUUGCCACCUCACUUCAAUAUGCGAUUGUUCAUGGUUAAGCCAUGAGAUGAUCUUGGCGGUGGCAUAUACUUUUUCGGUUAGUUGAAAGGACUGCAAUGUUUUUAAUAACCAUUUCAAGAAAAAAUUUGGCAAAAGUUGCUGUAUGGUCAGAAGACAUUAUUUUUCAAUCUGGACAUGAGUCAGAUCUGGCAAAGUUCUACUUGAAAUGUAAUUGAUCUUCAUUGUGGUAUUUGUUCCAGCAGCAAUCUUUAAUCUAUUUCCUUGCUGGGUGACAUAACACAGCGCAUCUCUUAUACUAUAGAGAAUCUGCACUCCAAAUUAAAUUGAAUGGCCCACUCAUUAGGAAGAUUACAACUAUAUGGAUAUUCCCUCUCUUUUAGAUUUCUGGCGGGUGUUGGAUAUAUCAUAUAUGUAAAGAAUCUAACCAAAGAAAGGGAGAGGGAAGAAAUUGCUAAAAUGUACUGCAGUUCCUAUAAGAAAAAUACUUUAUUAAUAAUAGAAUUUGGUACUAAAUUCUGAACUUCUUAAAGGGCAAUGCUGUGUUGCAGGAUUGACAUUCUCUUCAAUUUUUUUUUUAGAUAUAGUUGAACAUUCAAAGCUUGGCAUGGUAAAUAUGGUGAAAAGCAUGCAUGGGUCCUUUCACAAUAGAAAUUUCUGUUCUAAUUGAUUUGCUGGAGUGAUAGCUCAAGCAAGGAUUGCAAAUAUCAGAAAACUCCAACAAGAAGAAAUAGGAAUACCUUUGCACUACUGUAGUUUCAGCUAAGUGAUUCCAUAAUACAUUCAGUCUAGUAUUCUUAAAGAAUGGAAAGCCAAGAUCACAGACAAGUCCAUACCACUGAUAAUGAACCAGUAAACAUUGGUUAUUAUUGUGUAAUUUUGCAGUUGAUACGAUACACACUCCACUGAUGCAUUAUUGAGAGAUAUAGAUGUUCUCAGCCUAAUAACUUUAGACAAUUGUUGUUAGUCUUUUUGAUCAUUAUGUCUCAUCAACAGAUUUUUUUUCCCUUUCUUCUUCUUGAACUUGAAUGAGGCUAAACUAUACCUUACACCAUGAAAAGACUUGUAAAAAAGAAUAGAAGGGUGUGGUGAAGGAGUUUGCCCAUGGUGGAAUAGAUGAGUUUGUGACAUUUCAUUUACUUUUAAUGCUUAAAAUCUAUAAGGUCAUACAUAUCAUCUCUAUUUUACUGUGUCACACACAAAGAUGAGAGAAGAGGUUAUUGACCUGGAACAAUAGUUUUUAAUCAUUUUUGUCCAACCCUAGUAGCUGUCGAGAAAAUCAACUAAGUCUGUACAUACUAGAGAAAAUCAACUUCCUCUUGAGGAAGUUGAAUAUAAGUUGUUGGGCAGUAAUGGUUGUGUUGGAAGUCAAAUCAUCUAACCUGCUAUAAGCUUUUGAUGACUUGUUUGCAGAAACAACAAAUGGAGAAUUUUUAUGACUGGUGAGAAAGGAAAUUCAAAGUAGGAAAAUCAUACUUCGUUUUUGUUCAUAGAAAAACUAUAGCAAAUUAUAACAGAGAAAUUCAGAACAAAUUAUAACACAUUGCCAGGUAGGCAUGAGUUAUAUGAUUUUUUUUCUGUCAAUUUGCCUUAUCUAGUUCUCUAUAAUUGGAAAUUUAGGCUAUAAUGGCAAUAUCUAUUUCUUGCAAUCUUUGCUUAUUUUCCUUUCAGCAAAGAAUUUUACUUUUUCUGUGGUUGCAAAAGAAUAAAAUAGUUUAGAUCUGCUUUACAAUGUAGACCAUAUUUGAAGCUUGGCAGAAGGAAAAAUAUAAGUAGCUCUCUCCUUUGCAAUAUCAACUUUACCAAUUGGAGUUUUAGUAUGCAUUCAGCUGGAGUUCGACUUGGCAAGACCUGUUAAUAUUAAGCCAGUAAUUUAUGGCAUGCAUUGAUGUGGACUAGUACGGACAUUCUAGUUUGUAAUAUUUUGGAAUUCUGGUUUUUUCUCUUUGUUGGCAUUCAAAACAGCAUUAAAGACUCUAAGCUAAUGCUAGUGUCUGUUACUGCUGUUGAGGAAGUAAUAUACCUUCUGUCAGGCUUGGAAUUUAGUUAAUGAAGUGCAUGUUUGAAACAAUUAUUGGCCUAUCUGUGAUGUUCUAAAAUCUUGCAUUUCUGAUUGUGUUGUUUCAGCUUGAAUAUGUUGUUGGCUUCUGCUAAUAUUCUAAUACUUUCUGUUGGCAAUCUACAUAAACAUUUUUGAGCAGCAUGUGAGAGAGGAUUACAUGGAGCUUAGACAAGAAGCCGUUGAUCUUCAAGAGUACUCAAAUGCAAAAAUGGAUCGCUUGAUGCGAUAUCUAGGUGUACUUGCUGAUAAAACUCGUAAACUAGGUAAAUGGUUAUUCAUAGGCUUUGGCAGGUCUUGUUUCAUCUGAUUGCAUAUUUUCUACAUCAGAGCUGUAGCUUAUCCAUUCUUGUUUGCCUGCAUAUCUUCGUGGGUGAUUUGGUUUCUUAAUCAUGAAUUAUUUUCAGAUCAGGCUGCGGUUGAAAUGGAAGCUAGAAUGUCUCCUCUGAUAUAUGAGAAGAAAAAAUUGUUUAAUGACUUAUUGACUGCUAAAGGUAGGAUUUUGAGUGGCCUCUGGACUCCUUUUGUCACUGACGCCUAUGCACAAAAUCAGGGGAAGAUGGGCGAAAAUGAUAAAUACAGAGAGAGUGGCACAAACAUGCACACGCGUGCACAAACAAUUUCGUCCCCUGUGGGUACAUAUGAACAACAAAAAAAGCGAAAAAUGGGAAAAAGACAGAAAAUGAGAGAAGUGUUUUACUAAAUUGAUGUGAGAUUUGGGCUGGAUGUACUGUUUCAGGAAGCAUUAAGGUAUUUUGUCGUGCAGACUCCUUUUUGAGAUAGACAGGCAAACAGAGAGAGAGAGAGAGAGAGAGAGAUGUCAUUAUUCACAAACAAUUCAUUCCCUGUGGGCACACAUGCACAAAAAAUGGGAACAAGAAAUAUAAUAGGACGAAUAUUUUACUAAAUUGAUGUGAGAUUUAGGCUGGAUGUACUGUUUCAGGAAGCAUUAAGGUAUAUUGUCGUGCAAGACCACUUUUUGAAGAUGAAGGUCCAUCAGUUGUUGAGUUUCCGGAUGACUGUACUGUUCGUGUCAAUACUGGUGAUGAUAACGUCUCCAAUCCAAAGAAGGAUUUUGAGUUUGACAGGGUUUAUGGUCCUCAUGUUGCACAAGGUAGUGGACCUUAUUACUAGCUUUUAUUUGUUUUCGUCUAACACUCUGGAAUGUUAAGUCACUGUGAUGUUCCUUUCUGCAGCUGAACUUUUCGCUGAUGUUCAGCCAUUUGUGCAGUCGGCAUUUGAUGGGUAUAAUGUUUCUAUAUUUGCUUAUGGACAAACGCAGUCAGGAAAGACACAUACUAUGGUCUCUCUCUCUCUCUCUCUCUCUGUGUAGGGUAUUGCAGUUAUGUCUCACCCUGUGUUUUUUUUUUAAAUCUCGGGUUAACGGGUUCUUCAUCCAUACAUGGUACACAUCAUCAUUAAAUUGCUUUGACUUGUAAAUAAUUCUAUAAGGACACUUUCUUGAUUAAGCAUACUGUUGUAUGCUUAUGUUGAACAAACAUGACCGCAUAAAGAUGUUUGUAACCUGAUGUUUUUGUGCUGAAAAGCACUACCUGGGGGGUUAAUACUAUGAUGAACUGCUUUCUGAUUGCAAGGUCUUGUCCGCAGGAAGGAUCUAGCCAUGAUCGUGGCCUAUAUGCUCGAUGCUUUGAGGAGCUGUUUGAUUUAUCCAACUCAGAUACAACUUCUACCUCAAAAUUUAAUUUCUCUCUCACGGCUUUUGGGCUUUUCAAUGAACAGGUUCCUUGACCAUUCUGGAUUGCUUAUUUUAAAUAUUGACUUCUAUUUAGCAAUACUUGACAUUCAGUAACCAUUAUUCUGUAGAUUAGAGAUUUGCUUUUGGAAUCUCAGAGUGGUCUUCCAAAGAUCCAGAUGGGCUCCACAGAUUAUGUUGCUGAACUUGUGCAGGAAAAAGUUGAGAAUCCAAUUGAUUUCACCCGAGUCCUCAAAGUGGCAUUGCAGAACCGAGGAACCGAUGUAUUAAAGUUUAACGUCUCUCAUCUGUAUGGUCUAGCUUCAAAUUUGUGAUAGUUCUAUUUCCCUACCAAUGCAUGCUCCUUUUAUGGCUUGAUUUUUUUACUCACCAUGGUCUUCCCCUUGCUACCCUUUUUUUGAAAAAAGAAAAAAAAAAAAUCAAAGAUCAUCUUGAAUGAUUUGUUAAAAGCCAUCAAUUCUCUUUUGGCAUAAAUUAUGGAAAUCCUGGAACGAUUAGUGACCAAUGAUUAAAUAUGCACUUUAAGACGCUUUUACUAUUGAAGGAACAGCACAAAAUUGAUACAUUGGGUAUUGUUGCUUGAUUUCUAUGUAAUUCUUUGACAUCUGGUAGUUAGGGCAGGUCUAGGAGCCAAAACUCUCCACUUUUAAGUGGCUAGGGGUAUGGGAGUGGUUGUUGGUCUCUGCAUCAGGGCUGAUUUUCCUCAUUUUAUCUGUAUGUAGAAAUAUUUAACAUUUAAGUUGUACAAGUAACGGUUUCACUCUAUUUGUUGCAUGUUUGUGUUAAUAUAUGCUUUCUCGUUAUUUUAUGUUGUUUUUCAUUUUGAGUUAAAAGUUUUUCAGUUCAAAUUUGGCAUUAGAUCUUCAGAAUUUUUUUUUUUAUAUUUGACUCACAUUUGGAAAUAUUAAAUAAUCAUAUCAAAUAUUCAAAACUGUGAUGGUAUCUAGCAACCAAAACUCAGGGGUUGUUGUCAACUCUGAGUGCUUUUUUUUUUCCCUUUGGGAGGGGGGGUUGUCUAAGUGGUGUCACGCACUUUACUAGUAGGGAAAGGGAUUCAAGAAGGCUCCCUGCCCAUUAUCAUCCCUUCUGAUGAGUAAUUGGUCAGCAGCAAUAACGUGUUACUCAACCAGGAUUCGUUUAUUUCUCCACUUAGACAGUACUUUUGGAAUAUGGUAUGUUAGGGUCCAAUUUCCUUCUACUGAUAAUCCUGAGGUAUUUUGAACAUUUUCCUUGAUAUGUUGACUAAAUCAUUCCCUUUUUGCUUCUUAAGUAAUGAUUAAGUGUAGCACUCUUUGACUGGCCUGAAGAAACUUCUUGGACUUACAAAAAGCUGUCUUUCGAUCCUUAUGCAAUUUUGUUGCUGUAUUUGAUGUAUGAAUUACGUGGGGCUUCAGGAAACAUCUAUGUUCAGUUGUAUUCUACUGUCUAGCUUUCUCUUGAGAAUUCUCAUUUCCUUCCUCAGGGUCAUCACUGUGCAUAUAUAUUAUGACAACUUGAUUACGGGUGAGAACUUAUAUAGCAAGCUUUCUCUUGUUGAUUUGGCUGGAAGUGCAAGUUCCAAUGUUGAAGAUGAUAGUGGAGAACGUGUGACAGACCUGCUGCAUGCCAUGAAAUCACUCUCCGCGUAUGUACUUCGUAUAUUUAGUUGCCUUGUUUUCAGCAUAACCUCAUUGUUUCAAUUCUCCCUUGUGAAAGAACAUCUAACGUGCAACCUUGCUGCUUAUCAACUCUGCCAUGUAUGGAUCAAACUAAAAUCAAUGUUUUACAUUAUACUUUCAAAAUUUUGAUGUCCUAAACUAAUUCCUGCAUUCACUAUCUUUAGUUGUAACUAGCUCCUUCUCUCCUUUUUGUUGUUUGUAUGUUGUCUGGUGAACAAGUGCACAUUUCAUGGUAACUUAAUUCUUAGGUUGAGUUCUUUUCAGUGUCUGCAUGUAUUGUUGGUCACUGGGUUAGGCAGGACUCUUGAUAACUGGUGAUUGUUCUGUUUGGUGCUUGAGAUAACAAAGACUGUUGUUAGUUAGCGUAUGUAUUAUUUCUUACAGAGCAGAGGGUUUAUUGGUUGUUACCAUAAAUUUAUUUUUUCUAGGAAAACUGACGCAUUUCAGCUUUUCUUAUGCUUGUCCUUGUUUGUGCAGUUUGGGAGAUGUUUUGGCUUCUUUAACAUCCAAUAAGGAAACAGUUCCUUAUGGAAAUUCAGUGCUCACAAAAUUACUUGCAGAUUCACUAGGUAUUUUUUCUCUUUUGUAUAAUACAUUUGCUUGUAGCAAAGUCCUUAUUUGGCACAACUGAUAAGCCUGGGCUGGUAAACAGCUGUUCUAGUUGAAUUUGGCAGGGUAUAGAUUGCAUCUCAGAAAAAGUAAGCAGAAUACAAUCUGUUCACUUAUGAGCAAAAAGAAUGUUGUAUUUGGAUAACCUCCAUGCCAAUUCAAAACAACUAGCUUCUGACUGUACCAAUGGCAAAUGGUAAUCUCUGUUGCCCACUUCUGCCAUCUCCAUUGACCUCUGCCACCAACCCCUAAUUUUAAUUUCCACUCCAGAAAAGGUCCAUGAGGAGAAACUUACUCCAAAAGGCGUAUCUGAAAGCAAGCAUUCUCUUUAUAAUUCAUAUCAUUCAAUUAGAAUUCUUUACAGGGAUAUAGGGUUCCUGCUGCAGACUAGAAGACACCAAUUCUGAGAACUGUUUAAUGACAACCUCAUAAAUGCCACACAACCUGCCUAAGCAUACUUGGAGAACAUAACUGCCCCCCAAAUUGCAUAACUUUUUGAAAUCUCAUCAAACACUUUGCUGGACUGUCUAAAUUUCUGAAAGUUAUUCAGAAGCAUUGCCUAGGUGGAAGAGAUGGGUAAACCAAUAGUAUUCAUACAAGUCAAUCAGAGAGAUGGAGGGAGAAAGGGAGGAUCUUGAAAGAUAUUCCUUUAUCCUGAAUCAUACAGGAAACAUAAACUUGGACGGGAAUUAACAUGGUAUACUGUGAUAUAACACUUGGAUACUCCUGGGACACAAUAUUGAGGUCAGGGAUUAUUGUCUGCAGUCAAACUGUUGAAUAAGAUAUGAUGAUGACGAUUUGUACAAGGCAUGAAUGUGGUAGACGUGUUUUUUCACUACCAUGGGGCUGGUAAUUAUCACAUAUAUAUACAUGAAUGAGUAGCACACCAAACCGCUCGCCAUUCUGGAGCCUUCAAAAAGGAAUAGUAUUAAGAGGCUCAUCUUAGGUGUAGAGGUUGUAGGACACUUAUGAGAAGUACAAAUAUAGGCAGGAAACAGGAAGAGCUCAUGAAGCAGAAAAUGACAUCUAAAGGUAUAUCUGAAGUGUGUAUAUGGAAAAACAUUUCAGAAUGAAUGGAAGAUUUGAUCCAAGUGCUUUUGGGACUUCUACCAUGACAAGCAUUUAAGUGUCACUCCAGUGAUUGUUUCAGAGUCAAGUAGAGCCUUUUGAGAAAAAAUUGCACAAAAUUGCCUAAGUUUGUACCACAUCAUAGCGGAUAAAAUAAUCUGGAGAGUACCUUUUAAUCAUUGUUGUGGAACUAAUUUGGUGAAGAAUUCUCACUGCAUGACAAAAUUGCCUGAUGGAUUUGAAUAUAUAUUAUCAAUAUUUUCUACUUUCUCUUUCUCAUGAUGGUUCUUCCUGGUUGUCCACAAGAGAACCAACAUCACUGUAAAGACACCUUUUUGUUUCUUAACUUUUUUCCACCGAUGUGUCUUGCACAUCUUAAUUAUUCUGCUAAUAUUUGAUAACCUUCUCAGUUACUUGACAAUAUGGAUAUCCAACAUUUUGUUUGUGACUUUUUUUAUUGGUAAUUAAUAAUAAUUUAGAUACUUUGCACAAUUGUACAUUAUAGUUAGCACUUUUGUUUACUGGGCUGCAACAAUGAGUUCUUAUCUGUCUGCCCAUGAAAUAUCAAUGUUAGACCAGCUCUAACUUAUGUUAUGUUGACAAUCUAGGUGGAAGCUCGAAAAGCUUGGUAAUUGUUAACGUCUCUCCAAAUGCUGCAAAUUUGACUGAGACACUGUCAUCCCUUAACUUUGCUGCCAGAGCCCGAAACUCUAUUCUCAGCCUGGGAAAUCGAGAUACGAUUAAGAAAUGGAGGGAUAUUGUAAGACAUCUUCAAAUAUUUUUUUGUUUUCUGAACUGACAAAGUGUUGCUUUUUAACAUUGCUUUAACCAUUUAUUAGUCAUCUUUGAAGAUGGGAGAGGUAGAGAAUGGGAAGGCCUGUAGUUAGAUUUUCAUCUGGUAACCCAACGGGGGAGGGGAGAAAGGGAAAAGGGAAAACCUUUCAUGAUACAAAGACAAGUUUGAUCACUCCAUGCCUAAACAGAAGCAUGACCAUACCAUGAUCUAAUAGUUGUGGUUUGUACAAGAACUGGUAUCAGGAUCACGAUAAUCCAUAUUUAUACAGUUUCUUCUUCUGAUCGCCAAUGUGCAUGCAGGCAAAUGAUGCACGUAAAGAAUUGUAUGAAAAAGAGACGGAGAUCAGCAACUUGAAGCAAGAUGUUUUGGGACUUAAACAAGCUCUAAAACAUGCAAAUGAUCAGUGCGUCCUUCUUUUUAAUGAAGUUCAGAAAGCUUGGAAAGUUUCUUUUACACUUCAAUCUGAUUUAAAGGUUCAUUCUCAUGCUUCCCCACAUUUCUCCAUUCUCUAUUUAAGACUUCUCAUUGCCAUUUAGCAAUAACUUUGGCUUAUUGUACAAAAUGAGCUAUUUAUAACUUUCUCCUUUUGGUGACUACUAUCUGCAAAAGUGAAAGCACAUAAAGGGACUGGUUGGAAGUUUGUGGUUUGUUUUGAUGCAAUCAAGUGAAUGUCAAACUUAUUAGGAAGAGCUAAAUAACUUGGUAGGCGGAAAUUGCUUUUCCAUGGCAAGGUGUUUUUGGUUUUUGGUCCUUAGCAAAAGCUCGUGUAACUCAAACACCAAAAUACAACAUGAAAUCUUUUUCUUGCCAAAAGUCCUCAAUCCUGUACACACUCUCAGAAACCGUAUUUGGAAGAGUAUUCAACCUGUUGAGAAAUCAUAAAAAAUGUCAAAUGCUAAAAUGUGCAGUUUAUUUCUUCAAAUGUUAGCAUCAUUGCUGUUAGCAUGUCUUAUAGAGCUUCUCAUCAACCUGAUCUUUGAGGAACUCAAGUGUUUUUUACUUGUAUAGUUGGUGGAAUUUUUGGUUUUUGGAAAAUUUUGGCUCACAUAGAAGGCUUUUAUUCCUGCCAGUAGCAUAUUGCUAGAGCUUUUUUAAACAAUAUGGAGAUUUAGUUGUCAGAUGUCCAUAGCUCUCUUAUUUCAUAUUCCUUACUGAAGAUAAUCAUUUUCUUUUUCAAUAUCAUCACACAACUGAGAUGUACCAUUUCAUUAGGGAUUAAGCCUGCUUUGCAUCAAUACUGUGUCACUUUUAAAACUUAGCAAACCAAUUUCUCGCUAUUUGCCUCUUAAAGUGUACUUGCUUCCAAGUUGACCUGAUUCAUAAGAUUUCUUGUAUUUGGAUUAAUUGCUACACUUGAUUGUAGAACUCAUUCUAGGGAGAGACUUAUAUGUGGAAAGUGCGAUGGACUAAAUUUGAUAUUUUUGUACAGUUUUUUGGUUCAUUUUGAAUGAUUUGUCCCACUUGAUCUAAGUAGAUAUCGUAUGUGCUGGUGUUAUGUUGUCACUGAUCAGGAUUCAUGGUCAGUGCAACAAAGAUGCAGAGGAAUUAGUCCAAGUUAAUCUUUUCUUCUUUUUUUCCCAAAGAAUAGGACCCAAAAAAAACAGUGCCACCUAUAUUCAGUUUUUUGUCUUUUUUUUGGUAAGCUUCCUUUUUUUCCAUUGAUCAGCAAUAAAGAGUAUACCCAGAAGGGGGAGUACCCCAAUCAAUACAUCUAGUUCUUACCAGGAAUACAAUAACAAACCCAAACAUAUACAGAACCUACCUAGCUAACUGGAAAACAUUAAAGUGAAUCCCAAGUGCAGUACACAAGUCCACAUUUGGCUGUAUCCUUGCUACACGAUUCCAUCUGGCUGCUAUACCUCUAAUAUCAGCAAGCACCUCAUGAAACACAUGCUCGGUAAGAACAAGCACAUCCCUGAAUACCUUUUUAUUCCUCCACGUCAACAAAUGAUAGACUGUUGCUGCAAGUGCAGUAACACAAAACAAAAAGAGUUUGCUGAGCAAUGCUGCGUGAACCAUGCUAACUCUUCUCUCCAAUGAGCUGCAAUCCUAUAAAGGAAACAGCUUUUUUGAACACAUUCCCAUACUGCAUAAAUAUUGACAUAGAAAAAUAAAUGAUCUGUAUUUUCAGGAGCAGACCCACACAAAACACACCUAACAUCCACUUCAAUACCCCAAGAGAGAAGUCUAUCCUUUAUGUUUAUUCUUCUUUUACAUGUCAACCAUAGAAUAAAGGAGAGCCUAGGCACAUGCUUUUCCCCCACACCAAACUAUACCAAGGGACAGCAGGACCAAGAGGAUCAAGAGUUUUUUUUUUCUUUUUUGGAAAUUUUUUUGCUCAUAUGGACGGCUAUUAUUCCUGUCAGUUGCAUAUCGCCAGAGCUUUUUUAAACAAGAUGGAGAUUUACCACUCAUUUGGUCACUACUAAGGAAUGACAAUGACAAUCAUUAUGGAAGACAUCCUCAAUUACAAUGGGUUUGUGAAGAUUCCUUUUGAUGGAAUCUUGUGUUUGGUGGCAAUGAUUUUUUGCAUAAGAAAAGGAAAUUAUUGUCCUUUUCUUUCUUUUUCUUCAUCUCCAGCCCAUUUGACCACCACCAUUUUUUUUCUCUGUUUUUGCUUCUUGCAUGCUGCUGACCGAUCUCCCAAUCUUUGUUGUUCAUUUUCCUGCUCUUGUUCCUUUUCUGUCUUCUUCUUUCCUUGUUUUUUGUGGUCCUCUUCAUCCCUUUGCCCUUGCCACCUCCACCUAUCCGACCUCUCAUUGUCUUCAACACUGCUAGAUACAAUGAUCUCUGGUAUUACACAACAAUCCAACAAACUUUAAAUUCAAAAUUGUUACUAAAAAAUAAAAAAAUCUCAUCACACCAAAACUUCUUCUGAGAGAGAAAAGGGGGAGAAAUUGUAUGGUAUAGAGAGGGAGAAAGAAGGCUGGAGAGAGAGAUUAGGAUGAAACAAAAGGGGGGAGGCAAGAUAGGAGAAGUUGGAGAUUAGAUGCUGCUGUUUGUCCUCUUCCUUCCCUAUUUUUUAGUUUGUUUUUGUUUUUAUCUUGAUUGGUAAUGGGAGUGAAAGUGCCCAAAUAAGUGGAUAGUGAGUAUUGGGUAAUGAAAGACCUAAAGUGGGUAAUGAAAAAACCCAUAGCGGUGUACCAAACACCAUCAAUGCCAAUCAUUACCCUCUCAUUCCCAUUGAAAGGUGCUAAACCCCCCAACCAAAUGGGUGGUUAGUCGUCAGAUGUCCAUAGCUGUCUUAUUUCAUAUUCCUUAUUGAAGAUAAUAACUUUCUUCUUCAAUGUCAUGUCACAAAUAAGAUGUACUGUUUAAGUAGGAAUUAGUCCUGCUUUGUGUCAAUACUCAUGCCACUUUUAAAACUUAGCGCCCUAAUUGCUGCUAUUUGCCUCUUGAAUUAUACUAGGUUCCAAGUUGACCCAAUUCAUAAGAUUUCUUGUAUUUGGAUAAAAUUGCUGCACCUGAUUGUAUAACUCAUUCUGGGGAGACUUAGAUGUGAAAUAUGCAAUGGUAAAAUGACUAAGUUCAAGACUCUUGUUCAGUUUUUUGGUUCAUUUUGAAUGAUUUGUCCCGCUUGAUCAAAGUGGAUAUUAUAUAUGCUGGUGAUAUGUUGUUAUGAAUCAGGAUUUAUGGCCAGUGCAACAAAAUUGCAGAGGAAUCAGUCCAAGUUAAUACUUUCCUUUUUUCAAAGAAUAUGACAAACAGAAAAAUGCCACCUGUUACUCUCCAGGGGGUGGGGGUUCUGGCAGGGAGCCUUACCUGUUCUUAACAAAUCGAAUGAGAAGUUACAAGGUGGGGACGAAGGGCCUAACCUCCUAAAAUAUGCUCUUUAACAUAGUAACAACCAUUGCCUUCGCCUAAUUGGUCCGUUGAACUCCUUUGGGAGCUGUAGAUAUCUUUAAAAACUACUGUUUGCUCAAAACCGUGAACCAGUUCUUCAAGAAAAUCAGCUGCUGUUCUAGCUUUCUGAAAUGUUUAUGCAACACGUCCUAAUUGAUCUUGCAAUAUAAAAGAAUGAUCUUGAUUCACUUAUGUUUAUCCUAAUAAAACAGGAAAGGUAGUCAUGUAAUCUGUUGCAUUAUGUUAACUCAUGUUCAUAUAGAGUUUACAUUAUGGGCAUAGGAGAUUUGUAUCUGUUACAAUAAUUUAACAUCCGGUCGGAAAGUGGUUAGGGUUGGCCAUGGGAUGGUGCUCUUCUUCUUUCGUUCUAAAUACAAUGACUUCUUAGAAGUUUAUGAUUUCCUUUUCCAAUGUGAUGUUUUCAGCCUGUUAAUUCUGUUGAAAUGACCGAUAUGAGUUCAUUUAGUGGUGUGGGAAGUAUCUUUCUUAAUUACGUACUUUUUAAGUUCCAUUUUGAACUAUUCUUACUAGCUUUUUUUUUUUGUUCCAUGCCAAAAAAUUCUUUCACUGAACUGCUUCAUUUUUCCUAUUUCUUGCAGUCAGAGAAUAUUAUGCUUGCUGAUAAGCACAGAAUAGAGAAAGAGCAAAAUACCCAGCUUAGGAAUCAAGUUUCUCACUUGUUAGAGUUGGAGCAAGAUCAGAAGUUACAGAUACAGGAACGGGAUUCUACCAUUCAAAAUUUACAGGUCGAUGGAUUAGUCCCGUUUAAAUUUCCUCUUUCCCUCAAGGCAGUUGCUUUUCACCUGGAAUUUGCCUUCAAUUUUCAUGGAUUAUGGCCGACCAGAAUGCUUUGUUUUUUGCCUAGUUCUUUAUGAUUUGGCAUCUUAGUUGAAACAGGGGCUCUACGGUUUCUUAAUUUUUCAGUAACUCUGUGUCAAUGAUUUGUUUUUGCCUCAUAGCCAAGUCUGCUUAUUUCUGAUAUUCUGACUCCAGUUAUGCAUAGACUGGUUAAUCAUCUGAUUUCAUGCAUACAGAAGCUAUACAAAUAUUGGAUGCUGCUGAUUUUGCUCUGUCUUUCUUGUAAUUGAUUGUUUUAGGCCAAAAUAAAGAGCAUUGAGUCACAGCUGAAUGAAGCACUCCAUAACCGUGAGGCUAGGCCAACAAAUGGUGCAGAAUCAAAGUCCAACAUGCAAACAAGUCCCCAAAUGACUGGAGAGAAUAUGGAUUCUGCAGCUGUUACUAAAAGACUUGAAGAGGAACUUCUGAAACGGGAUGCACUUAUUGAGGUAUUUCAUACUUUUCAAAUCUGUAGAGCUGAUGUAGUUUGUUCCAUUUGCUUUGGCAUGGUAAUCAUUUUAAGGCUUAUUUUUAUCAAGUCACACGAAAUGGGGUCGAGAUUGGGAACUUAAAUUUGUUUCAAUAUGAACUUUGUGUGCGAACAUAGGGAAGUUAAAUACAAAAUGUAGUUCCAUGGCUAAAUACUUCUGAGCUGUGUGCUAGUCAAAAUGUCCAAAAUGGUCUAGCAUAUUGAAACUUUAUAUUGGCUAACAGAUAGCCAUCAAUGUAGGACCUGUCUGCUGCUCUAGCUCUUAGGAAAGAGAUGCCUCCAAAACGGGGAAAAGUGGAAGUAUGCUGAAUGUUGAGUGAUGGUGAAAAGAAAAAUACAGAAAUAGGUAAUAGUGAGAUGCAUGGUUAAUAGAAAGCUACAGAAGUCUAGGUUAAUACUGAGAUGCAAAAGAAUAAAUAUGAGAAAUUGAGUUUGAGUGUCAUAGAAUGUAUUCUGGAAGUUUGAAUUUUGUCUCCUUGUGCUGUUAUUGACACGAUUUAUUUAUUGCCUCUGGACAUUUGACACAAUUUGGUUUAUACUUAUUUCUUGUUUCGAAUGAGUGAUCCUCUUUCUUGUUGAAAUCACGUCACCUGCAUAUUGGUUAAAUUCUCUGGUUUUGCAGAGGUUGCAUGAAGAAAAUGAGAGACUUUUUGACAGAUUGACUGAAAAAUCGACUUCAGCUGGUUCACUGCAGGUACUGAUUCAUCUUGCAAUUUAAGUUGAAUUUUCCAUCCUUUAAUUUGUUAUUUUGGGGGUGGACUUCUAUGACUGAAUUUUUUUAGCUUGAAUUCCUGCUUCUUGAUACCGAGAUGGAUUUUUGUAGUCAUUGGCUGAUCAUCAAACUAGCUGUUAUUAAUUUAUGUUAGUUUUGAGCUUUAAAUGGGACAGCUAUUUUGAAUGGCUGAAUGCUGCCCCUUUCAGAAAUGGAAGUAAUCUUAGCUGCCUGACAUGCUAUAUCCUAUUCACUGAAAAAUAUUUGGACCUCUGGACAUCUAGUGUUUGCUACUCUUGACGCCAGAAAAUCUUACCUCACCUCAUUGUCCAUCUUUGUUAGGUUUCAAGCCCAUCCCCUGGAGGACAAGAGGUUACAUCUCGUGACAUGGCAAGGUACUUGUCUGAAACUGGUUUUCAGAGUUAUUAUGUAAUUGACUAAGCAUUUUUUGUAACUAAGCUUGUUGAUUCUUGUCAUUUUAAAAAUUUUAACUUUUCCUAAAUUUUCCUGCAGAAAUGAUAAUAAUAAUGUUAAAGGGCGAUCUGUAGCUGUUCCUUCACCUUUGGCCUCAGAUAAGACUGAAGGCACAGUUGCUUUGGUUAAAUCAGGUGUUGAGAAAGUAAAGACCACGCCAGCUGGUGAAUAUCUUACUUCUGCUUUGAACGAUUUUGAUCCUGAACAGUAUGACAGUCUAGCUGCAAUUUCAGAUGGCGCAAAUAAACUUUUGAUGCUGGUAAGAUACAAAUCAUUUUGCCAUGACUGCUGUCUGAAGUGGACUAUGGAGUUGGAGGAUCUUUUACAUUCAAGAUGAUUACUUAAUUGUCAUUGUUGUGAUUACUUUCUAUUGAUUCAAAACCAGUCAGGCAAUUGUAUUGUUCCGGCAGCUAUCUUUUGGGUGUUGUAAAAUGUGUUAUUAAUCCUAACAAAAAUGCUAAAACCUGGGCAAGCAUUUUUAGUAAAAAGAAGAAAGUAUUUGAUAUGCAGUGUUGUUGAUAUGUGACUAUAAUAAGUUUUAAAUCAAGUAUCUUACUAAAUACUCAACCAAUCAUUCCUGGGCCUAUUGGGUCUAAAUACAGAAGGAUGCCUCAGAGAAUGCAUUACUAUUAAGUUAUAAUAGGAGAGGAGGCAAAUCAUGAAUUUUGUUUAAAUUCUUUGGUUCUGCUGGCUUGGAAUGAGUUGUGUUAAGAGAAGCCUUGUUCGAGAUUGUUGGGACGAUGCAGAAAAAAUGGGAAGUUGCUGGAAGGGUGUCCUGUAUCUGGUCUCUUGCUGUGUUCAUCUUCAUACACUCUUGUCUGUCUCUGUAGCUUUUGUUGAAUGCUUAUGAAAGGAGUAUAACAUUGUUUUGCUUUGUGGUCAUGAAUACAAAUUAUUUUUCUAUGAGCAUGCCUGUGACUUGAAAGAUGUGUGUAUUCCCCUGCUUCGUUAGGUUUAGUGUUUAGACACUUCACUAUUUCUGUGUCUUUGCACAUCUGAGGCGCUUGAUGCUGGUCGUCAACAUUUAGUAGUGUGCCUUAGCUUUGGAUUGGCUAUGAUAAGCUAUCAAGUUAAAAGUUUUUAUCUGUUAGCUGAAUUGAGAAGUAUAAUAUUAACCAUGCAGAUGCUGAAGCUGAUAUUGUUGCGACUUUAUAUGCAUUCUUUGAGCGUGAAUUAGAACUGAGUGCAUUGAGAAGCUUUUUGAUGCAUUGAUUGCUCCUUGAUUCUCUUUUUGGAUAUCUUAUUGCAUGUUUUCCUUUCUGAACCCAAUCUUGAUGAUGCAACUCAGUUAUUGUAAUUAUUGUACUGUGGUUUAACUCUCCCAUGAUGUUGAAAACUUUCCUCGGGUUAGUUAUAAUUUGCUGAAUUGUUGUUUGUUUCCAGUAUUUUUCUUUAUCUGCGCUAAUGACUAUACGUUCAACAUUGCAGGUUUUGGCUGCUGUCAUUAAAGCUGGCGCUUCUAGGGAGCAUGAAAUACUGGCAGAAAUACGAGAUGCUGUUUUUGGUUUUAUUCGUAAAAUGGAGCCAAAAAGGGUGAUGGACACCAUGCUGGUUUCUCGGGUUAGAAUUCUGUAUAUCAGAUCUCUGCUUGCUAGGUCACCUGAGCUGCAGUCUAUCAAGGUAUUCAAGAAUUUUGCCUUCACCUUUCAGAAUUCUUACACAAAUGUGCUAGAAUCUGCAUUUUUUUUGAAGGUUUUUCCUGUCUAAUUGUACCAAACUGGUGUUAGGUUCCACCAGUUGAGCGAUUUCUGGAGAAAGCAAAUAGUGGAAGAAGCAGAAGUUCUAGUCGUGGUAGCAGCCCUGGAAGAUCUCCCGUCCGAUAUGAUUCUGGUUCGAGGAAUGCUCUUGUAGAGGAUCAAAUUCAAGGGUUUAAAGUAAAUAUUAAGCCAGAAAAGAAGUCAAAAUUGUCAUCAGUAGUUUUGAAGAUACGCGGUAUUGAUCAGGUGAAUACUAUCUGUUUUUUUUUUGGGUGUUUCUGCUUUUUACUUUGUUCUUAAUUAUGAUCAAUUUUGAUUCCAACUUUUAGUUUUCCUUGUCCAGAAGGGGUAGUAGGAUGUCGGGUUUGGCCUGUAAGUUAUACAGCAUAAUGGUGCCAUUAUGCAUAAAACCUAUGCCUGUGUUUGGGUAGGAGAUUAUUUUGAAAAAAUUAUUUGGAAUAACAGUGUAGCACUUUUUGUGAUGUGAUGUAUGUGAGGUAAAAAGGUGUUUGGAAAUUGUGUUUAUGAUGCAAGCUACAUAACACUUGAAUUAUUUUUUUUUUUGGCAAAUUAUGCUAGCCAAACGGAUGAUUGUGUUGGGUGAAUUGUGACCUUGCACGAUGGUGUCGGGUGAGCAACAGCCGCUUCGUUACAGUACUUACUUAUGGGCUAACAGGUCACACUUUGGCCAAGUAUCCUACAAAGAGACUCCCAAGAGCCAGAAGUAUUAAAGGAAUGGCCAUAGGAAUGGGCGCAUCAUGACAUCAUAAGAUGUCUCGCCUGAAUGAAUUAGUUGGUACUAGAAAUGUUAGAAAAAGUGAAUGAAAAGAGUAAUAAGAAGUAAAAGGGACAGAGACACUUCCCAACCAGAAAGCAAAGUUCCCACUGAUGGUAUACUUUUAUGUGAGGUAAAAAGGUGUUUGUAAAUUGUGUAUAUGAUGCAAGCUGCAUAACACUUGAAUGAUUAUUAUUUUUUUUUGGCAAAUUAUGCUAACCAAACGGAUCCAGUGUGAAUGCUUUGUUAACAUGAUGUAUACUUGGUUUAUGUUUCCACUAGAUCUGACAAUUUUAGUUGGUGUAAGUUCAAAUCAGAAUUCCAUCUGGCACUGUUAUACAUCCUCUUCUUUUGAUUUUGGUAAUGGUGCUUGGCAAUCUUGUCAACUCUGUCUUGCUUUUCUUUUCUAAUUGGAACUGUCAUUGCCAAUUAACCUGUUGGCUUGGUGAAAUGAUGCAUAAACACCUACAGAUACCAAUUGCACAUCCCUUGGGACAUGGUGUGUCGAUAUCUCUUCUCGUGGAAUAGGUGAUAUGCUUCCUGACCAUUGGUGGCCAAAUCUGCCAUCAAGUAGGACCCACAUGAUUAAUUUUGCCAUCAUUUAUUAUACUUUGUAGGCAUUAAAGGCCUCAUCAAAAGGUUAUACUGUCUUUGCUACUGUCCAUAAAUUGCUAAUAAAUAGAAAUUUGGUGCUGCAACUGAUAACAAGACAUCAUAGAGCUAACCUCUCUUACAAAGAUAAAUAUAAUCCUGAUUUCCAUCAAAUGGGGGCUCUAAAGGUUGUUCUCCCGGUGCACCUUUUACAUAGGCUAUGCAUUCUUUAUGCUAUUUAAUUGUUAUGUUUUUGCUUAUGAACACAUUUCAGAUUCAGCUAUUUGCUUAUGAUCCAUGGGCUUGAUUGACAUAAUUGUGCAGGAAACAUGGAGACAACAUGUAACUGGUGGAAAGCUGAGAGAAAUAACUGAAGAAGCCAAAAGUUUUGCUGUUGGAAAUAGGGCUCUUGCAGCGCUUUUUGUUCAUACUCCAGCUGGUGAGUUACAGCGUCAGAUCCGGAAUUGGCUAGCUGAAAACUUUGAUUUUCUCUCUGUGACUGAUGAUACGGUUGGAGGAGCAACUGGUCAGCUAGAGCUUCUUUCUACUGCAAUAAUGGAUGGUUGGAUGGCUGGACUUGGUGCUGCUCAACCUCCUAGUACUGAUGCUCUGGGGCAGCUCUUAUCUGAGUAUGCAAAACGAGUUUAUAAUUCUCAACUGCAGCAUUUGAAGGUGUGUAUUGAGCAAUUUUCUUUGUGUCAAGUCUAUUACCACUAGUUGCUUGCAUUCGAACUCAUGAGAGUUAUGGUUACUCUUAUGAUUCACCGCUAAUUUGUAUCAUCCCUGCACUUUCUUUUGGUUUUUGAGAGUUAUGAUUACUCUUAUGAUCCACUGCUAAUUUGUAUAAUCCCUGCACUUUCUUUUGGUUUUCCUCCCCAUUUCUGAAGUACUUUUCAGAAUCCCAAUGACAAAUUAAUGGACUAAAAGCGAUGACCUAACUGCAUGAGUAAUUUUCCAUUUCCAUUAGUUCUUCUCGCCAUAUAAGUUUGUGACUUGCAUGAGCAAAUGCUCUUUUCAAAGUUACCAGUUCUGUGCCAUGGACAAAGCUGGAUUAUGUUUUUACCACUAUUCUGCCUAUGGUAGCCAACCAAUCUCUUGGUCAGCUCAGCUGUGUCAGUUCCAUUCCUUGGCUUGUAAAAUUUUUCCAUCAUAGUCUAUGAUGAGAAAUUUCCUGUUUUCUCUUGUGGAUGCACCUUUUAAUGGGGUUGCUGCUGUUGAUUGGCAGCUAAGAGUGUUGUUGUUGUUUUUUUUUUUUUGUUAAUAAAUUCCAGUAGAGCAGAAUAAGACCAUGUUGCAUCUCUUCUAAAAUAUUCUUGGUACUUGCUUAUGUAACUUUGAUCCUUGCCAGGAUAUUGCUGGUACCUUGGCAACUGAAAUAGCAGAGGACUCUGCUCAAGUAGCUAAAUUGCGAUCAGCCCUAGAGUCCGUUGAUCACAAGAGAAGAAAGGUAGCAGAAAUUCAAGUUCUGUAAUAUAUAUAUAUAUAAAACCUUACUGAACUACUUAGCUAGUGUUCAGUGAUUAGAAGCAUUUGUUUAUCAAUAAAUUUUGAGAGUAAAAGUUGUACUUAUCCCAUUAAUUUUCGGCUAGAUCUAUACCAAUUUUGACUAUUUUAUGGCAAUUUAACAGAAGGUGGGUCUGUAUUUAAAAAUGAAAAUUUCUGGGGAAAAUCUUAUAGAAAAUUCAAAAUUCUGAGGUUUUUUUCUCCUUAUUUUUUCUCCUAUUGCAAAUAAGUAGAUAAACUCUAAAGUCAAUUUCUAAAAUCUAUGGCACCUCUGCAGACUGCAGUUCAUUGUCAAGUUUAUACAAAUCUUAACUGGCUCGUAGUUGUAAAGGAUGCUAAUAAUCUUCCCAAUCACAAUUUUGGCUGAAUUUACAAGCUAUAUGUAAUUGUCCUGUGUUACAGUGCUUAAUUUUCAGUUCCUAAGAACCUAAUAGCUCAAAAGUGAUGUUUCUGAAACUUAUUUUUCUUGUUCAUAUCAUGGGUAGAAUAGUCAUUUCAUUAUUGUUUAUGGUAUCUUCAUUUCAUAUUCUUGUUUGUCCCGCAUUUAAUCAGUUAGCCAUAGAUUUUAUCCUACAGAUUGUUUACUGCACUAAAAGAGUUAGGCCCAUCUAAUGCAAUGUUUUGAAUCUGUAGGAUAUUGAGGUUUUACAGUCGCUGGUUCUGAUUUAAAUUGUGCUAGUAUAAUGUUAUGUCAUUUCCAAAUUACGUGAACAUCGUGGGAAAAGAGGGAAAUUUAAAUUGAAAAAUUGAUAACUUUUAUGUCCCAAGCACCCCCCCGUUGAGGAAAUGUGGAAGUGUUAGGCCCAUUUCAGAGUGCAAUGUUUUGUUGAAGAGAAUAUAGAAAUACAUGGUGCCCCAACUUCAUUCUCACUGACAGUGUCCGUCAAAUUACUUGUCAGCAUUUAGUCACACUAGGUUUGUCUUUCUAUUGUGUUCAUCUAUAACAUGGAGUAUUUGGAUGUUUAUUGAUGUACAAGAUCAAAAUUGAAAUUAGAGGACAUUCCUUUCGAUUUAUAAAUUUGGUUCCCAGAGAAACUUCCUUUGUCAUCUAAAAUCUAAGUGACUUGCAUUGUUUCAUUUGCUAGAUUUUGCAACAAAUGAGAAGUGACAUAGCAUUGCUGACUCUAGGGGACAGUGGUUCACCCAUCAGGAAUCCUUCAACUGCAGCUGAGGAUGCACGACUAGCUUCUUUAGUCUCCCUUGAUGGCAUACUGAAGCAAGUGAAGGUUCUUAAAUUCUUUCUGCCUCUCUCUCUCACACACACAAACACACAUAACAGAUUCAGACAGGCAUGUGCCUCCAGUAUUCAGUGAUGAAAGGCGAGGUUGCAGUGAAUGAAUGAGGUUGCAAGACUAACAGGCUGUGUUUUCACAGGAUAUAAUGAGGCAGUCUUCAGCAGGAAAACUGAGUAAGAGUAAGAAGAGAUCGAUGCUUUCAUCUUUGGAUGAACUUGCAGAUCGGAUGCCUUCUCUACUUGAUAUUGAUCAUCCUUGUGCGCGAAAACACAUUACAGAGGCUCGUAAAGCUGUAGAGGUGCGGUAAAAUUAUAUCUUUCUAGUUACUUCUGGAAGCCCAGCCUUUGAAUUCUGUGGUUUGUAAAUCAUGCUGUGAGGGAACAUGUGAAUUUUUGAUGUGUAGGUUUAAGUAGUUUGGAAGAUGUCUUUUCGAGUAUUUCUGUUCAAAUUCAAACCUCAGUUGGUCUGCAGUUGCUCAGCUACAAUAAUUACUUCUUGUCAACCUGAUUUUGAUGUUAGAUUAAAGUCUCUCUCAAACCCCCCAAACCUCUACCACACAAAAAAAAAAAGAAAAAAGAAAAAAGAAAAAAUCUGUCUGCCGCUUCCAUACAUGCAUGUGUAUGCAUGUUUUUCCGUUUUAUUUGGGACUGAAGAUUUCUUUUGGUUUGUUUUUCUUUUGAUGUUGAUAUUUGGUUAGAAAAACCGCUUGUUACAUUUGUCUGAGAGUGCCAAAUUAACUUGAUAGCACUCGUUUUCAAGUUUUGUUGGGAUUUCAUCCUUGAUCAGAAGUUGAAGUUUGGGGUAAAUGCUUUUUGUGAUGCGAUUUUUGUUUAUAUGUUUCUUUUGCUUGAUCGACAGUGUGUUGCUGAGGAGGAUGACCAGCUUCAUCAUGCGGCAAAUGCUUCAAAACUUUCAGCAGACAUGGGGUCUGCUGUUGAAACAGAUGUGGGACAGUGGAAUGUUUUGCAGUUCAACACGGGCUCAACAACCCCAUUCAUCAUAAAGUGUGGAGCUAACUCGAGUUCUGAAUUGGUGGUUAAAGCUGAUUCCCGGGUUCAAGAACCCAAGGGCAGCGAGAUAGUUAGAGUUGUUCCAAGACCAACUGUUUUAGAGAACAUGAGCUUGGAGGAAAUGAAAGAGUUAUUCGCUCAACUUCCCGAGUCUCUGAGCUUGCUUGCUCUUGCUAGGACAGCAGAUGGUACUCGAGCUCGGUAUUCUAGAUUGUACAGGACUUUAGCUAUGAAGGUUCCAGCUUUGAGGGACCUAGUAAACGAACUGGAGAAAGGGGGAGUGCUGAAGGAUGUAAAGUCCUGAUUAUCUUUGUGCUGCUGUCUUUUCACUGCAAAAUGAUUCUGAAGUUUGAAUUUUGAGUGGUAUUUAUUGGAUGACGUCAUUUAAGCCGGUGUUUUUGGUCUAUGGUGUGCGGCUUAUUUGCAUUGAUGGUAAGUUGAUGGAUAUUAAGCCAGUUUUGUGAUUUACUUUGUAAAUAAGUAUUUUGUCUGCUACAUUUUCAAGUUAUUUUCCUCUACCCUCAUUUUUUGGUUCCCUUCCCUAUGUCGUGCGAAUCACUUAAUAGUUGAUAAUCCUGCCCGUGUUUGCCACUCCCUCUAACAAAAAUGUCUUCUACGUCUCCUGGAUCCAGACAAUGUUUCCUUUAGCCUGCUGUCGAGGAAGCAGCAUGAGCAAGAACAUUUUUUAAGAAACAAAAUGAACCGAUACUUCUAAUGACUAAUUUGAUUACCCCGCAGUUGAUCCUAAUCUGCCCGCCUUCCCCCGUGUGGGGGCUGAGGCUGGCCAUCUCUACUUAUCACGGCACACGCGAAAUCAUUCAAGAGCGUCAGAGCUUAUAGUAGUAAUGAAAAUAUGAAACUUUUGCAAACGCUCAACAGUAGUAAUGAAAAAAGGUCAGGAUGGAUUGUAGUAGUAGAAAAAAUAUUUUAAAAGGUGUGAUUUGGGUAACAUCUUGAAAUAAAUUUUGGUAAUAAUUUGUCCAAAAAGACUAAGAAAAAAAAAAGGAGAGAGAGUAAUUAUGGUGAAAAAUAUGCUUGGAGACUAUUAUACAAGACUCUUAAAUGAUUCUCAGUCAUCUCAUUGAUUUUGGGGACAAUACUAAGAAGGCACAAAAAUGCUUUGUUGAUCAAAGACUUUGUUCUAAAUAACACAGGCUUAGGGGUUUCCUGCUCUUCAAGCAUAAGUAGUCCUUCCUCAUCUGAUGAUAUAAUUAAUAAAUAGUUUCAAAAUUAUUAAAACCAAUAAACCGCAAAAUUCAUAAAUUUAAGAACAUUUAUAGACAUGAUCUUCCACAUUUUUAAAGAUAUUUAAUCAAGUUAAGUACUUCUUGUCACAUAGAUGGAAUUGAUUUUUAGUUCACGCAAUUACCUAAACAAACUCACAAAACCCUAAAAUCUAAUGGUCAACAGCUAUUUGAUUACAAACAUGUUUAAGUAUUUCCGAAACUUAGCUUGGGUUGGGUGUGCCAAUUAAGUGAUUAAAAUUUUCAACUACAUGCCUAAUUAAAAAUGUUCAGUCCGAACAAAACAGGUACACUUAUUUCCUAGACUAUUCAGCUUUUGGUACUUUACUAGGCAUAUGGCCACAAAAAAUGUACGUCUCUUAACCCUAAUAAUAAGUUUUGUAAUUUAAUAAGUAGGUUAGUUUCACCGUUUAAGAAAAAUAAAAAAAAAAGUAGGCUAUUUUCAGACUUUAAGGUAUUCUAAGUUGAAGUAUUAAUUCAAAGGCUCUCUCUAAUUGUUAUUUUCUUUAUUGCAAAGAGUGCUAUGAACUAGAAUGGCAAUAUUCAGAUAGAAAUGAAUUUUGAUUUACAAAAUUAAAAGUGUAGAAGAUUUUUUUUUAAAAAAAAAAUUUGAUUAUAGACAUAUCACAGUUUACAAGAUUAAAAAAAAUGAAGAUUGACUUUAAAGGAAGAAAAUUAGUAACUUAGAAAUUGAUCUAGCCUUUUAAUUGGCAAGAAGCUUUAGUAAUUUGCUAAGGAGAAAAAAAUAUUAUUAAUAACUUUGCAAUGAAGUAGUAUUUUUCCUGUCUAUGAGCUAUUAUAUAGUUUCUAAGAAUAAAACAAUGUAUUUUUUAAACCUCAAUUAUCAACAAUUGCUAAUUUAACUCCAAGUUGCAAGUAGCCCAAGUUUCAAUGACAUAUCCACCAUUUUUUUUUGCCAAUAAUAGCUUAAAGUUCCUAUUUUUCUUUAAAAAAAUCCGAUAAGGGAAAUUCAUACAUAUUUACCUUUUUAAAAUUCUUUUCCUAAAUACAUUGCAGUGCCUUUUAAAAAAAAAAUUUCUUCUUUAUUGUUCUCGUUUUGAAUUAAAUUCCAUAAACCCCUUCCUUGAUCUUGUGCUCCUUGCUUCUGGGGUUUUACCUUGCCUAUACAUUCCUUCCCUUUAUUCCCACUCCGAUUCUUUGCGAAAAAUCUUGAAACAAGCUGGAUUAGAUUCUCUCUCGUCAAGUAAAAUGAUGGGCUCUUCUUCAUCUUCUUCUUCCUUAACAUGUAAAAGAUUAACAAUAUUGACAAUAUUAGCAGUUGUAAUGCAAAUUACUGGAUUAUUUCUCUUCGUUAUAGGCUUCUUCCCAGUAAAAACCACUCUCUCAGGGGCCAGGUAACCUUCCAGUUUUCCCGCUUGAUUCAUUUUAGUUCUGUUCUUCAUCCUGUAUCAAGGAUUGUCCCUUUUCAUUUUUAUUCUUGUUUGUUUUACAUCUUUUCUUUUAACGAAAAUUUCAGUGGUUUGGAGAGUUUUUAUCCACCUGGGUUCGAUUCAAGUGAUGAUAGAAAUGCUAGUACAACUUUACCUCCUCAUCAGCUUAAAUCUCUAUAUCAGGUGACUACCACUGUUUACCCUGUUCUUUACUCUCUUUUUUUUUUUCUUUUAAAUUUGGAUUUUCAAAUUUGUUGCAAUUGGAAAAUAUUUAGUAGCUUAAGACUGGUAAUGUGCUUCAUUGUUGGUUAGGAUAAUAAUUGUUGAAAGCUUUUUUGGGACCCUGGUGAAAAGAUUCAUCAUUUACAGCACACUGGAUUAUGGAAAAGAAAAUACUCACUUAAUUUUUGCUAUAUAUUUUCUUCUCAUUUUAGCUAUUAAAGUUUAUUUCUUCAUGCAAAGUGGGUUAUUUUUGUCUUCCUUUACAGCAACUAUCUGGUGUACCGCCUUUGUUUGACCGGCUAAUACUAAUGGUACGCUGCUCAAUUUGUGUAAAAAUUGCUUCUGCUGAAUUAGUUUCGUAAGGGAGAACCCUGUUUGUUGUGAUGUUUGUUCUAGGUCAUUGAUGGUCUGCCAGCUGAGUUUGUGCUUGGGAAGGAUGGCAAGCCUCCUCCUAAGGUUUAUAUGGAAGCUAUGCCAUAUACACAAUCAUUAUUGGCUAAGGGAAAGGCAAUUGGAUACCAUGCUAGGGCUGCUCCUCCUACCGUGACAAUGCCUCGCUUGAAGGUUUGUAAACUGGUUAUUUGGGUGAAAUUUGAAGCUGCUAUUUGUGUAGUCUGACUGUUCUUAGUCCUGUUUUUGUGUAUAGUAGGCCAUGGUUUCUGGUGCAAUUGGAGGAUAUCUGGAUGUUGCUCUCAAUUUCAACACACAAGCCUUUCUAGAUGAUAAUCUUAUUGGUCAGUUGGUUAUCCUUGCUAAAGUGAACUCACUAAUUAUAUGAGUGUUUUUAGCAACUUCUGCAAUUUUCGUCCAUCUCUUUUUCAGAACAAUUUUCUAGAAUUGGCUGGAAAAUGGUAAUGCUGGGUGAUGACACAUGGCUUAAGCUGUUUCCUGGGAUGUUCACAAGGCAUGACGGUGUUAGCAGUUUCUUUGUGAGCCUCUUUUGCUUUCACAAUUUAAAGCAUUUUACUUGAAUAUGUUUUAGUUUUUCUGCCUUUCUGGUAUCUGUAUUUUGAUGAUGGGUGUUACUUUGUUACACAUGCACUUUUGGUUGAAUGCCUUUGAUAUAGUACCUUUCUAGAAUGUUCAACUUGUCUUCACCAGAACAAUGAGGUGAAGAUUUUAUAGAUUUAACGCACUGUCUAAAUACAUUUUAAUUAAUGAACAUAAUGGAAAUUCUGUUUUGUGCUAUUUCCCUGUAUCAGAGGAAUAACAAGUGAAGUUGCAAUGGAAUUACAUAUUUUGCAAGAGCUGUUCCACUAAAGUAGGAACUCUGCAGGAAAUACUUUUUGUUAAUGUGCAUGCCGAGGGAAAGUUUUGUCUAUCUUGUUUAUUUAUGCAAUCAUAGCAGAUAUUACUGAGAAACAUAAACAUCCUUGUAACAAUUACUCUGAGAAAAUAUUCUAUAGGCUAACAUCUGUCAUUUGUAAGCUUUUUUCUUGUGAAUAGAGUACCCUCUGUAUAAUGUCUCUGAUCUGUUGCUUGAUUCCUGUGUUGUUCAAACUUGUAAACAUUAUACUGCAUACAUUAAUCCAAACAAAACUAGAAAAAACAAAAAAUCAAGAAAAUUACUAGCUUAAGCUUUGGCUUUUAGUCAAAAACUACAAAGGCAUUGAGUGUACAAAACUGGCAGCAAUUUCUUGCUAGAUGAAUUGGAUUCUCUGUUUCUUAGUUUCAGUUACGUGAACUUACAAAAUAGUUGCUUCGCUUCAGGGGAAUGUGUGCAAAAUAAACAUUGAGUGCUUCUGCCUCCUCAUAAGAGGCAUCUUUAUUUUCUUUGGUCUAUAGAUGGGAACUUUUCUACCCUCUGAGCUAGUUGGAUAAAAUCAUUUCCUAUUAGAAUAGAAAAAGUAAGUGAAGAAACAACUUAAUAUUUUGAAGCAGAUCUGCAUCUGAUAUUGAUACAAUAAAAUUCAGAAGUCAGAAAAACAGAUGGGAAAGAGAAGCUGAAAAUAAGUGCUUGUAAAACUCAAAGGUAUAAAAUUUUUGUCUGCAGCAUGAAAUCAGAAAACUAAUAGGGGAGCCAACAAGAUUUUGACACGCCUAGAUGACAAUAAACUUUUUUUUUUUGCAUGGUUUGCAGUAACAAUCUUCUUCAAUUUCCAUUUAAUAGGAAAACUUAGAGGUGGCAAAAUGGGCGGGAUUUGCUUGGGUUUGAGAUGGAACCGAAUCAUAUGGGUUUGGGUCCAACCUUACCCAUGUGUUUUGGGACUAACUUGGGCGGGAUCACUUUGGGAUGGGUUUAGAUUGAUCCCGCCCAAUACCCAAAUCUAUUUUCUACAUAUUUUUUUUCCUUUAAUUCAUUUUUUAUUUUUUAAAUAACUUUAAUAUUUUUUAUUUAUUAAAUUUCUUUUAGUCUUAUUGUGAAUUUAUAUUUUCAUGAAUUCAUUUUACACUCUAGAAUGAUUUACACUCUACAAUAUUUUUUUUCAAAAAAUUAUUUCAAAUAAUCAACCAAACCAAAGUUUUUGGUUAUUGGAACCCAUUUAGGCCAUUCUUUAGCUUUGGUGUGAACCUUUAUAUUAAACUAUAUCAUGCAUUCGCAUAUGGAACAUAUGCAUUCAUCUGCUACACAAAUUGUUUCCCCGUCCAAGGUCUAGCUUUAUUUUUGGAGUCUUUUCCUUCUCAAUCUCUACCUCAAUCAUCUGUUCAGGACGAGCCUCAUAUGCAUUACUCACCGGCAAUUGCUCCUGAAGCGUCUCAGGGAGAGGAGUGGACCAGGUCGGAAAUGAAAUUUUUUGGGAAGAUAUUUGGGCCCAAUGGGUACCCAAGUAUUUCCCAAUAUUUCCCAUCAAUUAAUGGGUACAAUUGGGAUAUGUCCCAUUUUAAACCCAAUAUCAAAUUAUAAUACCCAUUCCGCCCAAAGUCCCUUUGGGCAUGGGUAGCCCAUUGGGACUUGGGACAAAUUGCCACCUCUAGGAAAACUCCAUUUUUUUGGAAGCAGGGUGUAUGAUAGUUCCUUUAGCAUGCUCCUCUCUAAGCACUAUUUUAUUUGGUUCUGAUAUUCUUGAUACAGGUUAAAGACACUGUGCAAGUGGAUCACAAUGUCUCUCGCCAUCUGAAUGUUGAGCUCAACAGGACAGACUGGAAUGUUCUGGUAUUUGCUUAAUAGUUCAUAUUUGGAUGUUUAUUACGGCACUAGCUAGAGUUUGUAUGCAUCCAUAUGCUAUAUGAUGAUUCAGAGUCUGUGAAUGUUUGCGGAAAGGUUGAGCCUUUACUUUCUGGCUGAAUGCCUACCUUGGUGAAGCAGUUUGGCUUUUACUCCUUUGUUUCCUGCCCCUUUUUCUUUACAAUUUUAUGAUUCUUAUUUAGGUCUAAACUGCGUGCUGGGAUCCCGUUUUCUUUACAAUUAGGUCUAAACUAUGUGCUUGGAUCCCCUUUUUUGGCACUUACCAUGCAGAUUCUUCAUUUUCUUGGUUUGGAUCAUGUUGGACACAUUGGAGGUCGCAAUAGGUAGGUUUGUGUUUCUUUGCUGUUAUUUCGGUGAAGAAGAACAAGCCUUAGCCAUUGAUUUCAAUCACCUGAUGAUUCAGUUUGUUGAUGGGACCAAAACUCAAGGAGAUGGAUGAAGUGAUUAAAAUGAUUGAUUUGACUACUCUAAAAAGUCAAAAAUACAAUCAAGGAAGGACACUUCUGGUUGGUGCUGCUUCAUUCUAAUGGUAGUGCUGGUGUCCUAUUGUUGUUACCAAGUUCAUUCCUCUGACAGAGUUUCUUGGGAAGUGGGUUUCUAGUCUAAUUCCUGUUGCUUAGACAUUGUUUGACUUUUACUUUUAAUAUCUUAUUUUAAUUUGGAUAUACAUGGGCUGUUAUGCUUGUGAAUUAUAACAAUCCAGUGGACUCUUCUCUGUUUAAGAUUUACUUCAUUAACUUUUUAACAUGUUUGAGUUUGUUUUUGGGAUGGAGUCAUUUGAUCUCAAUAAUCCUUGUAUUCAACUUUUAAGAGAUUGCCUUUAGGUUGACAGCAAUUUGACUGUGAGAAAUGACACUAUGUAUGAUAUCAAAUAAAGUAUUGAAAUUGUAAUUUUAUCCAAUUUUUUCAGAAUUGCAUAGUAAUAGCGGGUUUGUAAUGAGAGCGAGUGUUCAAUAAAAUGCCUAUUGUUGGAAUACCAAAUAUGUUUCAUAGCAGCAGUGAUGAUAGCUAUGAUUCUACUAAGUUGUCUUGUAAUAGACUUGCUUUAUUAAGAAAAGUACUUGAGAAAAUGUUGUGAUUUAGUUUGUUUUUUGAUUUUUGUAAUUGCAGAUGGUUGUAAGUGAUCAUGGCAUGACAGAAAAUGGCAAUCAUGGGGGAUCAUCCUAUGAGGAAAUUGACUCUUUGGCACUCUUUAUUGGGCUGGGAGAAUUUACUGAUUCUUCAACAACCAAUAACAUAGCCAACCAGGUUGGGCUCUGAAUAUUUCUUGCAAUUGAUGUUUAUCCAGAUUUCCACCGUAUGGGUGUCAUUUAUCCCUUUUCAUAUUUGUCUGUUUUUUAAAUUCCUUUUACAGCUGCUUGGUUGAGCAACGAAUGGAUAUGUUUCACAAAAUAUUGCUACAUAAAGGGGCUUAGUUUUGGUUUUAUCAGUAUCUUCAUUCUGGGGGCAUAUUCCAAGCAUGUUUAAAUAAACAAUCAGGGGCAACCCCUGAGAUGUUUUUUUGAAUCAUAAGUAGGACAGUUUAUCAUUUUUUAAAAUUUUAAUCAGAGAAGCAGUUUUUUUGUUUGUUGUGUUCUUCAUGGGUUUGUUGUUUCUUUAUGUGGAAUGACUUGAUUGGGCAUAUUCUCUCUCUCUCUCUUGCAGUCUCUCUUUCUCUCUCUCUCUCUGUCUGUCUGUCUCUCUAAAUGAUACUUUGGCAUCCAGAAAAUUGCAUUAUGGAUUUUGGUACAGCGUUCUAUGUUUUUUCUGCUUGCAUGCUCAAAAUAUGUUGAGAAGAUAGUUUAUAAAUGAUAUAGGCAUUUUAUGUUUUUCCUGAUUCCGUGCUCAAAAUAUGUUGAGAAAGCUUUCUGAAGUAGGCCAUUUGCAUUAUAAUGGAUAAUCAAUUAGUAUUGAUGUUCUUCUUCAUUAUGCCAAUUGAAGUUGUAAAUUUCUCUUGAACUGAAUAAGCUGCAUGUCUAGAUGUUUGCAUGUCUUGUUUUGGUGCUGUUUGCUAUCAUCAUCUAUCACAAGGGUCCCAGACAAGAUUUAGUUAUUCUCUCAGGGCAUUAGAUUAGGCUCUUUUGAAUAUGUUUACCAUCUUGGGAAAGACAGUUCACAUGGGUAGCAUUGGCUGCAACAUUUGACAACAUUAACUGCCUCCAAGGCUGAUUGAGCUUGCAGUUUGAUACUGUUAUACUUUUGAAUUUUGAAGACUGCCAUUGUAAUCAUAACCAUGCAUUUUAAUGUUUUACAUAUUAGUUUAGUGCUAUCUUUGCCAUUGGAAUCUAGAUGACUGCUAUAGGAUGGGAGUUAAGAUAGUAGUCUAAAUGAAAGAACAUUAAGGAGUUUUUGGACAGCAAAUCUGUUAUUUCCCAAAUUAUAAUGAGUGAUCCUAUAUAUAUAUUAAAGUAAAUUUCAGUUCUUGAACAAAAUUGCUUAUAUAAUUAUAUUUUGAGAAGAAAGUUUAGAGGACCUAUUGGUAUAUUCCUUGGCUGUGCUUUCUUAUUUUCUUUCUUUUUCUCCAAUUUCGUUGAAUUGAAAAAACUGUUUUUGCCAUCUACCCGGCAUUUCCAAGUUAUAAAGUACAUCAUUGAGCAAUGUAAAUGGUGAGCACCAAAUGAAGCGCCAUUUUCUGUCUCAAUUUUGCAAACAAAUGUUAUAACACAAAAUGGAAUGAUGAUCCAUAUUGGUGAAACGACAUAAUAAGAGAGAGUUGCAUGGUGGCCUAUGUCUUGCUUGCAAUCAAAGACAGCAAACACAUGUAGCUGUCAUGUGAUAAUUAUAAUUCAGUUUAGAAGUGUAUAUCUUCCUCAUCUGGGAAAAGGAUGAUUGUGGAUUGACUGUAAUCCUAUAUGGGAAUAGCAACUGAAGAGACAACAAUUUGUCAGAUUUGUGAAAAUAUGCCUGUAUUCUGUCAGAGCAUCCUUUUGGCUAUAUUUGUAUUUUGUAUAAUUUCCGUGGGUAGUGAAGUAUGUGCAUGUGUAUGUCUUAUUAUUGUUUUCUUUGGCCCCUCAAUCUUUGUUUUGUGCUCUUGUAAGACAGGUUGAUAUUGCUCCAACAUUAGCUCUACUUUAUGGAGUCCCAAUACCAAAGAACAAUGUUGGCAUCGUUAUGGUGGAAGUUUUCAAGUCAUUGACAGGUUUAACCAUGUUAAAUGUUUCUUCCAUUUCUGUUGGAAAGCUACUGGAUCAGAUGUUUGCUUUUAAAGUCUAAUAAUGACAUUGGAUUGAGAGAUCAACUGGUUUCUGUUUGAAGAAGUGCCUACAAUUUAACUGUUCUAUAAACAUCUAAUUAACUCAAGUAGCACAAAAUGUACAAAUGGUUAACAUAGCCGUUUAGAGUGCUAUGGUUCAAAUAAUCUAUGCCAAAUACACCAAAUGAAAUUAGACAAUGGGAUUUUCGCCUCUUAUGUUGGAAAGUAGUUACUGUUUGCUAAAAGCUUGUAGAGUACAGCCUUGACAAGUUACAUUAACGUAUGUUUUAUAAUCUGGAAAACUGCAAAUUCUACAAGAAGCAUGUGGGUUGGUGCAGGCACUGCUGUGUGUGUGUGUGUGAAAAUCCUUACAUUGUUUUGGUUUAUUCUUAUUCGAGUAAGAUGCCAAUUUUCUUGAACUUCUAUCAGUUGCCUGGCCUAGGUACUUCUUUACAUUGUAUGAAUUUCCUGGACUGACUAGGAUAAGUAGAGUGGUGAUGAUUUGAGAAGUUUCAUUUCCUCGUCUCAAUAGACAGCAUAAGCAAAUGGAUUUACAUGCUUUGCAAGUUCAAGCUAAUCUUUUUCUUGUUCUGGGUGUGCUGUAUUUCAUUUGGUAACAUGGUUCUCUAAUAUUGCAGAUGAUGAACAGCUGAGGCUAAUGGAGUUAAAUGCCUGGCAGUUGCUCCAAUUACUUCAGGCUCAAUUGCCUGGUUUAGAGUGUGAAAUUUCCAAAUGCAAUGUCCAUAGAGAUGGUAAUGGAUCUGAGAUCAGACAAGACUAUAGCACUGUAGAGGAGAUGUUUUGUUGUCUAUAUUUACAUGCGGCAACUGUCCACAAAUCUAUGAAAUCUGAGUAAGCCUUUAGGUGGUGGAUUUUCACUUCUCUGUAAAAUGCUGAACUACUGCUUAAUUACAUAAUUCUUGUUUUCAGUUCACCUGGGGGAGAUGAAUAUGGUAGCACCUUUUUGGCUUACCGUGAAUUUCUGAAAACGGCAGGCCAAUGGCUAUCUCACAGAGCAACUGACGUAAGUCUAGGAAUAAAUACUAUUGUUCCAUAUGAUGGUUUACCCGUUGACUUGAGUUGAUGUUCUAGGUGAAAGUUGAAUAGUCAUAACCAUUAUGCUCCAACAAACAUUUUGGUUGUAAUUAGGAUUGUAGGUAUACCAAUCAGCGCAGCCAAAAGGGUGCAAAGAGAGGGAGAGGGGGGGGGGAAGAGAGAGAGAGAGAGAGCAAUAGUAAAUUGCUGAACGUUCAGUUCUCUCUUUCACUUCUUCAAUGAUUUUUAGGACUAACAUGUUGUCUUUCAUCCUUACAGAGACCUUUCAGUCUACUUGCUUGUGGAUUUGCAGCCAUGCUGGUGUCUUGUUCAAUAAUAAUGGGCCUUCUUUUCUUCCUUAUCCGUGAAACCUAUAUCAAGGAAAGGGAGCUUCAUUCUCACCUGGGGAAAACCAAGCACGUGUGGCAGUUGGAUAAGACUUUUACACUGGCCAUAAUUUGUAUCGUUAUGCUAAGUAUGGGAUCUAGUUCUAUGGUAGAAGAAGAACAAUAUAUAUGGCAUUUUCUGACAUCUUCAUGUUUUUUGGUGUUACUCCGAAAAACUGUGCAGUCCAUCACAUUUGGAUUUGGGGUACUGCAAAACUCUUCAACUGUAUUUAAGGAACAAAGGGAAAGAGGUCUUCUUCAAAUUUUUUCUGUUAUUGUAGUUCUUGUUUCUGGAAGAAUUUUAAGAGGCUGGCAUCAAGGUGGUGUCAAUUGGGCUCAUCUUCCUGAUAUGGCAAAAUGGCUUGAGCAGGCAGGAAGCAGUUAUACAAAUGCGCUGCAGCUGACGUCUGGUGUCUUAAUUAUCAGUGCAAAUAUUUUUACUCUUCUUUUUUCAUUACGAUCAAAGAGAACUUUUGCUGUGGUGAUACUUUUGAUCAAUAUAUGCCCAUCUUUGAUGAUUGUGUACCUUAUGAUUAUACAUCAAGGUAGCACAUUAGGGACAACUGGUUUUGGUGCCACCAAAAUGGUUCAAAGAUUUUAUGCAAUUUUGGGCAUUUCUACACUUGGGACUGUUGUUUCUGUACCAAUGUUUAUGCUUUUACAGAAUUCUAAUAGCCCAGUAAAUGAUUUCACCUUAUGCCGUGAUAUCUCUUCUGAAUUUAGAAGGAAUCUCUUGCUUGAAGGGAUGAAAGAUUCUACCUUUAUAACUGGCUGGAGUUUCAUAUUCAGCUGGUGUCUUCUGCAGCUGUUGCUGCAACAACCUGUGAAUUCAAUGCCCUUAUUGUUACUAUUCAUUCAAAUCCUAGCUACCAUGUGGUAUUCUUCUGGUGGUGAUGCCCAGUUCAUUGAGGUGAGUCAUGAUGCCAAAGUUUCUGCCCAACUUUCUUACUUCUACCCACCCACUAUCAACAAUCAUGAAAGGAGAAGAAGAGUAGCAUGAGUUUAAAGUUAAUUGUCUUGAUAAGUAAGAACCUGGAAAAAUGCAGUUAAGGAAUUUUGUUUUGUUUUCUGUAGUUUGUUGAAAUAAGAUCACUGUGUAUUUCUAUACAUUUAGCUGAAGCCCUUCUUAACGGUUUCUUGUUGAUAUUAAAUGAAACUGAUGCUAGAUGUGCAAUUAAUUGAAUAUUUUUUGAACAUUCAGGUGGCUGCACUAUACUAUUUGGGAAUGGCUGGCCAUUUUGGUCUUGGUAACACCAACAAUCUAGCUACAAUUGAUGUUGCUGGUGCUUUUACUGUACUACUUCUCCCCUGAAAAGCUUUUUGAUUUCAUCCUGAUGCCUAAAGUUAUUCUAUUAGUGUGUCUGAGGUUUUUUAACUUUUUUUUUGGCUACAUCUUCAGUGACAUUGAUUUCAAUAUUGCCAGGGUGUCUCAAGCCAGUCCACCUUACUUUCUGGCAUCUUAAUGUUCAUGAUCACAUAUGCUUCCCCGAUAUUUGCUCUUCUUAGCAUGGUGCUAUAUAUAUCUGUGAAGGAUCUAGGUGGUGACCUAGAAGCCAAGGAAGUAGAUAUUGGAGAUCUGCUAAAGAGGAAUCUCAGCUUUCCUUGUCUGGUUCCGCUGGGUAUAAAUUCCAUGUUGCUGAUUGCAUACACCGUCGUCUUGCUACUAAUGAGAAAUCAUCUCUUCAUUUGGAGCGUCUUUUCUCCAAAGUAAGUCAUACUGAGCCAAUAAUGCCUAUGCAGUGUACCUAGACCACAUUCCCCACCCUAACUGUAGAUUGAGCUCUGGCAGUUGGAAAGAAUUUUGCUGUGUCCCAAGAAACAAAUGAUCUUGUUAUGCUUCAGAUUUCUUUACUGUUUAUAAAAAAAAUGAAUGGCAUCUGACAACAUGCAUCUGCACAGAAGGAAAGAUGCUCAAUUUCGUUCUAAUCAUAGGUGGAUUAACCAGAUGGAUAGUUGCCCAAAAAAAUCAGAAUCAUGAUUUUCCAGUUCCCUAACUUCCCUUUCUUUGUGCAAAAUAAAUGUCUUCAAUUCAAUCCCAGAUUCUCUUCCAGAAUCUGAACGCCACACAGUUCUUCCACAGAAAGUCUAAGGGUCUUGUGCCACUUGCUGGAGUCGAUUGCUUUCAAUAAGCACAAAUUGUAAUUUUGAAGCAUUCACUGCACUAAUCAAAUUGAUAGCAUCUAAUGGGUCCACAUGCACACAGAAAAAGGGAAAAAGGCUAGUUCAUCCAAAAUAUUUCCAAGUGGACUUCUUGAUUAGUCAUGGAAUGAUAGAAUUCUUCUUCGCAUGCCUUUUUCCCCCGUUUUGGGUGAAAGUUGUCGUUUCUUUAGCGAGCUUGUCCUCUGAGCUUAAUUUCUCCAACUGUUUUAGCUAGCUAAGGUCUAAAUGAAUUCCAUAAAUAAUCUCUUGGUUCCUGAGAUAUCAUAAACUUAACGAGGACAUCAAAGCAGGGUGCAAUAACUAAAAAAUUGCAUAGAAUGCUCUAGAUUUGAUAGAUGGAAAAAGAGUGUAAAUUAGUUAUAGUCCACUACUCUAUAUUUCAUUAUCCUGCAUGCUGUUGCAGUUGAAUGACUCAUCUUGCUUCUCCAGGUACCUGUAUGUCUGCGCCACUACCAUCUGUAUCUUUCUGGGUGUCUCUAUUGUGGCCUCAGCAGUGGUAUAUUCUUUUGGGGUUCUUGCCUUGCGAAGAAGUUGAAGAUACAUGCUGAUUUUGACUUGAAAGAGAGUGUGUUCGCCAACAGAUUUUAUCAGAUGGUUAAGAUUUCUUGCUUACUGCUCUCGUGCUAUGAGCAAAUAGAGCAGUGCAUUUUAGAAUGCAAUUCUUCAUUUCAUUUGAAAGAUGGAUCAAAUGGCAGUUUUGUAAACAUUAUUUGAUUCUGUAGCGUAGUAAAUUCUGAACAUCAGUGAUUGUAGUAAAUUCGGUGAUUUUUCCUGUGGAGAAAAUAUGAUUACACAAUAAUGGUUUUUUCUCAUUGACACCCUCACCCUUAUGACAGGGACCCAAAAUUAAAUUGUUCUACCAUGCAGUCCGAGAAUUGAUGAACAAAGCCAAAUGCUGAUUACUAUGGAUUAGUCUGUUUGUUAUUUACAUAUUAGACAGACUCGUGCAAUUGUCACAGCUAAAAAAUCUUGGUCCUAAAGACCCUUCUUGCUAGUUUCCUGUAUCCAGCAGCCACGAGUAGACUCUCAAGACUGAACCGAAAGAUCCAAUAAAACCAGACAUUUACUGGGCUAUGGCAGCAAAAAUCAAUAUGUGUACAAACAAAAGCAGAAAAACCUACGAAUGAGUUAAAAUAAGGCUGGAGGGUCCCUUUCUUGUACACUGACUAGUGUCCUCCUGUUCCUAAUCCGACGAGAGAAAUAGGUAGCCAGGAACAACUGUACCCGACAGAGUGAUUUCAGAAUAUGCCUCCAGCUACUAUUUACCCAGAAUAUGCUGUACAAGCCUGAAUAUUCGUACAUAAGUUGCUCACGUCCAAAUUCUUGCUACAUUUUAUGUACGAGGAAAUAUGCAAGAGAAGGGGCAGAAAUUAUUGUCAGGAUCGAUAAUAAUCCCAUGCAGUCAAAUAAUUCUAGUGAUCUGCAACUCUAGAAGUUAACAUGAUGAAGGCAUAAUUGCUGUACGUUGAUACUUUCAAUUUGUUAUUCCCAAUUUUGUUAUUGGGAAUGAUGCAAGAUUAAGGCCCGAGAACGGAUUCACUGUCAUAUGACUGAUCCGCGAUUACUAGCUUCAUGUAGGCGAUAACCAUCUCGAGAAAAUUACUUCACUGUUGCGGAGCGGAAAACAAUGUUCGUAUUCCAUGUAUUCUUGGCAAAGUACAAGGGGAUAUUGGCAUUCAACCCGUAAAGAAUCACUAAGAAUAGAUAAGCACCUAAAACUCCUCCAUGGACAAACUUUUUCAGGUAAGGAAUCAGAGUUACCUAGUAAUCUGGGAAUUGGAUUUGUGUUUCUUUGCUUUAGUUCAAGAAUUUUUAGGCUUAUAUUAUCACUUGCAUUUUUUUUUGUAAAGAUAAACAUUUGUGUAAUGGCAAGUAAGUUUUUGCCGAAGUUUGUCUGCUACAAGUUUUUUAACAAUUUUAGCUACAGUAACAUCAAAAAACUUAUCAAAGUUUUUAAACCAUACACUUCAAAAUAUCCAAAAAUUUACACAUUUCAAAAAUUUUUUCUACAAUUUCUACGAUAAAGUAAAAUUUUACACAAAUACCCAAAAAACUCGCUUGCCAAAUGGGCCCUAGUUCUUGGUACACUUUUGUGGAGUUAUUGGUAGACUUUUGUGGUUAAGGCAUGCUCAAUGUGUCUGCUUAUAGGGUGACUAAUAUAGGAUCUUUAACAGGGAAAAUGGAACAGUGUGGAUCUUUAAAAGAAUAUAAAGAACAAUGUGAUUAGUGAGUAAUUAAUUUAUCCAGCAAAGUGAGAUAUUAGGCGUAGAGGGAAAGGUUUAUUUAUGGCACAUUUAAUUCAGGUUUUACGUAUCAAAAGUUUCCAAAAAAAAAAAUCUCAGAGAUAGUCCCUUCCCAUUCAACACUUGCUUGUUCCAUUUCAAAAGUGGACAAAGAUGUAUGACUAUAAACGCCUAUACAUUAAUUGGUUAAUGAUUUGAUUCAGUGCUCUCUUAAUUUUCUUUCUCAAUAAAGGCAAUCGGACAUGCUCCUGUUUGAGGAAUCCUUUGUACUAAUUCGUAAAAGAAGCACCUGUUGUUGUUGGCGUUUGGCAAAGAUCCCCACCUGUUUGUUUUCCUCCUUGUUAAAAAGAGGGUCUUGGGAUAGGUACAAUUGCACCAGGUUGAGUUCUUUUAUAAGAUGAAGUUUUGUCUGUGAAUUUUUUAUCACAUAUACUAUGCCAAAAGUAAAAAUUAUCAUAAAAUCGUCCUCGAAGUAAAACCAUGUUUUGGGGGUUUUUUUUAACGAACGAGGUAAUGUAAAAGUCUUUUACAUCCCAUAAGUUCCAUUAACCUACCAAAGCUGUAAGAAUCUUAAAUUUUUUUAAUUUAUCUUUACUAAUUUUAGGCCUAAAAUUAAUCCACCUCAAGAAAACAAGAUUAUUGUGCAUUCGAAUUGUGACACAGGAAAGGCCACAAAAGUUGCAUUAUUAGUAACUCUUGAUCCAUACUCCACUAUUUAUGUGCGAGCAUCUUAAUUUUACUGUGUUACUAACAAUUAUAUAUUUUUGUAUUACAUUUUUACUGCAUUACUACAGUGAGGUAAACAAUAUAUAUAUAUUUAUAUAAACUUUAAAAUAUCGGGCAAUAACUAAUCCUAUUACCAAUCAAAUUUCAAAUCUAAAACUUUCCCACUAUCCCUUAGAUGAAUCAAUUGAGUGUUUCAUAAACCAUUUACGGUUUGUUAUUUAAACAUUAAACCCUUUUUAUUCCUUAAUUAAAGAAAAUACAUUUGUCAUGCUAAAUUCUAAGGGAUAAUUGAUUAGUCCCAUUCUAAAAUUAUUCACCCUAUUAUUCCUAUUUUUUAGUUAUUCACCCAAUUAUAUUCUAGGUACUAUAAUCAUUUGUCAAUCUCUUCUAGUGAUAUAUUCAAUUAGUCCUAUUUUUUAAUGGUUUAUCCAUAAUCACUAAAUCAAUUUUCUUGUGGGCUUAAACUCAUCUUAAUUUUUUUUUGUAUUUAGUGAGUUUAAGGCAUUUUGAUAGCUUUGCUUUUCUAAGUUUAAUAUUUUUUAUGUUAGACUUUAUUUAGUAGGUUUUUUUUUUCAAAGUUUUAAAAUUUUAAUGUUGAAAUUUAUACUCUAAUAUUAAAUUUGGAGUAUGUACCUAAUCGUGAUGACAUUUUAUUUGCACUUAGAAUAAACUCAAUAUUAAUAUCAUGCAAGCAUCUAGAUGAUUUUCAUAUAGCAUAUGUGCAUCAAAAUAUGCAUAUCAAAGUUAUGUAUAAAUUCUAAAUCAAUAAAGGCAUACUUAAAUGGUUGUUUUUGGCAGUAUUUUAGCAAAAUUUUGAUGAAAAGUGUAGUAUUUCACCAAACUCCCAAAAGCUUACUUUUUCUCGAUGAUUGCAAUUCUAACUUCUAACAAAUAAGGCAAUGCAUCCCUAGACAGUGAAAGAAAUGGAAAGAUUAUUCUAGCUGUUUAUAUGUCCAAAAACACUUAAAAAGUGAAGUAAUGAAUCCUAAAUAGUGAAAAGAGUGGGAAGAUAAGACUAUAGGAUUGGAGAGGAUAGAGGUUGGGGAAGAGCUAUAGAACUGGAUGAUUCAUGUGAGUUUUGACGAGUUAUAAUUGAGUUAACAUAUGUAUAUCUACUUAGUUAAUGGUUCAAAAUGCACGAAUCAUCAAUGAAAACAGUUUUAGAUGGGUUUGAAUUAUCUAAUUACCCAUUCACGUCCCACUACUAAAUUUUUUUUACUUUUUCUUCCAUAUUUUGUUUAGCAACAAAGUAGUAUAUCAUUGUAAACAAAAGAAAACAACAUAUUAAAUUAGUAAAUCAAUUUUUAUCGAAAGAAAGAGAACAAAUAUAAAAAAUUUCGCAGAGGAACCUAAAAUUGUGAUCAUAGUGAAUUUCAAAUUUUAUCACUUUUCAAGAAUGUAAAAAUAACUUAUGUAUUAAUGCAAUUAAUCAAUUAACACUUAGGAAAUUUAUUAGACUUCUAUGAAAUGAAGGGAGGAAGUAGGAUAAAAUUUUAAAAAAUAAAAGAAUAGAAAUUAAAAAAGAGGAAAAAUGAAAAAUAUGUCUUUGUAAAUAAUUAGAAUAUAAUUAUUGGAGUGAUUUAGAUUUACCCAUUAAUGAUAUAAACAUGUCAAAAUAAGUGAUUCAAACAUGUCAAUUUAAUACCCAUUAAUUACUGGGUUUAAUUAGGUCACUUGUUUAUUUGUUGAUGGGCGAGUCAAGUAAAUAGGUUACCAUUUACAUUUAUAAAUAAAUAAAAAUAAUAGUAGCACAGGAGGCAAGUGCAUUGCAAAAUUGAGUACGAUAUAGGGUAAUUAGGUAGGAGCAGGAUAGAGCAAAUAGAAAAUAGAAUUUUGGGGAAUAUGAAGUAUUAGAGAGUUGUGACUUGUGAGAAAGUUGGCUAAUAAGAAAGGUGAGGAAAAGGAUAGUGGAGAGUAGAGGGAUAGGGUGGAGAAAAUGGUACUAAGAGGGAGAAUAUGGGAGAGAGAGGUAUUAAUGUUGUGUUUGGUGUGUGAUGCGACAGCCAAGAACGCAGUCCGAGCUGAGCUGCUGCAGACCGAGCUGGUUGGGGGCCGCCGAGCUGAGAGGGGGAAGGCCGAGCUGAAUAUCCUGCGAAGAAGAACGAAGACGGGACUAGAAUCCCCGGAAUAGCUCCGACGAUCAAGUCAGUAGAGUUUAAGAGUAGGACAACAAUAGAGACUGUGGAUGGCGUACCUUGUAUUGUCGUGUGGUGCCAUAUUUAUAGGCUUCAGGGUAGUGGUUUCCAUAUAGGAGUAGGAGUCCCCUUAGGGUUCGGAGUCCUUCUAGGGUUUCGUAUGACAAUCCCUAAAGGUUCGGAGGCAGCGGCCCACUAGGCCUACUCUAGGGAGAGGCGGCGGCAGUGGCCGAGCUGACCUCCCUCUAAAUCGAGCUGAGGUGUCUGAGCUGGGAGACCUCUAUUGCUGACCUCGUGUGUGCCAGAGUCGAGCUGACACCUGUCACAUGUGGAUUGACCCCACUACUCUAUCCCCCUUUGAGUCUAGAGUCACCGAGAGGUCGCGUGAGUCAGGACCAAAUUACGAGGCAUCGGGUCAGUUCGGCGUGGGGUCCACGAUCCCAUAACUAUGCCUCUUAUUCGAAUAACUGCCACGUCUACUGUCGUAACUGUCGCUUCAAAGGUCAUGUCCUCUUGCAAUGGCGGUUGUCAGCUCAACCGUCUUCCAAGGUGACAGUUUUUUAGCAAUAAAUUUAAAUUUUCAAUUCGGGACUCUUCGUCUUCCCGUCCAGAUAGCCUAUAAAUAGACCUCAUCAAACGUUACUUUCAAGCUUCAUUCCUCACUUUUUCUCCUUCUAAAUCUCCAUCAGCUCGCUCCGCGCUUAGUGAGUUCGUCAGAGAGUAGCAUCUCCUUCUAAGCACCUACCAGCUCUUCUCCCUUAUCCGCUAGUAAGUCUUCUUUCUCUUUUAUGUCUUCCUCUUCCACACACUCAGACUUCAAUAGCUCGACACCUAGGCGUAGAGUAGUCCGACCUGCCCCCAUAGAUAUAAUCUCUUCUUCUUCUAGCUCCUCAUCCUCUAGUUCAUCUGGGUUUGAGUACUACCUUUCCCAAUACAUUCUCCAACCCACAACAUGGACCAACUGGACCAACCUGCCCAACCUGACACUGGAGCUGCUGCCCCAGUAAUUCCACUGGAAGCAGUCCUAGGUCGCGCCAGGGCAGGUCUCUCUAGGGGGCCUGACAUCGACUUCGGGGAAGUCGAGAUCAUCCCCCCCUCUUGGACCAAGAGGACGCAAACGAGUUGGUGGGGAAGUAUGACAUUCCUUUCCAGUUCGAGACUAGGACUGCCCGGCCAGGGGAGUACGCGUGUCGACCUCCUCCUGAGUCUGUGGCCAUAUAUAGAGAUCAGCUCGUAGCCGGUGACAGGUGCCGAACCUGUGCAAUAAUAAUAAAUAAAUCCUAACUACCACCUGAACAGUCAGUAAUCAAUUCGAGUACUGGAGCAGGGACUCUAGGUGUGCAAUGGGUUACUUGAUUCACCCUGUUCCCGAAGAGUUUGCUUAAUCCGAUAUACCUGAAUUAAUUAUUUAACUGAAUUCCCUAACUAGUAAACAGUGAUAAGCAGGGUCGUCUCCUCAGGGACUGGAGAGAUAUUUGUUUCUUUUCAAAUCAAGAUUAAUGGGGGGGUUUUGGUAUCAAAAGCCAACUGAACAAAUUAAAUGCAGAAACUAAUUAAUUAAAAGAAAUAACUAAGAGAAACUCUAGCCAAGGGUAUACUUCAGAAAUGGUUCAUGCACUGAUCAUUGAUUCAAAGGUAAUUCCAACAUUUAUUAAUAGAGUGGUUAUAGUUGUCUCGCACGCGCUAAACAACCAACCCUUCCUUAAUUUAUCGAUAGCUAAGGUACGACCGUUAACUAUUUCCCUAACCCAAAAACAACCCUAGGUACGACCGUAGGAUUUAAUUUUCUGGUUUGCAUUAGUAAUUAGAAAGGCCCAAUCCUAAUUAACAAACACGCUACGAGGGUUUGUUUAAAUUAGAUCAUAUGUUCCCCUGACAUAAAUCCAAUUACGCCAGUUGCUACUGGGAUAGAGAUAACGAACAAUUACGGAUUCAAUUAUCCCUAUUUAGCAAAAUAGUCUAUGUGAACAAUUAAUUAUUGCGCAUUAAUCAAUCAUACACAAGAGCUAUAACAGUUAAAAGCAGGAAACAUAUGAAUACCAAUAAAUGGAGGAAACAAUUAAAAUAAAUUAGAUCUCACAGUAAUUGUUGAACCAAAUCUUCAGUUGUCCCCUUGACUAGCAGUAGGAGGUUAGUCCUCCAUUAAUGGAGAACAACCAUGCGAAAGAGCUAAGAAAAGAGAAUCUAAAACUAUGAUAAAAGCCUAAACUAAAAAUUGGAGAUGCCGAGAGAGAGAGAGCGAGCCCCCCCUGAAGCCAGCGAAGGGAUUGUAUUUAUAGAGUCCUCGUGCGGCUGUCUCCAAAAGAGACCCAGUAGUCUUCCUACUUUUGUGGGCCAGCACGUUUAGUCAAAGAAGGAACCCAAUCAAGUGAAAUCCAAUUGAAGUCUUGUUGCCAAAUGACUCUUCACGUGCAAAUUGGCUAAGUCAGCAUUGUUCCAGAAUUGUCACCCGCGAAGGAAUCUCCAAAUAUUUGGAAGUUUGCACGUGGCCAACAAUCCCGCAAAUCCGGCUUUGGACAUCAUACUUAGGCGUGCCCACGUCUAACUGACAGGAAGGCUUCAAAAGUUAAUUUUUCAGCUCCUUUUGCCCCUAAAUGCUGCAAUUCGCAUAGAACACAAAAUCUUAGUAAAAUCCACCGAUUAGUGCAGUAUUUAGUCCAAAUAAAUAGGAAAAGAACGUGAGAAGACCGACUAAAUUGCACUCUAUCAAUUACCCCCACACCUAGAUCAUGCUUGUCCUCAAGUAUGAGAACAACAAAUCAAAUAAUCAAAUUCAAAUAAUGGCUAUUGCUCAAAUCUUCUAUUGCCAAAAUACAAUUAAAAUACAUGUCAAGUAUUAGUGGCAAUUUGCAAGAAAUAUCUCUCCAAUUAGCUUUCAAGAUCAAGGACUCUUUCAAUUUAUGACUAACUAAUCUAAGAAUAUAAAAUAUUCAACCAACAUCUGUAAGCAAAUGGUUCGACUAUUAAGCAAAAUCUCAACAAUAAAAUUCAUGGGUCAGCGGGCUAGCAAGUCAUUCAUAUUUUCCACUAUUAGCACCUUUUUUUUAAUAUCUCCACUUGAUUGAUUUUUUUUCUCGGGGGAAUGCUUAGUUUUCAGCCAUUCAAGCGUUUUGACGCGAACUCCAACAUUGGCCACAUGAAGGAGCCCAGUUACUCAGCCAUCAUCGCUUAAAAACCACAUACUCAUAGUUAUCGUCGCUUUUUGACGCGAAAGUCGACACUUGUGGUGAAAACCUCCGGUUACUAGACAACGAUACCAGCGGAGUAUAGCUGAAUACUAUUCAGAAAUAAGCACCAAAAAUAAAAUUAAAUACCACACAAACCCGCUUCAUUUCUUAAACAUGGAGAACUAAGAUUAAUAGCUGAACCAAUUUGCACAAAAAAAAAUGCUAGACAAAUAUUUACAAUACUUAGAAAAGUUAACCAAAAAGUGCAAAAGUCACAAAAUCUCAAAUAUUCACCAAAGAGAUACCCUUAAACUCAACCAUGUCAUACUCAACACCUUAAAGUGUAAAAUCUUAGCAAUAGAAAAAUUUGAAACAUCUAACCAUCGUUUAUCAGGAAUAAUCACAAAUAAGCACAAAGAUAGGCAAAAAUCGGACAAAAUUCGACAAAGUCAAACAAAAAUUCCAACAAAAAUGCCUAUACCUGCACUUUUUCAAUAAAAUGCCAAUAUACUACUCCCCCCACACCUAAAUCUUGCAUUGCCCUCAAUGUAAGCAAAGAAAGAGCAAAACAGAGAUAUUGGGGCAACGACACUUCCCUGAAGUCAUCAAAACAAUGGCAGCUCAGGUGGAAAUUGUGGAUCAAGACCUGCAUAGUGACGUCAAUGCGGGUCAUCCGAGUCUCUAGUCUCUCAACUCGCAUCUGGAGCUGGUGCCAUUCGCGGCUUCACCAUGAACUCUAAUAUCACUCUAAGCAACAAGAGACUACAAUUGCCAACAAAUAAUGGAAACCGAAAAUUCAAAGCAAUAACAAUUUUUAAAGCCAUCCCAAUGAGCAAAAUGCACAAUUCAAUCUCCCACAGAUCAAACCAGACCCCAACACUUAUAGCAAAUACAAUCAAUAAAUACAUAUGGACCCCAUAUAGUCAAAUUCAGAAUUGAGGCUGUCCAAAGUGCAACAACUGCUCCAAAUACCCCAAGCAAGUCAAUUAGAGGCAACCGACUUCAACAAACAAAUGCAAACGGCUCAUUCAUAUCCCAAUUCAACAAAUAAACGCAGGAAAAUAGCCACAAUACUAGAGCACAGCUCCGAAUAAUGCAACAGAACAACAACUCGAACAAACUAGGAACUGUGCUAGUGUCUUAAUAAAUCAACAACUUUCAGCAAUUAGACACAAUCGGACCCAAUAUCGUAACAACUGUCUCUAAUUGGACAGUCAAUUACCCACUUCAACCUGCUAAAAUUAGCAAUUGACCCAAGAAAAUGGCAACUCCAGCAGCAGCAGUUCAGAAGUUGACAAAAACGACUCAAUACAGGUGCCCAGUAGUCAAUGAGACAACCAACAGCACAGGAGUAACAAAUAUGCAGGAAACCACCCACACCAGUACCACUGGUGGACGCGCAGUAAAAAAAAAAAACUAAAUCAAAUGCCCAACAAAUCAAUGAAUAUCAGAGAAUGUUCCCGCACAUAGCAGCAAUUGAACCCAAAUUUCAGAAAGUGAAACUAAUUGGGGAAGAAAUCACAAUACCUCCACCUGUCUUAAUUGGACAGGUGGCGACGUGCGGCAAUGGAGCUGGUGGUGCCAAUGGAGGUUGACAUGCCUGCGGCUGCGCGUGGCGCUUGACUGCUGGCUGCACGCGCGAAUGUCAGCUGUCUCCAAGCUGUGGAAGAGGAGCUAGCAGCUGAGAGGUGGAGAAAGAAGAGCUCGCGUGUGGCGGUGGAAGAGACGCGGGCAGGCGGGCCCGUGAGCUGGUGGUGGCGCGGCUGCGGUCGUUGGCGCGAGGUGAGGCGGAGCUGAUGCAGAGAGAGACGCGCGAGCUGGUGCCUCGCGCGUCGUGGGCUGGUGCCUCGCGCGUCGUGGGCUGGCGGAGUGGAUGGGUCAACACUGGUGGCGCCCGGCUGGAGAAGGAGAUCGGCGGGGAAGUGGAGCUGCGGGCUGGACGGCGCACGUCACUGUGGGCUGCAGGUGGCGGCGGCGUCUGGUGGAGGGACAGAGACGAGGCUCGCGGGCUUGGAGGAGGAGCUAGUUAGAGUUGUGGCGACCGUGGAGCCUGGCCAAGCGGCGGCGUGCUUUGGGUGAUGAAGAGGAGAAGGUGCUGCGGCAGACAAAGAGAAAAGAAGGAAGAAGAAGAAAGAAAAAGAAAAGAAGGAAAAAGAAAAGAAAAAAGAAAAAAAGAAAGAAAAGAAAAAAGAAGUAGGGCUAUGUUUUUUUUUUUUUUUGUUUUUUUUUUGGAGUCAAGUAACCUUUGGCUAAGGCGUGGGCACGCCUAACUGCUAUGGAGUUCGCAGAUCCUAACAAAAAUUGCUUUCCCUCAGGCGUGACCACUUGGCAUGGGCACGUCUAACUGCUAUAGAGUCCGCAGAAUUUGAACGAAAAUUUCUUUCCCUCAGGCGUGACCACCUGGCGUUGGCACGUCUAACUACUAAUUUCCUGCCACCAAACAUCAAAUUAUUAAUUGACACUAACACUUAACUAAAACUUCAAAAAUGCAUGAAAACUGAAACAAAUAGUCUUGGGUUGCCUCCCAAGUAGCGCCUUUCUUUAAUGUCUUUGGCUAGACAUUGCCAUAUUUAUUCAUGGAGGAUAAAAUCGUGUAGCUCGCUUCAGUGCUUCAUCUUCUAUGUAAUCCUGAUAGCCCUCGUAAAUAGAGUAAUUCUUGAGCACACGAGCUACGGUCUUCCAUGGGCUAGUAGAUGGCGCCAAACAAACAAGUGAUGAUCUUAAAUCUUCACUCACUCCUCCAUCACAAGCAUUUACUGGUUUGAGAUAUAUUGCCAUCAUGACUCUUAACUUAUUCCUGGCAUGAAAUUCAAAAUCGUCUGGUAUAAUAAAAUCAAUCUCACUAACAGGAAUUAAAAAAUAAGAGUCAGGAAAAUAUUGAUUAAAGAAUGGAGGAGAUGUCACCGCAUUUGGAGAUUGUUCACUGGAUUCAUUCACUUGAACCAUUUGAUGUUGGGGUCUCAAUUCUUGCGCUUCAACUUUCUUUUUAACUACAUCUUUAGAUUCUUCUUCUUGAGACUCUUGCAGUACCAUGUCAUUUGUCAGAAUAAUUGCAUUCUCAUCUUCCUCAUGGUCGAUAAUAGUCAGUGAGGGCAAUUCUUCAUAAACUGGAGAAAUCAAUUUGCUCAUUUUAGAUGCCCAUUCACGCCUUCCUUCUUUCAUCUCUUCACUCAUCUUUUGUGUCUCCUGUUGAAGUUGAUAUACCUCCUGUUGAAGUUGAUAUACCACCUGUUGAAUUUGAUAUGUGUUAGUAGCUAUUAAUUCAACUAUUUCUUCAAGAGACAUACCUGACAUGGAUGACGGUUCUUGAGACUCAUACUGCUGAAAAUUCAUUGGCCCCGUUGUAUAAUUAUAACUGGAGUUAUCCCACCAUCCUUGAUCAUACCCAUUUGGAUUAGGGUUAUACCACGUUUGAGACCAUGGUGAAAAUUCUCCAUAAUUAUCGAAUGGGACACUCAGAUCAUCUUGAUAUUCGGAGCACACACCAGUUGAAUGAUCCUUGGCAAAACAAAUUUUACAUGUUGCAGCAGCCAUUCUUUUUCUAAUAGAGUUUACUGCCUCUGCAUAUGCCAACUUAGCCCAAAAACUAGUCUCAUCGCCCUCCUCGGAAGCAAAAUCCAUUAUAUCACCAAAAUACGGAGUGUUAGAAGCCAUAAACUAUAUAAAAAAAAUAAGAGAAAAAUAAAUAAUAAAAAAAAUGAAAACAAGAUGAACUCAAAAGGAAACAAAUUAAUCUGGCACCAGUCCCCGGCAACGGCGCCAAAAAUUGACAGGUGCCGAACCUGUGCAAUAAUAAUAAAUAAAUCCUAACUACCACCUGAAACAGUCAGUAAUCAAUUCGAGUACUGGAGCAGGGACUCUAGGUGUGCAAUGGGUUACUUGAUUCACCCUGUUCCCGAAGAGUUUGCUUAAUCCGAUAUACCUGAAUUAAUUAUUUAACUGAAUUCCCUAACUAGUAGACAGUGAUAAGCAGGGUCGUCUCCUCAGGGACUGGAGAGAUAUUUGUUUCUUUUCAAAUCAAGAUUAAUGGGGGGGUUUUGGUAUCAAAAGCCAACUGAACAAAUUAAAUGCAGAAACUAAUUAAUUAAAAGAAAUAACUAAGAGAAACUCUAGCCAAGGGUAUACUUCAGAAAUGGUUCAUGCACUGAUCAUUGAUUCAAAGGUAAUUCCAACAUUUAUUAAUAGAGUGAUUAUAGUUGUCUCGCACGCGCUAAACAACCAACCCUUCCUUAAUUUAUCGAUAGCUAAGGUACGACCGUUAACUAUUUCCCUAACCCAAAAACAACCCUAGGUACGACCGUAGGAUUUAAUUUUCUGGUUUGCAUUAGUAAUUAGAAAGGCCCAAUCCUAAUUAACAAACACGCUACGAGGGUUUGUUUAAAUUAGAUCAUAUGUUCCCCUGACAUAAAUCCAAUUACGCCAGUUGCUACUGGGAUAGAGAUAACGAACAAUUACGGAUUCAAUUAUCCCUAUUUAGCAAAAUAGUCUAUGUGAACAAUUAAUUAUUGCGCAUUAAUCAAUCAUACACAAGAGCUAUAACAGUUAAAAGCAGGAAACAUAUGAAUACCAAUAAAUGGAGGAAACAAUUAAAAUAAAUUAGAUCUCACAGUAAUUGUUGAACCAAAUCUUCAGUUGUCCCCUUGACUAGCAGUAGGAGGUUAGUCCUCCAUUAAUGGAGAACAACCAUGCGAAAGAGCUAAGAAAAGAGAAUCUAAAACUAUGAUAAAAGCCUAAACUAAAAAUUGGAGAUGCCGAGAGAGAGAGAGCGAGCCCCCCCUGAAGCCAGCGAAGGGAUUGUAUUUAUAGAGUCCUCGUGCGGCUGUCUCCAAAAGAGACCCAGUAGUCUUCCUACUUUUGUGGGCCAGCACGUUUAGUCAAAGAAGGAACCCAAUCAAGUGAAAUCCAAUUGAAGUCUUGUUGCCAAAUGACUCUUCACGUGCAAAUUGGCUAAGUCAGCAUUGUUCCAGAAUUGUCACCCGCGAAGGAAUCUCCAAAUAUUUGGAAGUUUGCACGUGGCCAACAAUCCCGCAAAUCCGGCUUUGGACAUCAUACUUAGGCGUGCCCACGUCUAACUGACAGGAAGGCUUCAAAAGUUAAUUUUUCAGCUCCUUUUGCCCCUAAAUGCUGCAAUUCGCAUAGAACACAAAAUCUUAGUAAAAUCCACCGAUUAGUGCAGUAUUUAGUCCAAAUAAAUAGGAAAAGAACGUGAGAAGACCGACUAAAUUGCACUCUAUCAGCCGGCCUCCGUCUCUCAAUUCCUCACUUUCUCUACGAAAUCCUGACCUUUUGGGGAAUUCGAAUAAUCCAGCUCGUCCCCAAUGCAGUCAGAUCGAUACUAGGCUUCUUCAUCUUGUGCCGCCUUCUUGAGAUCCCCUACUCCCUGGACCUGUUUAGGUCAUUCUUUCAGAUGAAGGUCAGUGGACCAGUUCACGGUUGGUUCUACUUCGCUCGUAGGAGCGGGGGAGAGCUCCCGACCCGUGAGCUGUUCACGCAAGCCUCUUCCUCCAUUAAGGGCUGGAAGGCUCAGUUCUUCUACGUGAAGAACACAGGCUUUCCUCCUUGACCUGGAGGGAGGAGACCCAGGUAUCCGACCCUACUCCUUCACCUCUGCCAACGGUCGAGCUAGACCGCCUGGUUAGCUCGGGAGCUAGGUUGAAGGUGAAGGAAUUCAACAACGCCCGAACUCUGGUCUGCGGGGCUGAUUCAGGCAGAGGUGAACGACCCUGCCCCCGAUCUCCGACCUCUCACCUCCGAGGAGCUGGCAACUCGUAAAUUCUUGUUCUCAUCUCCUUUCUUCUUUUUCUGCGAGCUCGACUAUGUUAUUUGCACUGACUUUUUUUCUUCGUCUUGUAGUGAAUAGAUUCUCCCAACUACUGAAUAUAGGGGGAACAGGCAGCUCUAGCAUACCUGCCACCGUACCGCCUGCUGCACCGGACAGCUCGGGCCUUGCCGCUCCCCCUCCUGCUCCAGCCCCCCAGGCCCCUGCUCAGUCCUCUCUUACUGAGGGGGCCAAGAAGAAGAGGAAGAAAUCCACGGCCAAGAGAGCCUGAACCGAGAUCAUCUCUUCCCCUGCCCAAGCGCUGCAACCAACGUCCACUGAUGCCCCCUGGAGCACUAUGGGGUAAACUCAGUCGAGCAGCAGGCCUCGUCAGAGUCACCGCCUGCUAUGUGGCGCCAGAGGAACGUGAUUCCUUUGAAGCCUCCCUCCCAGCUGAGUGCCCAUCCGUGACCUCGUGUCAGCCCGAACGUGAUCAAGUCAGUAGAGUUUAAGAGUAGGACAACAAUAGAGAGUACUGUGGAUGGCGUACCUUGUAUUGUCGUGUGAUGCGGUAUUUAUAUGCUUCAGGGUAGUGGUUUCCAUAUAGGAGUAAGAGUCCCCUUAGGGUUCGGAGUCCUUCUAGGGUUUCGUAUGACAACCCCUAAAGGUUCGGAGGCGGCGGCCCACUAGACCCACUCUAGGGAGAGGCGGCGGUAGUGGCCGAGCUGACCUCCCUCUAAAUCGAGCUGAGGCGUCUGAGCUGGGAGACCUCUAUUGCUGACCUCAUGUGUGCUAGAGCCGAGUUGACACGUAUCACAUGUGGAUUGGCCCUACUACACUAUCCCCCUUUGAAUCUAGAGUCACCGAGAGGUCGAGUGAGUCUGGACCAAAUUACGAGGCGUCGGGUCGGUUCGGCGUAGGGUCCACGAUCCCAUAGCUAUGCCUCUUGUUCGAAUAACUGCCACGUCUACUGUCGUAACUGUCGCUUCAAAGGUCAUGUCCUCUUGCAAUGGCGGUUAUCAGCUCAACCGUCUUCCAAGGUGACAGUUUCUUAGCAAUAAAUUUGAAAUUUCAAUUCGGGACUCUUCGUCUUCCCGUCCAGAUAGCCUAUAAAUAGACCCCAUCAAACGUUACUUUCAAGCUUCAUUCCUCACUUUUUCUCCUUCUAAAUCUCCAUCAGCUCGCUCCGCGCUUAGUGAGUUCGUCAGAGAGUAGCAUCUCCUUCUAAGCACCUACCAGCUCUUCUCCCUUAUCCGCUAGUAAGUCUUCUUUCUCUUUUAUGUCUUCCUCUUCCACACACUCAGACUUCAAUAGCUCGACACCUAGGCGUAGAGUAGUCCGACCUGCCCCCAUAGAUAUAAUCUCUUCUUCUUCUAGCUCCUCAUCCUCUAGUUCAUCUGGGUUUGAGUACUACCUUUCCCAAUACAUUCUCCAACCCACAACAUGGACCAACUGGACCAACCUGCCCAACCUGACACUGGAGCUGCUGCCCCAGUAAUUCCACUGGAAGCAGUCCUAGGUCGCGCCAGGGCAGGUCUCUCUAGGGGGCCUGACAUCGACUUCGGGGAAGUCGAGAUCAUCCCCCCCUCUUGGACCAAGAGGACAAAAACGAGUUGGUGGGGAAGUAUGAUAUUCCUUCCCAGUUCUAGGCUAGGGCUGCCCGGCCAGGGGAGUACGCGUGUCGACCUCCUCCUGAGUCUGUGGCCAUAUAUAGAGAUCAGCUCGUAGCCGCCCUCCGUCUCUCAAUUCCUCACUUCCUCUACGAAAUCCUGACCUUCUGGGGAAUUCGAAUAAUCCAGCUCGUCCCCAAUGCAGUCAGAUCGAUACUAGGUUUCUUCAUCUUGUGCCGCCUUCUUGAGAUCCCCUACUCCCUGGACCUGUUUAGGUCAUUCUUUCAGAUGAAGGUCAGUGGACCAGUUCACGGUUGGUUCUACUUAACUCGUAGGAGCGGGGGAGAGCUCUCGACCCGUGAGCUGUUCACGCAAGCCCCUUCCUCCAUUAGGGGCUGGAAGGCUCAGUUCUUUUACGUGAAGAACACAGGCUUUCCUCCUUGACCUGGAGGGAGGAGACCCAAGUAUCCGACCAUAUUCCUUCACCUCUGCCAACGGUCGAGCUAGAUCGCCUGGUUAGCUCGGGAGCUAGGUUGAAGGUGAAGGAAUUUAACAACACCCGAACUCUGGUCUGCGGGGCUGAUUCAGGCAGAGGUGAACGACCCUACCCCGAUCUCCGACCUCUCACAUCCGAGGAGCUGGCAACUCGUAAAUUCUUGAUCUCAUCAUCCUUUCUUCUUUUUCUGCGAGCUCGACUAUGUUAUUUGUGCUGACUUUUUUUCUUCGUCUUGUAGUGAAUAGAUUCUCCCAACUACUGAAUAUAGGGGGAACAGGCAGCUCUAGUAUACCUGCCACCGUACCGCCUGCUGCGCCGGACAGCUCGGGCCUUGCCGCUCCCCCUCCUGCUCCAGCCCCCCAGGCCCCUGCUCAGUCCUCUCUUACUGAGGGGGCCAAGAAGAAGAGGAAGAAAUCCACGGCCAAGAGAGCUCGAAUCGAGAUCAUCUCUUCCCCUGCCCAAGCGUUGCAACCAACGUCCACUGAUGCCUCCUGGAGCACUAUGGGGUAAACUCAGUCGAGCAGCAGGCCUCGUCAGAGUCACCGCCUGCUAUGUGGCGCCAGGGGAACGUGAUUCUUUUGAAGCCUCCCUCCCAGCUGAGUGCCCAUCCGCACCCCCUACAUUUUUGCCCUAAAUGGGGGUUAUCGGUGAAUGACCGAACUCAAUUUUCGGAAGCAGCUCGAGAGCUCCUCAGGGGCACAAUGCUCCCGCGCGAUCAUCACUACAUUCGACUUGCGUCCAACUCCGAACUGCUGGAGCACUACUACCUUAGCGCGGCUCAGGUAACUCCUCAACUAGCGGCAUUUUAUUGGUAUUUCCUUGACCUAUUGAUCCUCACCUUGAGUUUAACUGGCAUCUUAACGUGGCUGGUGCUGAGCUGUCACAGAGGUAUGAAAACAUGGGAGAGAAUCUCUCCCAAGCUGAUGCGGCCAAGGACAGGCUGUCCAGUCAGCUUUAGGCAGCUGAAACAGAGCUGGAAUCCUUGAAGAAGCAGCUCGCCGAAACCUAGUCUGCCUGCGAGUUGGAGAAGAAAAGGGCAGCGAAACUGACCUCGCAGCUAGAUACUGAGUAGAGGAAAUUUGCUGAGCUACCUGGUCAGAUCGAAGCUGCUCGUGAGGAAGGUCGCCAACUCGGCAUCAAGGACUUCAAAAAAUCUGAGGGCUUCCUGAAAGACCUGGCCCUCCUCAACGGGCCAAUCCUGCAAGUGGGGUAUGCUCAGGCAAUGCACGACGUGCAGUCCCUGAACCUGCUUGAGUUUGACUUGGGCAGGUAGCCUGAAUACAACUCUCAAGCCAUCCACCAAAUCGAUAGGCUCGUGGAGGGCUAUGUGCAUGGGUGCGACCUGACCAUCCUGAUCGCCGACCCUACUUUGGCCGCGACCUCUCCUGAGCUCGAGUAGGAGCAGCAGGGGGAAAAUUAGGGAGCGCUUAGCAUAGGCGUAGAUAGGGAUUAGAGCAGGGUAGGAACUGAACUGGCCAACUCGUUUUUGUAUGGCCCCCCUUAUGUACAUAUCUUUUUGAAAUGGAAUAGAUGGUCUUUUCAUCAAACACUUAGUAAAAAUUAUUUAUUUCUUCAUAGGAUUUUGAAUACAUUCUUACGACUCCAAGUAUCGAGCUAUCAAAAUGCCGAGCUGACCUCUUCAGCUGUUACUAAGUAAAAGACUACCUAGUUCACACUCUCCAGCUCGGGCAGAGCUCUAACGAAAGAGCCUUAAAUUUGAAUUGUGCCAGGUGCGCGGGACUUCAUCCCCAUUGAGAUGAGCUAGCUUACAGUACCUCGCACGAUCAGUUUCUUUCACCACGUAGGGACCCCUCCCAAUUUGGAUCUAACUUGCCCGUGCCCCCAACUCGACUUACGGAGUUUCUGCGUAAUACAGAUCCCUCGGUCUGAAGGAGAGGUGCCUGACUCUAGCGUUGUAGUACCGCGCGACCUGACCCUUGUAUUUAGCCAUUCUUAUGCACGUUUCUUCCUUACGGUGCUUGAGCAGGUCUAAGUUGAACCGCAUCUCCUUCUCAUUAUUCUGGGCCACAAAAUGUUGCACCCUGCUUGAGGGUACUCCGAUUGCUGCCGGGAUUACUGCUUCAAUCUCAUAUGUCAGGACGAACGGGGUUUCCAGGGUGGCUGUCCGAGGUGUAGUCCGGUAAGCCCACAGUAUGGUGGGCAGCCCAUCCAACCACCCUGUUCGAACAGAUUCUAUUCGUGUCUUCAACCCGUGCAGGUUGGUUCUAUUAGCAUUCUCGACCUGUCCAUUAGAUUGUGGGUGCCCCACGGAAGUGAAGUGCUGCUAGAUGCCGAGCUCAGAGCACCACUUCUGGAAGAAACUGUCCACGAACUGUCGGUCAUUAUCUGAGACUAGGAUCCGGGGUAUGCCAAAUCGACAGAUUAUGUUCUUCCAAAGGAAUUUCUGAAUCAACCUGCUAUUGAUUGUGCUAAGUGGUUCGGCCUCUAUCCUUUUAGUAAAGUAGUCAACAGCUACCACAAGAUGCUCAUAACCUCUUGGAGCUCGGGAAAAUGGGCCUAGCAGGUCAAUCCCCCGUUGGAAGAACGGCCACGGGAUAUGGAGAGGAAUCAUCUCGAGUUGGGCAUGGUGAAUUGGUGCGUGCAACUGACAAGACUUACAUCUGGCAUUCUGGCCACCAGCUUAGCUGAGUCUCGGAAGAUGGUGGGUCAAUAGUAUCCAGAUAACAUUUCCUUCUUGGCCAAUACCCUUGGUUCGACGUGAUUACCACAGAUGCCCUCAUGCAACUCGCGCAAGACAUGCUCCCCUCCUCUGGCGUUACUUACUUUAGCCAUGGCUGCAAGUAGGAUUUUAUAUAUAGUACUCCCUGCGUGAGCAUGUACUUCUGUGACUUGAGAAAGAUUUUGCGGGCCUCUGUCCUGCUCGGGGGAGCUCUCUAUGAUCUAGGUAUUGGACAAUGGGGUCCAUCCAAGAGCUCAUCACCUGAAUGACUGUGGCGUUUAACUGCUCAUACGCCCGACUUUUAACGACCUCCACCCAUAUCUCUCGAUUUAGAGUGCUAAACGAGGUAGAUGCCAGCUUGGACAGGGCAUCAGCUCUCUUGUUUUGGUUUCGUGGGAUCUGCUCGAGAAUGAACUGCUUGAACUGGUCCCUUAAUUCAUGUGUUUUGGCAACGUACUUCCUCAGUGGCCCCUCUAUAACCUCGUAGCUCCCCCAUACUUGGUUCACUAUCAGCUGCGAAUCGCUGUAGACUUUUAUUGAUUCAGCCCCUAAUUUUCGAGCUAUCUCCAUCCCCGCAAUCAGGGCCUUAUACUCAGAUUCAUUAUUAGAGGUUCUAAAAUCGAAUCUCAAGGCGUAGGCCAGUUCUUCUCCUGUUGGGCUGAUUAGAAGAAGACCUGCUCCACAUCCUUCCUUGCUUGAUGCACCGUCAACGUACAGCGUCCAGACUGGACCUGUUCGUCCUGCAGCCUCUAUAGCCUUUCUGGUUUGAGCAGUCCAUCUGGCCAGCUCGGCCUUGACUGCUCCUCCAGAAUGCGCGAUCUCGGCAGCUUCUCUGGCCUGUCCGACCUUAGUAGCCUCUCUGACCUGCUUGGCCUCAGCAGCUUCUUGGGUCUGCCUGGUCUCAGUUACUUCUCUGGCCUGUUCGACCUCAGCAGUCUUUCUGGUCUGUCCGACUUUAGUUGCCUCUCUGGCCUGCUCGGCCUCAGUAGCUUCUCGGGUCUGCCUGGCCUUAGCUACUUCUCUGGCCUGUUCUGUUUGGCCUCAACUGCUUUUCCGACCUGUUCGACCUCUGCUAUCUUAUUGGCCUGGGCGACCCUGGCAGUGUCUUUAACCUGCAAGAUCUCAACUGCCUUUUGGGUCUGUGUGGUCUUGGUAGUUUCUUGGACCUGUAAGGCUUUGGCUGCUCGUCUGGUGCGUGCGUUCUCAGCAGUUUCUUUGACUUUCCCGGCCUUACUUGCUUCCUUGGUUUGGUCAACCUUAGUCCCGGGAAAUCCAAAGAAAACGCAUUCUACUAUGAAGUCUGCCAAGACUUGGGAUUUGAUGGCCGUCCUCGGCUGGUAUCCGAGAUCGUACUCUGACAGCUCUACGUCCCAUUUCACCAUUCAUUCCGAGACAUCGGGUUUAGAGAGGAUCUGUUUCAGGGGUUGGUCCGUCACCACUAUUAUGGGAUGAGCUUGGAAGCACGACCUGAGCUUCCGAACUGCAUGAACUAAUGUCAAGACAUAUCAUUCUACCGUCGAAUACCUCACUUCGGCCCCCUGUAGGGCGCGACUAACAUAGUAUACAGGUUUUUGGACUUUGUUUUCCUCUUGUACCAGCACCGCGCUAACGGCCUCCUCCCCCACAGUUAAAUAGAUGAACAGGGUUUCACCAUGCUCUGGAGAAGUUAGGGCCGGCAACCGAGUAAGGUGGGUUUUUAGCUCAUCGAACGCUUUUUGGCACUCCGAUCUCCACUCGAAUUGCGAACCUCCUCUUAGAGCUUUAAAGAAAUGGGAGUCCCAAACUGCUGAUUUAGACAAGAACCUGUCCAAAACCGCCAUCCUUCCAGUCAGGCGCUGUACCUUCUUAACAUUUCGAUGAGGAGCCAUGUCUAUGAUGGCCUUGAUUUUGUCCAGGUUAGCUCUUACCACUUCUUUGGAAAUCAUGUAACCUAAAAAUUUUCUCGACCUAACCCCAAAGGUACAUUUCUUAGGGUUUAGCCGCAUCCAUGAGCUCCGAAGGACAUCGAAGAUUUCCCUAAGAUUAGCAAUGAACUGUUCUUGAGUCCGACUCUUCACCAACAUGUCAUCCACGUAGACCUCCAUAUUUCGACCGAUCUGAUCCUUAAACAAUCUAUUGACCAGCGUCUGGUAGGUCGCGCCUGCAUUCUUUAGCCCAAACGGCAUGGUGACAUAACAGUCAGUUUCGUUCUCAGUCAUAAACGAGGUCUUUUCCUGAUUCUCCUCAUCCAGUGUUAUUUGAUGAUACCCUUUGAAGGCGUCCAAAAAAUAAAAAAUCUCAUAUUCCGAGGUUGAAUCCACAAGCUGAUCAAUUUGCCGGAGGGGGUAGCAGUCCUUUGGGCAGACCUUAUUUAAGUUAGUGAAGUCCACGCACAUCCUCCAAACUCUUUCUUCCUUCUUGACCAGCACCGGAUUGGCCAGCCAUGUCGGGUAAUAGACAUCUUUCACGAUCUUGGUUUCUAACAGCUUGCCUACCUCACUUUUGACGGCCUCGUUUCGUUCAGGCGCAAAGUUCCUCUAUUUCUGUUUUACUGGUCGGACGUUGGGGUCCACGUAUAGCUUGUGAACCGCUAGCUCGGUGGGGAUUCCAAGCAUGUCAUCAGCACUUCAAGCAAAUAUUUUCGCAUAUUCUUCUAAAAGGGAUUCUAUAGAGUUCUGGGUCAACUCGCUGAGGCAGGUGCCGACCUUAACCGUACACUCAGGUCGGUUUGGGCGGACGGGCAGCUCAACCAGCCCCUUAUCCGUCUCCAGUCUCUCUCUUUUCUCCAUGGGCUCCCAGGGCUCCAAACAAGUUGUUUGAACUACCAAUUUUUCCUUGCCAUUGAGAGUUGCAAUAUAACAGGCUCUAGCCACCUCCGGAUCUUCGAGCACUUCAACUACCCCAAUAGGGGUAGGAAAUUUCAUGCUGAGGUGCAAGGUGGAGCAGACAGCCCAGAGGACGUUCAGGGUGGGUGGUCCCAGAAUCAUAUUGUACGAUGAGGGCCCUCUUACCACCGUGAAAUUCACUGGCACAGUUCGACACUUUGGUGACACCCCCACCAUGACCAUGAGAGUUAUCAUUCCCUUCGGCCUCACCGGAGGACCAACAAAUCUGAUCAAUGGAGUUCAGACUGAGAUGAGCUGUCUGUCCUCCAGCUACAGCUCUUUAAAGGUCUUGUAGUACAGCACAUCGAUGGCACUGCCAUUAUCAAUGUAUACCUUCUUCACUUUGUAGUUGCAGGUUGUGAGAACCCAUAAAUUUCUCUUAAUAAUUUUCUUAGGGUUUAUCCCCUUUAAUGGCAUGUUUUCUGCAUUUUCUGGUUUAGGAAAAAUUUUUCUGGUGAAUUUUAUGAGUAAUUAUGUUUUUAGAUGAUUUUUUAGUAUUGGAGAGUUUUUGAAAAACUAAGGAUAUAUAACGGAUGUGGGAUCCACUAGUGCGAAAAGUUCGGAAAAAUUCGGUCAAUUAGGUUAAGUUUCGGAUACUGGUUGAAAUUUAUCGGGUGUUAAGAGAUAAGUAGAGGUUGAGAUGUGAUUGAUGUGAGAGAGACUUAAAGGAUAGAAAUGCUUUAAAUAUAGUGACAAGUGUCACUUGGUGAAUGGUGGCACUUGUAGGACAACUAUUCAUUUUCUUGACUUUUUGACCAAUUGCUUAAAUAUCUCAAAAAUCACACAAAAUUCAUUCUUGUCUUCAACUUCUUGGCCGGCUCUCUCUCUAGGAAAAGAAAGAAAACUUCUCCAAUUUUCAAGCUUCCAACUAACUCAAAUCCUCCAAAACAAUUGCUUAAAUUUGUUUCUACUCCAUAAAAUCCCUCCAUUUGGUGCUAGUAAGUGAUUUUGUGGAAGUGUUCAAGGAAGCUAAGGUGUCCUACAACUCUCCCUCUCUUGUGUUCUAGGUAAGUGGUGUUUGAACUUCCUCCUACACUUAAUGAAGCUUGAGUUGUGCUUAGUGGAAGCUAAAGUGAUGACCUUUGUGAUUUAUUUCUUGCUUUUGGAUGAAAUGAUGAAGUUUUCAAUUUAAUGGUGAUUUUUCUGGUUUAAUUUGAUCAUGAGGUUGUGGCUGUCCAUGAUGGUUGGAAAUGAUGUUUUAUGACUCUAUUAGAUGUAAAUGAUUGGUAAUUGUAACCAAUUUUGGAUUUGGAAGGAAACGUGAGAAGUUAGGGUUUCAUAACCCCAUUUUCUGUCCGAUUUUGUAUCAUAUGGUUAGAGGUGAAUUGGCCUUUGCUUAAAACAUAAAAGUUAUAGGUAUUGAUGUGUUUGAGGUGCCUGUAAAAUUUCAGGUCAUUUGGAGUAGUGUAGAGUGAGAAAUGUCGAAAUUACUAUUGCUGUUCUGGGUUCAUCAGGAUGGCAGAACUGCGCCUGUAAUUGGCUGUGUUGACUGGAAUUGCUUUGGAUUUGGUUGUUGAGGCCUUCUGAUGAAAUGUAGCUUGAUGUCUUAGCUACCGCAUGCCUUUGGAAUCAAUGAAUUUGGACUUGUAUAGACUGAGUUGGACUAAUUACAGCAUAGUGUAAUUUGUAAACCUGCAAUUAAGGUUCUGGUUUGGUAUCUUGCAUAUUUGACCUGGUUGUGAUAGGAAUUGGACUGAGUGACCUUCUACAUUGUUGUAGCCCUGGUUCUUAGCUUCAAAACGGUGGAUCUUACACCCUCAUCUGAUAAUCGUAGUGAAAUUGGUACCAUUACCGCAAAAUGAGGAUAAAAACUAUUUUUUUUUCAGGACCAAAGUUAAUUGCAUUUCCGGAUUUUCUGGUUACCUAUGAUACUUGUAUAUGCAUAUGAAACCCUAUUGGGGUUGUGAUUGGCAUUGCUUUAUGACUCGUUAUCGAGUCUCAUUGUACUUGUUUACGUGUUCUAGGGCGUGACGGUGGUUCACGACAUUCUCUUGACGGAAGUGCAUGAAACAACACUUAAUUGAUAAGUGAGUAUACUACUCACUUGAAUGUUACAAUGUGGCUUUGCUAUAUGUGAUUUUGAUGCCUUGAAAGCUUAUUUGGCUAUUGGAAUUGAUUGAGGUGAGGGUGUACUUGACCGUCCUCAUCCCUUGUGAUACCGUUAAUGACUGUUUACCGCUUCACUGAUAUACUGCACUUGCUAUAUGAGAUAUUGAAUUCACUUCAUGAAAAACUGAUUUGAUGUCGUUUGGACGAGUAUCCAACGGCCUUACUGUACUACUGACCUCAACCUCGUUGGUAGUCAAUUGAAUCGAGCCGGCGAGGGCUUGGUCGUGAAAAUUGACAUGCCACGGGGACUGUAUUGGGGAAUCUUGUAGUAUUGAAACUCUUGAUUUCGGUAAACUCGAGUAUUACCAAAAGCUACUGAUUGGAGUGCGGGCCUGGUUGGGGUAUGUUUGGUGGAAGGGAUGGGAGUGAAGUGGGUUCUACGGUUGGUACUCUUAAACGUUGACGGAGAAUCAAUGAGAUUGGAUCAAGAAUGUAAGCGUGGAAAUGGGCUCUUGAGAGCCGUCCGUAUCCUUUUACCGACUUGUUUUACUCUGUAAUUGUGUACUUGAAAUGAAAGGUUAUGCUAUAUGCUCUUUGUUGCUUAUGUGGUAGUAACUCACUGAAUUUAAGCUCAUUCCGUUCCAUUUGUUUUUCUUAUAGGAAAUGACCACUUUUGGAAAAGGUUGUGUUAGUUGGUUGUCAAGUUGAGCUUAUGUAAAUGUCUUUUGAAUAGCUCUUUGAAUGAAACCCUAAUGUGCAUUGGGUUCAUUCUCUUUUGAUUGGCAAACCGAACAUGUAUAUCCAUGAUGAAUCGUUUUGAUAUGCCGCUUUGGUUUGUAAAUGUUACAUUUCAAUGUAUGUAUGUUUGGUUGAUAUUUGGUUGGAUUUCGGAUCAACUCGUAUUUCAAACGGCAAAAGAAAAAUUUGGCUACUCUCGGCCUAGUAUCCGGAGUCGGACGUGGCCGGUACAGUUCAUCAUCGGUUUCGAUUUUUUUCAUUUUUUUUAUUUUGUGAUUUUGACUUGGUUGCGCGCAUUGGUAAGUUCCGGAACGUAUUAGAUCGACGUAAACUGAUCCGUUAGUCCUGGCGAGAGUUGGGCAGGCAGUCCGCUAACCCCUUUGGUUCGCCUUAGGGGAAGGUGGGGCUGUUACACAGGUAAUGACCUCUAUCACGAUGGUUUCGUGGUUAUUAGAGGCCAGAGGGACUGCAUCUUCAGGUCCAUAAAUGAUUUUCUCGUACAUCUUUAAUCGUUUGCUUGAACUCUCCCCAUUGGGAGGAGGGCGGUUGUGACGCUGAGCUGUAUGGCUAUCCCCUCCAACCGGUUCUCCCGCAAUAGUAUUGAUCACCCCGGCCAGAUUCUGACCCUCCUGCUCGAGAGUUCGGCCACGGGGCCCCUGAGAUCCGUCACGGGAGUAGCUCAGGUGCUCUGGUUUGGGCCUUCCCCGUCGCUGGUCAGUUCGCUCAUUACGUAUGAACUACCCGAGGUGGCCCAGUCUGAUCAACUUUUUAAUGUCUUUUUUGAGGUGGCGACAAUCCUCCGUAUCGUGUCCCACAUCUCGGUGAUACGCACAAUACAAACCCUGAUCCCGCCUGCUCUUGUCCCCGAUCAAGGGUCGGGGAGGUCGAGAGAGUUCUUCUUGUUUCAUCACAGCGAGUACCCGAGUUCGAGGUGCAGUAAGGGCAGUCCAGAACUUAUCUCCUCCCAUGGGGCGACUCCUGGGCAGGCGAUCGUAGGCGUUCUUCCGUUCCUGGCUGUGUCGCGCGUCCAUCUGGUCAGUGUUCCUUCUGCGCUUAUCAUCCCUUAACUUUUCCUGCGCGCUUUUCAGGCGAUUGGCCUCCUCCGUGUUGGCUUUUUCAUGAGCUCGGUCCAGCAUCUCGCGCACUGACUUGGGAGGUCUUUCCACGAGCUUGGUGUAGAGCUUCUGUUUUCGCAGCCCGUUGAUGAAUGCGGCCAUGACCACCUUGUCAUCCUGAUCGCGGAUCUGGAGGGACUCAUUAUUGAAACGUACCAUGAACUCGCGCAAGGAUUCUUCAGGUUUCUGCUGGAUGGUCAUCAGGUGAGCAGUGCUUUUGGAGAAGGCUCGCGACGAAACGAACUGUGCUGAGAAUAAUCGUGCGAGUUGGGCGAAGGAUCGGAUAGACCUGGGGGGAAGCCCCUGGAACCAUUGACGUGCCUUUCCCUCCAGGAACAUUGGAAAAGUCUUGCACCUGACCGCAUCCGCGGCCAUUUGCAAGCGCAUUUGCCUCAUGAAGGCGAACAGGUAAUCCUCCGGAUCCGUGGUUGCAUCAUAAGAUUUCGUGCUCGGUAUUUUGAAUUUCGCGGGCAACGGGUAGUCCUCAAUAUCAGGUACAAAGGAGGAAGCAAUAUACCUAUCUGCCUCAGGAUCCAACAGCAAGUCCAACUUGUUCUGCACCUGGUGCUGCUCUCUUCGCGGGGAGAGCUCUCCCCUGGAGUACCUCCGGAAGGGCUUCGGAUGCUUGGUUCGGUAGUGCUUGUGGGAUGACUCCAUAACUUCGAUCUAUUCACACGUGAGCUCCUGGCGCAUCCGCUUGGGCCGGGGGUUGGGUUCCCUGUUCGGGAUUCUGUCAGGCCAACUCCUUCCACCCCUUGGACCUUAGGCUCCUGGUCAUGAUGACCUCCCGUCCGCCCUUUGAGGUAGUCCAUGAUUGCCUCGAAAGUAGGUAGAUUUUUCGCCACCGUUUGAACUAACUGUUCAGGUAGGAUUUGUGACGGUCCCGUUCCCUCAUCUCUAGGAGUCGAACCCCGAGUGGGGUUUUAGGGGCCACUUUUCUGGUUCUCCUUAGAUCCGUCAGCGUUCAUCUGAAAUCUAGUUCUUGGCAUGAUUCGCAAGAAAAGAACUACGUGUUUCCCAAGAACACAGUCUGAGCUGAGUUGCUGCAGAUCGAGCUGGUUGGGAGCUGCCUAGCUGAGAGGGGAAUGCCGAGCUGAAUAUUAUGCGAAGAAAGAACGAAGGCGGGACUAGAGUCUCCGGAAUAGCUCCGACGAUCAAAUCAGUAGAGUUUAAAAGUAGGACAACAGUAAAGAGUACUGUGGAUGGCGUACCUUGUAUUGUCGUGUGGUGCCAUAUUUAUAGGUUUCAGGGUAGUAGUUUCCUAUAGGAGUAGGAGUCCCCUUAGGGUUCGGAGUCCUUUUAGGGUUUCGUAUGACAAUCCCUAAAGGUUCGGAGGCGGCGGCCCACUAGACCCACUCUAGGGAGAGGCGGCAGCAGUGGCCGGGCUGACCUCUCUCUAAACCGAACUGAGGCGUCCGAGAUGGGAGACCUCUAUUGCCGACCUCGCGUGUGCCAGAGUGUCACAUGUGGAUUGCACCCACUACAGUGUGCUUUUUUUUUUUUUUUUAUCUUUUUUCAUAUUUUUUUUAUAUGCUUUAAGGUCUAGAUAAGAUAUAAAUUAGAUAAUAGUGCUCUUUUGAGUUUCUAAUCUUUUUUAAAUGUAACUAUUAUAAAUAAUUCAUUUAUUAUUAUCAUCAUCAUCAUCGUCAUCUUAGAUAUAAACUGUGCAUAACACGGGUCAGAUUACUAGUUUUAUAUGUACUCUAGAAGGAUAUUUCGAUACCUAAUUCAUUGAAAAAAAUAUUUUACUUACGUUAUAAAUAUAUCUCUUAAUUAUAUUUUAAAAUUUAAAUUAUCUUUUUAUUUCACAUAAUUACAUACAUCUAUAAUGUUGUAAUAAUUUUUUUUUUCUAAGUGAUGAGCUAUACAAACACCUUAUGCUAAUAGAAGUUGGCAACGACGAGCCACUUUCCUAUAAAAAAGUCACGUGUCAUUGAUGGACGAUUUGUAACCGUUGCCUAUGUCAAAAACGUGUUGGUGAGUGAUGUGUGUCCUAGCUGGAUAAUUUGUAACUACUGUUACUGAUGUCAAAUUUUGUAUCCUCACUGGAUGAUCUGUAAUUGCUGGUGCCGAUGUUAGAAUUUUGUUGAUGAGCGAUCUGUAUCCUUACUGAACAAUUCUGUAACUGCUGGUACUGAUGUCAGAGUUACGUCGGUGAGUAAUCUGUAUAAAUUCACCUAUAGUCCAAGAGGUAUGUUUGACUAGUAAGAGUAACCGAAAUCGAAUCCGAAUCCGUCUAAAACAUUUUUUUACCAAAAAAUAAAUAAAUAAAACAAAAACCAUCAUGUUUUAAACGAUGUCAGAGCUGCUGUGUUGAUGACUAUAAAUCUAUAUAUGAUCCUAGAGGUAUGCCCCGAAAUCGAAUCCGAAUCCCUCUAAAUUUUUUUUUUUUUUAACAAAUAAAAAACACGAACACCUAUGUUUGAAAGGAAAUGUGUGGAACUUGGGAGUGGAAAUUAAAGAGAGAUUGGAAAAGCCUCUGGGCUUUGACUCAUAGAGACUCCUCGUCACCGUGCACAGCAGUAAAGUUCCUUUCUUUCCCUCCAAGCAUCCGGCGUCUCUCAAUUCUCCAGACCGACGCGAGAGAUGGGCGGCCAGGAUAAACCCCCAGGACCCGGACUCGAACCCGACAUACAGCCAUUACUGAACGCCUCCAAAUACUUCCUCUGUCACCGGAGCUUUUCCCAGAGCUUGAAAUACGCGGACAAAGCCCAACAAUCCAAUCCAAACCACCCUGGUCCGCCCCAAAUCCUCGCUAUAUCCACUGUUCUCUCGGCCACUCCGUCCUCGACCCGACCCGAACAGCCAGAAUGGUACUUAAUCAUCAACCUCCCUCGUUUUACUCAAGACCAGAAUCUGAUUCGGACCCGUUGUGCUUCGCUCGUCAACCUCUUAAACCCUGACACAAACCCUUACCCAUUUGCAGCCGAAGCCCGUGAUUGGGUUGUCAAAGCAGAAUCUGUUUUGUUUGACCCGGACGCGAAAGCCCAGUAUGAUAACGGAUUGAAAAUGACGCAAAAAAAUAGUGGAAAUGGCGGCGGAACUUUUUGGACUUUGUGUCCGUACUGUUACUUUAUGUAUGAGUACGAGAAAAUGUAUGUGGAUUGUGUCCUGAGGUGUCAGAAUUCCAAAUGCAGGAGGGCUUUCACGGCGGUGGCGGUUGCUGCUUCAGCCGCGCCGCCACCGGAGUUGGUGGAGGAAGGAAAGUACACCUGUUAUGGGUUUUCGCCGCUGGGUCCUAACAAUGGAAGUGGUGGUGACUCUGGUGAAGAGAGAGGGAAAAGUUGGUGGGCUCCAUUUGUAUCCAUGGGUCAAUAUCCGGGUCCAGUUCGGGCCAAUGAGGAAAAGGUGGAUGUGAGGACUAAUGUGGACUCAAAGAGUGAAAAGAGUAAUGGGUUUAUUGAAAUUUCCGAUGAUGAAACUGCAGGUAGAGAGAAAAUUGAAAGAGGGGGACAGGGAAACGGUGUUAAUAAUGGGAAGGUGGUGAUGAAGAGGAAAAAAAUGGCUGCUAUAGGGAAGAAGAAAUUGAUGGGAAAAGGGAUUAGAGUUGUUGGGAACCAUAGUUUAUCAGCGGAGGGUGGUGAAGGAAUAGGAUUUAAAGCUGGAGGGAACGAAGCAAAUGCGAAUACAAGUCCAGGGAAUGAAGCAAAUGCAAAUACAAGUGGAGGGGUAACGGAAGGCUGUAAUGAGGAGGAAUUGGAGUUUUGUGCUGGAGAUGAUGAUAUUUUUGUUGCUGUGAAUCCUUGGGCUGAUUUAGGAUGUGAAAAGCUUAGGAAUUGAUGAGAGAUGAGUUGGGGAUUUUGAACUCUGUUUAUAUGCACUGUUUUGCUAGCUGGGAGCCUUGGACAUGAUGGUGUACUAAAUGGCCAGUAAAGUUUUGUAACUGGUAGAAUCAUGUUGAUAAUCAUUAGAACUGGUAGAAGUGAAGAAGUAAUCCUGAAUAUGGUUCUUGAUAUCUUUGUGUGGCUGUCAUGUGGAUUCUUUUGCCGGUAGUAUUUGAUGUUUUGAAACAGUUAUAUGGCCAAUAGUAUGCUUGGUUUUAUCCAAAAGUAAGUUGGAAAAAAAAACAGAGAAAUGGAUCAUAUGAUUGGUUAUCUUUUUGUUUAUAGUUUGUUAUUGGCAUACGAGUAUUAAGUCAUAAGCAAGGAAACAAGAUUAAAAUAUUCUAGGUGCUUUAAUUUGAUUGCUGGGUUUUGGAUCUGCUCUGCUUUGCCGUCCAACUUCCCUAACAUUUCCCGCCAAUAUUUCUUCAGCAAUCAAAUUGGAUCUGAAUCUGCUCUGUUUUAAAGUCCAAUUUUUCUUAUAUUUCCUGUCAAUUUUUAUACUAUUCUAGCUGCUUUAGUUAGAUUGCUGGGUUUUGAUCUGCUCUGCUUUAGUGUCUAAUUUUCUUACGUUUCCUGUCAAUAUUUUAGAUUUUCUUUACCUUUGCCUUUUUCUUUGCUGAAUUGCAUUGUUUAUGUUUCUGGUCAUCCUUUUAGUGCUGAUGCUGAGGAUCUUUAAUGUCUGAAAAUCUUAGCCUAAAUUUCUCUAAAUUGGACAAGUCUGAAUGUUGGUGUAGCUGUAUAUCUAGGAUGCUAAAUUGAUGGGGAUUUGACUUGUCAAGUUGAGAAAAGAGGACAUGAACUCUUAAAACUGUCGAGUAUUUACAUUAUACUUGAAUUUUGGUUCUGUCCUGAGGUUUGGUGCAUUCUCCUUGAUUCUAAUAAAUUGGUGGUGGCUUAUCUAUCUUCUUCUACUUCUUGUUGGAAGGUCCAUUGUAACUUUUUGGUUAUUUAGGUUUGGAUUGCAUCAAGGGAUAUCCUGCAAUAUGGGGUUAUCUUUUAAUGAGAUACUGGGAUAGUAUAAUGGACUAGUUCAGCUCUGACAAACUAGUUUUUGAAGACUCAGGUCAACAAUGGGAAAUUAUGUGUUAUGUUUAUUUGAUUAGGGUGACACACUAGUACUAGGAAGCAAUAAAGAAGUUAUUGCAUCUUUGAAAAUGUUUUGUGUGUAUAAAUCAAGAAGCGACUGCGUUAAUUUGAACCACUAAAAGUAUGCAGAAAUCUAGUAAUCAAGCAUCGUUAGUCCUGUCCUGUGGCCCCUUUCUUUUCUGUCUCUUUAGCAUUAAGUAGAAUAAGAGAAUUGGAAUGAUAUAUAAGUGGCAGAACAGGGGCAGACAUCCCUACAAGGGCCUGUCCGGACUAAUCUAGCAUGUCUACCUAAUUUUAUCUUCCAGUUUAGCCCCCUGUGACUGGAUGGUCUUUUACCUAUAUUGACUGCUAUUAACAAGUCUGAAGAGAGAUUGUGUUAUAUCAUGUGUGUGCGUUUGCAUAUUGAGCAUUUAGCUUCCCUGCGAAUGCUUUUUCUUUUUCUUUUAAUUGUGUUUUCAACGAGAAUAGAUUUUGCCUCUUCUUGAUUUGCUUGUGUCUUGCGUGUUCUGCUUUAUUCUGCUUAGAUGUCACAGUUGAACUGCAUACCUUCUGAUGCAUGUAGAUAGAGAUUCCUCCCUUUCAAGUCGUCAUGUCAUUCUUCGCCUAAAUUGUGCUGAGAAUAGGAAUGAGAAGAAAAAAAAUCUCUAAACUACCUAGGUGCAGAGAAACAGCUUCAUAGGCUUAAAGCCGCUCCCACAGGUUCUGGUUCUGCAUUUUCUUGCCUCACCAACUCUCUCCCUCUCUCUUGCUUAGUUGCUUUUGAUUUUUCUUAUGUUUCUUCCAUUUGAUAAUGUAUGAUCAGAUAGAGCGUGAUCUCUUUUAGGCCGCGUACGAGUUCAUACUUUGAGAUGGAUGAGGAACUAGCUUGUUGCAGGUUGAUUGAGUUUAUAUAUUAGAUUAAUUAAGACUGCUUAAGAAAAAGAUUGAUGUUAACUUCGAUCAGGCUCAACUAAAAACAGUUUUUCAGUGUGAAGAAAGAUGCUUCUUUCUUUAAGGUGUCAUCCAAUGGCUAUACUAACAACUUUUUGGAAGCAGAUUUUAACUUGAAAGUCGAGACCCCUAACUUUUAUCCAUCUGGGAUUCCUGAUGGGCCAAUUUUGCACAUGUUCGAUUGCUCUGUGCAUGUAUUAUUGUUUCCUAAGCUACAAGGAAGAAAACAGAACUUUUUGUUACAAGCAGCUUCAUGGGAUAUCUUUAACAGCAAAAGAAUUAGUCUUUUGGAAUGGUUUAUUCUGUCAUCUCCCUCUUUUUGUAGUGGGGAAAAUGUGGGGUUUUCUUUCUGGUUGCAUUAUUUAACAAAUCAAGUCAAGCUUGCGAAGUGGAGGGAAGAAGAUUUAAGUUGAUUUUUUGCACAAUUCGUUGAAGCAAAGAUGCAAAAUAGAACAUGGAGGAGACAUUUAAAUUUGGCCGAGAGCGGAAAAUCAAGAUAACAAAAAGAAACUUGAACGUGCCAGGGGAAAAAAAAAUCACACUACUGCCUUUUGUUCUGCUCUUUGGCUUACUUUUGAAUCAAAGUGAUCAUUUUUGUCAAAGCUGAGGACUAAAGAACUUCAAUUCUCUCAAGUUGGGUUUUCUUUUCACACCCACGUGGGCAAAGACACUCAAUUCCUUGCCUCUCCUCAGUCCUCCCCCAAUCCCACACGAAUACAAAAGAAUUUCACACCAAAUAUGCAUACAAGGAUAACUUCCAAAACCCAAAAAAAAAAAAAAAAAAAAACACACGCACACACACACACAAGGAUAGUUGCCUAUACAGGGGAUUUUUCACAUUUUGUCACUAAGUUGUUGGGCAUAGAAAUCCCUCCUUGGAAGUUUAUCCAUGGCAACCGACCAUCUCUGAGAGUUUACGGGCCUAUUUGGUAAAUAAGUUUUUGAUCAAGUUCGUCUGCCACAAGUUUUUUAACAACUUUAGCUAUAGUAAUCUCAAGAAAUUUCUUAAAAAUUUUAAACUAUAUAUUUCAAAAUAUCUAAAAAUUUAUACAUUUCAAAAAUUUUACAAAUAACUCCUAUCGUAAAUUACAGUAAAAUUUUAGACAAACACCCAAAAAAUUUAUUUGACAAACGGCUUGGUUUCAAAGUUGUUGCCAACCUUUGCAUCUUUUAAGUCGAAAAGUGAAAAAGGCAAAGCAAAGCAAAGAUCCAAACUGUAGAUGCUGGAUAAAGAGGACACCCUAUGUUUCUUCAUACCGUGAACUUAGUGAGGUGACCGUCCCAGCUGUAUUUGAUUGAAUUCAACUUUUCAUCCAUUGUGAAUGGGAUCUUUUUCCAUUCCAUUUCAAUCUGUCUGAAACCCAAAUGAUUUUGCAUUGUUUUGCUAAUACACGUAUUUCUUGGUCCUGUUUAUCCUAGGACUAUUUUGCAUAUGCUGAUUUUCACGGACACCUAUUUGACAUAGAAAAAGCAGUUUAAACUGGAGCAAUCUUGAUUUUCAUGCUUGCUUAAUUUAAGCCUUAAAGCUUCAAACGUCAUCAAUGAUAUAAAUGUGAUUGGAAUCUUUUAAGAGAAAGGGUAACUAUUUUUUUGUCUGUAACGAUACAUAUGUAUAACCUACUCUAUCCUAAUAUAGGAUAACUUGAUAUUGUGUUCUUUGUUACAAGGUACAAAAGCAUCCUACCACCAACCUCCAUACUUUUAGCACAAAGGGAACUGAUUAAAGCACAACUAAAAGAAAAGAAAUUAGAAACUUUUUUUAUCAAGAACAGAACAGUUUGCUGAUUGGUCUGUGUUAGAGGCUAACGGUUACAGGAAAAACAAGCCAGCGGUCCUUGUUGCGGAGAACAAGUUUGAGGUCAAAGAGGGGACUGUGGGGCUCUGAAGUUGCAGGUGUGUGGGAACAAAUGGACAAACAGCAAGGCUGCCUCUGCCUUUUCUUUCUUGGGACCCCAAAAAUAAAAUUCUUCUGCUGCAUGCCAAUGCCGUAAUCAACUGCGCCGGAAAAUCAUUGCUCUUUUGAACUUCUCCAUUAGAAUUCACUGGCCAAACCAAAAGCACAUCUUGUGAUAAAUAUUCUCCCUGCGCUUCUCACCUUUUUGUUCCUGUGUUUUGUUCAUAUCCCAAUAAUGUCAAACGCAGCGUUAUACGUUAUGAAUUCUAUACUUCAUGUAGGGGAAAAAAAAAUUGUACUAGUAUCACUUGGUUAUCAUACAUGCACCUUUUGAUUCUCUAUUGCUAGAACUCGUGCAGAAGCAGAUCUCCUCCAUUCGAUUUGUCAAUUUUGAUAAACGUAUUUUAAUUGAAAUAUAUUUUUGAUAAUUUUUCUAUCUAGUCUAGAAGUUUGCUAUUACAAUUUUCAAAGUUUCUUUGCAUGUAUUCCUGUCUGCCAUAAGAUCUAACAAGAAGUCAAGAACUCAAUGACGGGUGAAUGUUGUAAUGAUUAUUCCUUUUGUAUGACAAGCACACUACUGUAAUUUUUAGAGUUGUAGACAUUUAUAAAAUAUUAAUGGUGUUCUAACAUAAAUGAAUAUCUCAAUAAUAUUAUCCUAUUCUUAUUCCAAAAUUUUAGAUACAUUCACUCCUAAAAAGAGAAUACUCUCAUGAUUUUUCGUUUAUGUUGUGUAAGUGAAAUUGAAAUUCACAGCGCUGUGACUGUUUGUCCAAAUUAAGGGCAUAGCUACAACCAUUAAGAGGUCAAGGGAUCUUUUCAAAGAGGGAUCAUAGUUUGGGGGCUUAAGUGAAUAUACCGAAAAGUGAAAAGUACAAAUAGCUUGAUUUUAUUAGUGAACCUUUGCCUUAUAGUCACACCGCAUCCUUACUAACAAGUCCAACUAGACAUACUAAAAGCAUCACUCAUUUUCACUUCAAAUUGGCUGAUGUCCUGAUGAAGAUAGAGCAAUCUUGGCAUCCAACUCUUACGAAAACAAUCCUUUUGUCUUGGUAACAGGAGAAAUCAUCUCUGGGAUUUUUGUGCGAUAUUUCAGAUUUACAGAAUCUUCAAACUCAGAGGCGUACCAGAAGAAGCAGGUUGGAUUCUAACUAUAAAUGCUUCACCUUGAGUACGUUGCAAUUUUCCUCAAUCAUUUUCACUUCUACUAGUUCCCGUUGAAACAUAUGCCUUAAACGCCAAGAUUCUUCUUUUUUCUUGUGCUUCUUUGUUGUUUUUACCGAGAUGGAUUAUUCAUUUGUCUACUUUUGAUGCCUCACUUCUACUUGCUUUUGUCGACUCUUUUUAUAUCAAGUGAGAGGAGCAAAUGCAUACUUUGCCAAGUUUCUAUGAAGUUGGAAGCUGUUCAGAGUCUUACAACUUCCUUCACGAAAUUUUGAACUCAAGAGAGCAACUGCACCUUGACAAUUCAACCGUUAAUGCCAUUUCAAUGGCUGAGGCAAAAGCAGUUGCAGCAAACAAGAGCCACAGUGAAGCUGAAAGGAGAAGAAGAAAGCGUAUCAAUGGUCAUCUUGCUACACUUCGCAACCUUCUUCCCAAAACCAUCAAAGUAAGUUUUGUUCAUUCAUCUAGUUGCUCUUUUUAUUGCCCUAUUCAACUUUUCCAUGUUCAAAAGACGACCCUCCAUUCUUCUUUUCUUGGUUAAUAAGUUUGAAAUGUAAUGAACAUAGGCAGACAAGGCAUCAUUGUUAGCUGAGGUUGUCCGGUGCAUAAGAGAGCUAAAGAAGUCAACAGAAGAACUCUCAGCUACAGAAGGUGAUGAUCAGUCCAACACAGCAAUGAAACUCAUGUUUCCUAGUGAAACUGAUGAACUCAAGUUAUGUUAUGAUGAUGGAGAUUCAAGGACUAUAAAGGCAACAUUAUGCUGCGAGGACCGACCGGAGAUGAUGAUAGAGUUAAAGAGGGCAUUAAACGCAGUAAAAGCUAAGGUGGUGAAGGCAGAAAUGGCAACAGUUGGGGGAAGAACAAAAACUGUGCUUUGGCUGCAAGCUUCAGCAGCUGGAGAAGAAGGGCUGGCGACAAUAAGGAGAGCACUGAAAGUGGUUGUAGACAGGUCUAUCAUGUUGCCUACUCCUGGCCAGGCUUUGCCGGGUAACAAGCGGCCUCGUCUCUAUCACUGCUGAAUAUAUGAGUUUAGGGUUUUGUAUUUUUUGAAUCUUGACGGUGCCACCUGUUUAAAAUGGUCCAUACUAAUGUUGGGGAUGGGGACCAAUGACCCCAUGGAAAUUGAAAAGUGAGCUAAGGUGAUCAUGGAUGAGGUAGGAGAAUUUGAAGUGUCAAUUUGGUAGAAGAUUUAUCCUAGUUAUGUAUGAAUGUCAAACUCCCAGCUGGUGCUAUGAAUCUAAAAAGUAGUACUGCCUGCGCUGCGAGAUCUUCAUUCGUGUUUCCUUUUAAUUUUAAUUGAGAAGCAAAAUUGCGAGCUCUGAGUGAAUUAUGAAAGGGGUAAAAGUUUAAAUUAUUUUGGUAGAAUUCUUCGUUUUGCAGGUUGUUUCUAAUGAUUCCUUGAGUUACUAACAUGUUCCUUUUUUUGAAGGGAAAAAAAAAAUUGUAACAGGGUUGAGCUAGUAAUGAUUUUCCUUUUUCUAAUCAAAAGUUUGACUUCGACUUAGAGUAAGAGAAAAGUGGGGUUGGGGGAGCCUAAUCACUGAUUUCUUGUUUUUGGACUUUAGAAUCCAAGGUAAUCAUUAACAUUUGCUCCUAUCAGACUAGACUAUACUGUUUCAGGCACAUGUUUUUAGCCUUUAGUAGUUUAAUCAUAUGAAACACUAGCUUAUCUUUUUCUCAAUUUUGGAGCAAAUGUAUUACCAAUUUCUAACUCUUAUUUGACCCGCGACUGCAGUCACUCCCUCUCAUUUGUUUGUUUAAAUUACGUAAGACCCACUCCAUGUUUUUUCUCAACCAAGCCAUACACAUACCUUCAUCAAGAAUGUUGUCCUAUGUUUGAAAUCAAUUGAGAAGUUGAACUAACAAUAGAAAUCCUCCAUUUCUUCACAACUACAUUUUAUCCAACUCUUUGAACUUUCCAAACACGCAAAAUCUAUAAUUCACUAUAAAUAGCCAAUGCAGUUCCAAUCAAUUCAUUCAACUCAAAACAAAAGAAAGUACAAACCCUUUUAGCCGCACUCUUUUUGUGCUUUUGAUCAAACAAUGGCUGCCUUGAACCAUUGUCUCCUUUUCUCCUUCACGGUAGCAUUCUGCUUCUCAAGCUUCCAAAUGAGUUUCGCAGCCCGCCACCUGCUGCAGGCACCAUUGAUUCCAACAAUGCCUACGAUCCCAUCGCUGCCUAAACCCGCUGGGUUGCCUCCAUUGCCUUCAAUUCCAAGCAUUCCUAAGGCAACAUUGCCACCUUUGCCAAGCAUCACAUUGCCUAAAAUCCCAGCCGCUGCUGCACCACUGCCAAAGCCCACUUUGCCAAGCACACCUCCGCUCCCAUCCUUGCCAAAACCCACUCUACCAUCUUUCCCAUCUGUUCCCAAGUUCACUCUACCUCCACUGCCAUCCAUUCCAAAAAUCCCCGUCCAAGCACCACCACCAUCUCACUAGUGCUGGAGACUCGAGUUCUUGCAUUUGGUUUCAUUACGCCAUAUUGGUAGAUUCAUGAGCUGUUCGGUUUGAUCUUAUGUUCAUGGCUUGGUGUAGUAUUUCUGUCGUUUUUACGCAUUGGUUACAUGUAUUUGUCCUUUGGCGAUUUGUAAACCAUUUCCAUUUCUGUAUUCAUCCAUUGUAUUCUUGGAGCGUUCGUGUGUUGUAGAUCUAUUUUAGGGUAUUAGUAAAAAUAACUUUUAUCUUCGUUUAUAUCAUCUUCAUUCUGUGGUUAUAAACCUGUUUAUUUUUUUUUUCAAAUGAAUUGUGAAUGUAGAUUAAAGAAUUAGUCUAAAUAAAAUUUGGAGGGCAUAUUCUAGCCUGACACUCUUCAUCAAUCAUCAAUCAGAGGGUUGUAACAUACGUUGGAAAUCGCCUCCACAAUAGGGUGAAAAAGGAAUGUUGAAUAAAUUUGAAUGCAAAAUGGGGCAAAUGCCAAGCGUUACUUGGGUACCUUAGUUGGAUUUGGUGCUUGACAAUUCCAUGUAAAACCUGCCAAAAACCAUGACCGCAUGCAGUAAACGGAAUCCCUAAUGUAUUACAAUUCAAUAAUAAUAAAAAUGAAAACAUAUGAAUUAUUGCAUAAUAAGUACAUGAUAAUUGUACAAUAAUUCAUAUGAAUUAUUAUAAACUCAUAUAUAGUGAAAUUUGAAUUUAAGAAUUUAAAGUCUUGAACCCUAAACCUUAGGUUGAAGACUCAUUUUCAUGUUAAUGGACGUCCCUCAACAUGAAUUAUCUUUAGCGUUGUUUGUAAUUUCUAAUGAAAAUCAAAUUUACGAAUCAAUAUUUUUUGAUAAACAAUAAGCUUGCUUGUUCUAUGCUGACCAGCUGUGCAUGUACUUGUAAACAUCAUAGCUAGCACUCUUAUAAACUUAAAAGAGCUUACCUUGUUUCUUCCGGUGAUUUACAGUUCUUUAAAACCUUUAAAAAAAAAAAGUGAAGUAAAUUUAACUUUUUUUUUUUUUUUUUUGGUGGGGUUGCAUGUCAACCGAAAUCCAAAUUCAGAUGACCUUUAGGUUGCAAACUUUUUCAUUGAAGGGGGGGAAGAAAGGGACCAAAUCCGUCAAUUGUUCUUCCAAUUGGGUCCCUUAAUAAUUUUGGAGGCCCAAAACCAAAAUGCUACGAAUUUUCUCUUUCGUAACACCAUGUUGUUUCAAAGCCGAUGUUCUUCCCAUUCCAUCUUGUCUUCCACUUUCAAGACCAAUUUGGCCUGAUUACAAGAACAAUAGCUGAAGAUUUGCUAAGAUAGGAACAAAAAUAGAUUGACAUUAUAAUUGCGAUUACGAAACUGUUGAAACUGGUUAAGAACAACUACUGAAGCGUUUUGAUUUGCAAUGAUAGGAGCAGAAAAAGAUUGACACUGAAUUUCUAUCGGCUAUUGAAAUGAUAGCUUUUCUAGGAAUAGGUUUAUUAUUGCUUCUCGAUUUACUUAUUUAUCAGCAUGAGAUCAUUGGAGACUAUUUAAUAAAUGAUAAUCAUCAUAAAAUCUCACAUUAAAUGUGUACGAUGAUGAUGGGUCCUGGCUAAUUUUCUUUACAAUUAAUUCGUGGUUUUUUAAGGGAUACAAAAACUAAGUUAUUAUAAGGAAAUAUAUAUAUAUUUACAUUAGUAUUGAGGAAAGAGAAUCACCCAUGACACAAAAAGAUGGGUUUAAAAUGGUUCCAUGCAUGCUAUUACUGGAAAGAGGUGUUAUGACACUAGAAUCAGCUUGUCAAAGACAAGUUGGUCGUUAAUAGAGAUUCAAAAUUUUAAUUUGGGGUAUAAGUUUGUAGUUUUAAUCUCAAACCUUGCAAUUAAAGAGGAUUUAGCGUAUGCUCUUUCCUUUCCUUCUUCUUCCUUAUAAGGUCAGAGUCUCCUUUGAAUCAAAGUAAAAAAACCAAUAAUCCAAUAACAGUAGUCUAAUAAUAUCCGAAAUGGACUAAGAAUCUGAAAUAAGCUCAAUUAUGAAUGAUGUAACCGUCCUUUCGAACAAGAAUUUUAAAUGAUUUUAGAAGGGCAAUGUAAAAAUGCUUUUUGAUUUUUUUUAAUGCCUUGGGAAAACCCCCCACUGUUCUCAUGGACAAAAUGUCCACUUCUUUUUUAUCUUGUUCUCCCCACUUUUCCAGUCGAAACAAUCAGACCCUAAUUCAGUACCUUUUUCAGUCCCCAAAUUCCCGGGGAAGUUUCUAAUCUACGGAGUUCUUCUUAGUCAGGAGACUCAUUAGAAUGGCGACACAUACAUUCAAAUCUAAGCAUCCUCUGCAUUUUAGUACAAGUACGAUGAAUGUAACAUGAUUCUUCGUUAAUUAUUCUCCAUCUAAGCAUAAGCCAAAUACCGACUCCCAGUGGCGGAUUUAAGGUACCUCCACUGCUCCCUUAAAUUUCCUAUAGUAUCCAUAAAAUUUUGAUAUAAUUUCAAAUGUACGUCGAGAGUUUUCUUAUGAAAGAAUUAUAUGGUCUUCUAAGUUGAUUUAUAAACUACUAUUUUAAAAAGAUAUGUGGGUCACAAAGUUUCAUUUGAAAUAAGGUGAAUAAAGGCUUUUCAUUUCAAUUUGUUGGUGAAUUUUUUUACUUAAAAAAUUAGAAAAAGAGUAGGUAAAAAAAAUUUUAGUGUUGCUUUUACCCUCACUGAGAAUUUUUUCUGGCUUCGUCAUUGCCGACUCUACCAUUGUUGGAGACUUGGAGUAUACAGGUGCCAGAGAGAAGUGAUGUUUAGUUGUUAACCUUUGUGAUCUCAUCAUAAGUCGAGAGGUAGUUGAUCAAAAUUCCCCUGUAGUAGCUUUGUCCAUGCGACUAAAGAUCCAAAUUGUUUGUUCAUUUGCCAGUUGCCACUUUGAUGUUUAUGUCAUUCCGCUGCAACAUCUGUUCUUCAGUUGGUGGAUGCUGUUAGGAACUUAGGAUUUAAUUAUCUCAGUCAAAAUUUUUGCAACUAAAAUCUAGUUGAGAAGGCAUACCAACCUAUACAUCUUCAAACUGGUCCAGCUACAUUUGAACUUAACCUUGUAGUGCUUCCUUUAGAAAGCAUAGUCUUCCCCUUUAAGCUGAUCAAAAUACACAAAAAAAUCGUACUACCUUGGAAACUCAAAGCGGAGCUUCAAUCUUCUGCAUCAAUCAAUCAGCAUGGCUUCUUCUUCUUUUUCUAACCUUUGCAUCUUUCUAUCUCUGAUCAUUGCUUUGUCAUUUCCAAGCAUUCAAGUAACAGACGCGGCUCGCCAGCUUUUACAAACCUCACAACCAACAAUACCGACGUUGCCCACCCUGCCAAACUUGCCCACCGGAGCAGCAGCAUUGCCACCAUUGCCAACCACUCCUCUGCCAACAUUACCCACAAAUGUUCCAUCCUUGCCAAAGCCCGCGUUGCCAACAGUUCCCACAAUUCCUCAGGGGGCCCUCCCUCCCAUACCAGCUGCAACUUCAUUGCCAAACAUCCCAUUCACAAUCCCUUCAAUCCCAACUAAUCUCCCAACGUCAAUUCCUUCAAUUCCUUUCUUCUCACCUCCACCAUCCAACUAGACCAUUUUCUACCUGAACUUGUUUCAAUCAUUGAAUAUGCCGUAUCUGUUGCUUCGUUGUGAUAGCCUAAUGAUUUCCAUAUAAUUGGGAAAUUUUCACAGUUACAAUGGUCCUUGUAGGGAUCCUAUGAAACAGAUGGAGUUUGGAUUAUAUUGUGAGUCCCUGUAUUGCACACUGCAGGUUGUAUUCCCAUUUCUAAUGUUAUGAAUCCUUUUAUAUUUAUACUAUCUAAGAGCAACAUCUUAAAUUUUUCUCUUUUUUUUUUGUAUUUGAUUUUUCUGGAAUUACGUGCUCUGUUAUUCUGCUAAUUCCAUUCCAUUUGAUGAUAUGUCUCUUGAAUUAUGAGUUGUGUUUCAAUGAUGGGAACAACAUUCGCGCCGAGUUGGUCCCCAUGUGGUAUUUGCCAAAAAUGACACGGAAACUUUAACAAAAAAAAAGUCAGAUCUACCAUGUAAUUUUAAGAAGGAACAAUUUUGCAUCUGCUAUAAUCUUAAUAUUUGUUGCUUCACUUCUGAGUUUCUGAGGAAAAAUAAUAACAAUGAUGGCCAAAUUGAACAGCCACGACCUUUUUCAAGUUGCAUUGCUUGCGAUUGGGAAAGCAACAGUUUGUAUUUACUUUCAGUUUUAAGAAUAUGGUGUAAUGAAGUCACUUCGAACUCAAUUAGUGAACAAUUCGAGCUCGGCGUGAAUUAAAGCACUUGAACUCAAAUUUGACAAACUCUCAGGUUGGGUUUCAUCACAUACAAAUGUUCAAGUUUGAACUCGUCCAUUUUUUUUUUUUCUCGAAUUCAUGAAAUUGUUCAAGCUCCAUCGGAACAACAUCGAAUUCGAGUUUUAAUUGAACAACCUUAUGAGUAGUUCAAUUGUGACGUUUGCAACCCUACUUUAAUAUAUAGGAAUACUUGUUAAUUGAUACCAGGGUUUCCUUCAGUUAGUAUCGUUUUGGUGCUACGUACGUACUAUUUAGAUUCAGUUUUAAGAGUUAUUAAUGAAUAGCAGCCAAUAAUAUAAAAGCAGCAUAAAUUACAACAGUUAUAAUAGCCUCUCAAAUGAUCAUGAAAUCAAAACAAAACCGCAUGAAUGAAAUCAAUACUGAUGGGGUUUAUGUUCUUGAAUUUUCUGUUCAUUUAAUUCCCUUCGCAUGAUAAUACAAAUAUGAUGAUUCUUGGGGAUAAAGUUCCCUAAUGUUUGAGAGGUUGGUCCGCUCAAAUAAAUAUUCCACGUGUCUGACUUUCGGAGAAGAGAACACUUGGCGAAGCCUGGAUUAAACCUUAUUUGUCCAAGUCAUUCCCAUUUCCAUUUCAUCCCCUAUAAAUUCACCCCGCCAUACAGAUCAGUUUCAUGCAAUCAAAACGUAAUUUCUGCUGAUCAGUUUCAAAACUGUGGAUUGCCAGAUGAUGGAGAAGGCUUCAAUCAAGUCCACUCUCUCAGUUGCUCUCUUCAUUCUUCUUCCAAUUUGUUAGUCUCUCUCUCUUGAUCUCUCAUUUACACUUGCACAGGACUAGAAUGUGUAUUGGUGAAGGGAUUCUUGCUUCAUAACUUGAAUUCACCGGUUGAAAAUCAUCACUUUAUUUCUUCUAUUAAAAGAUUGUUUCUUGUUCACAAAAAAGGAAAAAAAAAAAGAUAAACAGGCCCUUUGAUUGCAGUAUUAUCAUUCCCAAUGAUGGAAGUGAAAAUGGCAACGAGCAUCUCAAGAAAAUUUCAGAUAUUUGAAUGUGGAAAUCCUUGUAGCUCUGAUGCGGAUUGCAAAUGCACUGAUUUCUAUUGUGCUCCGAUCCCGGAUGUGAUGAUAAUGGUUAUUAUAUUCAAAUCAAUUUUGGCAAUCUUAAUUAACCAAGGUGGCCAACAAUAAUGGUAUCCCACUUUAUAUUUUACAUAUAUAUAUAUAUAUAUAUUUUUCUUAAUUAACUUUUUACUUUUAAAAAAUAUGAACUCCUAAAUUCUAUCUUAAUGACAAUCCAUUCGGUACUAGUUAAAUAUACCCUAUAUUAUUUUACAAGCCCAAAACCCAAAGCGCUAAUUUUCUACCUUUUUAAAAAAAAAAAAAGCCCCCCAUCCACUCGUCCAGGUCUUUUCCCAACGAGUACUCAGGCUGCUGGCCCUAAAUUACUAACUUCAAACUCACAACAAACGUUGGCAAAUGAUGAGUUAGUUGUAUUUAAAAAUGCAUGUUUUCUUAGCUACGUAAUUAUGGUAAUAUGCGUACAACGACUAUAUAUUUUGUUGUAACAUAUUUUUAAGAUUAUGAGAUGGUUGCGUUCCUUGUUGAAAGUGGCUUUCGAAGUUAUUUUAUAAUCAAUCAUGUUACCAAUUUUAAAAAUUUUGAAGUUUUUUUAAAAAUUUUUUUUUUUAGUGUAAAUAGAAGGAUUCACGUCAUCAUCCUAGUCUGGAGUUAGUUCAUCGACAUUUUUCUAUGCUGGCUUCUCACAACCACGUCCUGUCCAUCAAAAUCCUCUCAUCUAUUUCAGUUGUCAAAAAUGAGCAACUGGCAGGUCAUUCCAUAUCAUCAUAUAUACACAUUAUUUAUUUAUUCGGUGGACUUUUGUUGAUGAGAAUUCUGAACUUCGAAAAAGUGAAAUUGGUUGAGGUAGCAAACCAACCUGCAGUAAUUCUUCCAACUUGUCCAACUGCAUCUAGCCAACCAUUGCUCCCUAUAAAAAGCAUUACCUCCCCCUUCAACUCAGACAACAUACUAACACAUAUAUUUGGGAAUUCCCCUACAAAUUCAGUUUCGAGCUUCUUCCUUCUGCGGUAUUCAAUCCAAUGGCUACUUCUUCCAAUGUCUGCUUCUUUCUGUCUUUGCUCAUUGCUUUAUCAUUUUCGAGCAUCCAAGAAAGCCAGGCCGCUCGCCGACUAUUGCAAACUUCCCCACCAGUGAUACCAGCAAUACCAACAUUGCCUGGUACAACCAUGCCAAAUUUGCCUACCACAUUGCCACCAUUGUCAAGUACUCCUUUCCCAACAUUACCAACAAAUCUUCCAUCUUUGCCAACUAUGCCCACAGUUCCGAAGGUGGCCCUCCCUCCCAUUCCAGCUGCAACUUCGUUGCCAAAUAUUCCAUCCACAAUUCCUCCAAUCCCAACUAAUAUCCCAACUUCAUUUCCUUCAAUUCCUUUCUUCUCACCACCGCCAUCCAACUAGACCAUUUUAGAUAUUUGAAUGUUUGAGUUUGUCAUAUCUGUUGUUCCUUCAGAUCGCUUAUCAUACGAUUUCAUGUACAAGUAAUUUUUACAGUUUCAUUAGUCCGUCUGUAUAGCUAGGGAUCUUAUGAAGUAGACGGAGUUUGGUUUGUUUUUGAGAUUGUAUUGCGAUUGUUUAUGUUAUAACUAGUUCUUAAUUGAUACCAUGUAGGAGUUUCUUGUUUGUUGUUUCUUGAUACUUUCGUUUAUUUAUCUAUCUUUCGUUGGCUUGAGGCCUUAUAUUACACCUCUCGUUACACUUUAUUAUUCAACUUUUUAAAAUGACAUGCAUCCCCACAACACAUUAAUCAAAAGAACUUGGAUUCUUAUCCAUGAUUAUAUGCAACACAUCUCAAUCUAACUGUUUGUCUAAUAAGAAUAUAACAUAAAUCAGACGAUCUUUUUUAUUUUGUAAAUUACAUUCUCACCACUCAGCUAUCAUUCAUCAAAUGUAAAAUUUUAAUUUAAGGUCAAUUUUAGAAACCUUCCUUAAAUUUUUUAACGAUUUCAGGCAGUACUCUCUUGUAAUUUGGAUAAUUAAACCCACCUACAUUGCUAACUUCAAUUGAGUAUCAUAACCCUUUUCUAAGAUACAGGCUGUUUACAGAAGAAAAAACCAGAAAAUUAUUCACCCAAAUUCCCCAACACUCCCCGUCUUCUUGUCAGCACUAUUGUACUUUUAUCCAUUUUUACCACCAUCACUACCAUCAUUGCCAGAAGCAUGGCAAACAGAUGCUUCUCAAAUUACCUGCCCAAAAAAAAAAAAAUUUCGAAUGAGAUGCUGCAACACCACCCAAGCCAUAAUCUACCAGCCCAAAAACCUAAAAAAAAAAAACACACACACACACACACGAUAUGCUCCCUCUUUGCCAUCAAGCAUGUCUGCCCAAAUCCUUUGCUACUUUGGUUUCCUCAACCAAUAUACCUCAAUCCCUCCCCUCUCUCAAAUAACAUCUGAAAAGUAAUGGAGUCAGCUCCAGUCCCAAAGGGGUAUACUUCUUUCUUUAGUUAUUCAUGGUGGAAAUAUGCUGCUAAUCAAUGUCCACAAUAGUUAUAGACGACAGACAACCAAGCUAUGCUGGUUUCAGCAAUUUGAUACAGACGUCCAAAAAAUAAAACCAAAAAGUAUUAACAUGGAUAUAAUAAUUGCAAACUCCAAAUAACUAAAAUGUCAGCGUUUAGCCAAAUGUAUGAUCCCACACUUGGAUUCAAUAUAUAUAUAUAUAAAUAUUUAUUUAUUUAUUAGGUCGCUUGGUUUCAAUUUCUUCAAGCUUAUAUGAUCAUACACUUUGUUUGAGUUUCUUUAAGCUCUAUCUGACUUUGUUAUACGGUUAAAGGCUUAAUGCUUUGUCAGGAGCCUUAAGUUUGCCUGUUUAGGUACGUGGUUAUUGGAACUUUAGUUACUGUAGCCUAAAUUCCUUUUAGUAAAGAUUAAAUUAAUGGUGGGAUCGUAGUAGAAGUAAAAAAAAAAAAAAAAAAAAAAAAAGUCGCUGGACCAGGAGUAUAUUUUGUGGUAAGCACUUUUUGAUAUGUUUGUGUAUCAUAAAGUAUCAUCAAAUGUGGAAAUCUUAAUUACUCAUAUUCUGAGACCGAACAAACAAAAAAGAUAAUCUGAAUCAGAAACUUGUGCUUGUGAUUCGUGAACAUCCGUCAUCUUACUCUAUUAUUUUGGUCUCUAGCGGUUGUAUUACUCUUUGGUUUUGAUUUUAUCUGGUUGUACUUUUGUUCAAGCAGUGACUUGUUGAAACUGGCCAAUGAAUUGGGAAAAAAAAAAAAAUCAAAAGCGAAGCGGUUUGUUCAAUUUUCGUGUGUUUUCUUUACAUUAAAUUUAUUGACAUAUUAACAUUAUAUGGUUUCUUGUGGAUUAAGUUCCUAACGGGAGAUUCUGCCCGCUAUGGAAACUUUUAUAUUGUACCGAAUUUGAAAGACCUAUUUGGCAUAUUCUCGAUCAAACCUCAUUUGUCGAAUCCAUUUCCAGUUUGAGUUUAUCCCCUAUAAAUUCACCUGAAAUAGACUAGUUUCAUGCAUACAAAAAUUAGUUUCUACUGCUCAUCAACAACAGUGGAUACUAGAUGGAGAAGGCUUCAAUCAAGCCCGCUCUCUUAUUUGCUCUCUUCAUUCUUCCAAUUUGUGAGUUUCUCUAGGAUUCUUACCUCAGAACUUGAAGUCACGGGUUAAAAAUCCACACUUUUAUUUCCCCUACUAAAACAUUGUUCCUUUUCCAUUUAAAGAAAAAAGUACAGGUAAAAAGACCCUUUUUCAUCUAACAAAACCUUUUUUCCCCUAAUGUGAUUUAAUUGUAGUAUUAUCUUUUCCAGUGAUGAAAGCCAUGGAAGUGAAAGUCACUGGCAACAAGCAUCUCAAGAAAACUUCAGCAGGAUUGUGCAAUUCCUUGUGGCUCUGAUGCGGAUUGCACAUGCAUAGGUUUUAGUUGUGCUCUGACUCCCAUAGAGGGAUGUGACGAUAAUGGUAAUUGUAUUCAAGUUAGUCGUUGCCUGGACGAAAUUCAAGCAUUGUGGCAAACAAUAAGAGGCGUGUAAUACAAUUAUUUUAAAGGUUUUGUCUACUGGUUAUUGGUUUCUUUGGUAGUAAGAGUUUGUUUGUAAUAAAGAUAGUAGGAUGAGAUUUUUUUUUUAACGUAAAAAGAGAUUUUAUUGAAUAGAACAUGAAUGUACACAAGUGCAGAGGUAUUUGCUACACAAAAGUACGACUAAAACCAAUUAAGCUAUACAAUAGUACUGCUACAAUGAACUAAACUCCGAUUAUGCUAUCAACAUUUAAGAAAAAUCUCUUGGGGAAAUCCCAACUAAAACAAAAUAACUAGUUGUCUCUUGUACUCAAUACAUUCCUCCAUUAUGCCACAUAAUAGCGAAUCUCCUUCCAUAUAUAAUAUACAACUGCCUCUAGUGCCAACUUUUUUACUGUGUUUAUAAAACAUUCUUUCUUCCAAUGACAACUGAGCCAUUUAACUUCAGUAUUCCAUUCAUAAGUUCCGCGUAUUGCAAGCAGCAUUGCUGUAUUCUUGACCAAAUAUAAGUUGCAUACUCACAUUAAAAAAAGAGAUGAUUACAAGAUUCAUUUCCAGUAUAGCAUAAUACAUAUCUCAUUUCAGACAUAAUGCCCCACUUAACCAACCUGUCCUUUGUGCUUAAUUUGUUCUUACACAACAACUACAAGAUAAAUGAAUGUUUCGGAUAUAUUUUUUGAAGCACACAAGAUGAUGCCAAUAGACCUCAGUAGCGAAAUGGUUCAACACUUCAUUUGCAGAUUUGACAGAGAACAAAUCUAAUUUACUGGGCAGCUAUUUCACUAUAUUUGACAUUCCCUCGCUUAGUAACUAUCCAGAAGGAAAAAAUUGUGCAAAAUCAUCAACUUCAACAGGUCUCCUCCUACCAGCAGGGAUCUUCCACUCUCUAUUUUCAAUGAUAGAAAAAACCUUAGCUUGUGGCGUACUUCCAAACUAUCGCACCAUAUUGGGUCCAUAAGCUGUGAAGCAUGGCCCUCUAUGGUGCCAAUUAUCAUACCAAAGAAGUAUUUUCUCCACUUUUGAUCACUGAGACAAUAAAAGGCUGUAUAAUAGAUCUGAUUUGAAGGAGUUUAUGCCAAACCCAAGAACAAAAUUGAGGCAAUGAAAUAGACCAGAAACAUUUAUUUUUGAGUUUCACAAUGUGAACCCAAGCAAUCCAAAGAGAAUCCUUUUCAAGUGUUAUGUGCCAGAUACAUUUAAACAAUAAAGCCUUAUUCCAAUUAGUCAAAUUAGGUAAUCCAUGUUCUCCUUGUUUGAUAGUAGGAUGAGAUUGUUGGUGUGUUAGUUACUCAUUGUCAAUGUUUGGAUUUACUUCUGGUCUAGAUUGAACCAGAAGAUGUUCUCUUUCUAUUUAAUCAGUAUAGGCCAAAUCUUGGUAAUUUCUAUAUUUCUUGGUUCACAUAAAUGUUGUAUUGAGUUCGAUACCCAUGAUACGAGACUGACCUGCUGGAGUAAUGAUGGAUUGUAGAUUAUUUGUGAUCCAAGAUCAUCCAAAAAGCAAACUGAAACAACCUUAGUGGCCCAAAAUUUUUUUAAAAAAUAAUAAAACGAGGUUGCAAAUUUUCAGAUAAUAAAACAGAAAUGCUGAAAUUUGCUACUUCUCAGUCGAACAAGAUUGUUAAUUAACCUUAGAAGCCCAUAAUGCAAAUUGCCAAUUUUUUGAAACCCAUUCUUUCUAUGAACUUUUCCUAACUUGUACUCGCUCUUCCAAACUUGGAUUACCAAUUCAAAUUUGCGGUCUAAAUUCCAUCCCAGGUAGAACACAUGUACUUAUUAUUUACUUGGUAGAUUUUUUGUUGAGGAAUCUGAGUUUCUAAGAAGUGAAUUUAGUUGAGAAGGCAAACCAACCAAUGCUUCUUCAAACUUGUCCAACUACAUCUGACGAUUCUGACCAACCAUUGCUUCCUAUAAAAAGCAUCAUCUACCCGCUCAUCCCCUACGGAAUCAAUACAAAACAAAUUAAUCCCCUACGGAUUCAAUUUGAAGCUUCUACCUUCUGCAUUAAUCAAACAAGUGCUCAAAAUGACUACUUCUUCCAAUGUCUGCUUCUUUCUGUCUUUGCUCAUUGCUUUAUCAUUUUCGAGCAUCCAAGAAAGCCAGGCGGCUCGCCAACUAUUGCAAACUUCCCCACCAGUGAUACCAGCAAUACCAACAUUGCCUCGUACAACCCUGCCAAAUUUGCCUACCACAUUGCCACCAUUAUCAAGUAUUCCUUUGCCAACAUUACCGACAAAUCUUCCACCUUUGCCAAAGCCCACAUUGCCAACUAUGCCCACAGUUCCUAAGGUGGCCCUCCCUCCCAUUCCAGCUGCAACUUCAUUGCCAAACAUUCCAUCCACAAUUCCUUCUAUCCCAACUAAUAUCCCAACGUCAUUUCCUUCAAUUCCUUUCUUCUCUCCACCGCCAUCCAACUAGACCAUUUUAGACAUGAACACGAUUCAGUGUUUGAAUUUGCAUAUUUGUCGUUCCUUCAGAUUGCUUAUCGAUACGAUUUCUUGUACUUGAAAUUUUUACAGUUUCAUUAGUCCGUCUAGCUAGGGAUCUUAUGAAGUAGACGGAGUUUGGAUUUCAUGUAUUGUGCCUUGGAGAUUGUAUUCGGAUUGUUUAUGUUAUGAAUUAUGAUGAGCUCUCUGACACUAUGAACGAGCACUUUUUUACGUAUGUUUGUUUCUUUUGCCAACUCUAAACAUAACUUUAAGUCAUAGAUAUGAAUGUGGGAGACAAAAGUUUUUAGUUUUGAGUUUUGGGAUCUAUAGCAACCGUUAUACCAGAAUACAUCUACGCUUAAAAUGGUGUACUCCCAAAAAAAAAAAAAAGAAAGAAGUUUUGGGAUGGGCAUAAUGAAGAGUUUCAAUAUGUAAGUUCUAUCAUCUGCACAAAUAAAUUGGAAGCUCAUGAUGUGUUAAUGUACAGACAUUUGGGAAAAUGUUGCGGAAUUUGUGUUUUUUUUUAUUUGAAAGAAUGAAAAUUCUAUCCAAUAAAGACUACAUUCACUUCACAAAAAAAAAAAAAAAAAAAAAAAAGAUUAGAUUCACCAGCUGUCUAAACUUUCAACUUAAAAAAAAAAUUAAAAGUCUUUGAUGAUUAAUUACCUUAUUAAGUCUCUCUUGCCAAUAAAAUCUUGAUUUAGUAGUGAAACAACACUACUAAACCACUUGCAUUAAGAGCUGAAUUCAUCCGAACAACCCAAAAGAUUCGUUUUAAAGAGAUAAAUAACAUAUUUUGCAAAAAAAAAAAAAAAAAGUGAUGCCAUAGCAAAAGUGUGAAAAAUAAAGGGGUUACACGAACACCCUCCAUCAGAAAAUUAUUACACGAAUGAAAUCUAGGUAUGAAUCAGUGAUUCAUAAGAAAUGUGAGAUAACUUUCAACAGUUAGAAUAUCCAAUUAAAAUUUCAUUAAUAGUUGAUAAAAGACUUGUUAAAAAGUCCUGGAAAAACCUAUUUAUAAACUAUAAAAGUUUAACCUAAAAAGAAAACAAAACACACGAAAAACUCUAAAACAACUAAAAGAUGCGUUGCAGCCGUGAUGACCCUUCAGAUAUAUUUAGUAACACUAGAUUUUUUGUUUUUUUUUUGGGGUAGGUUCGGGUAACAUGAUUUUGCUUCUUAGCUAGAAGUGACGGGUUCAAAUCUAUAUUCAAAAAAAAAAAAAAAAAAAGGACUGGUAAAAAGGCUUUUCAUCUGACGAUUUUUUAUGGGAUUUAAUUGCAGUAUUGUCAUCGCCAAUGGUUCAAGGGAUGGACGUGAAAAUGGCCACAAUUAUCUCAAGAAAAUUACUUCAGACUGAAUGCGAAGUUCCCCUGCAGACGAUUGAACAUGCAGUAAUCACUCUUGUUGUUGACAACCCAAUAUGCGAAGAUGAUGAUGAUUGUGAUGCAGUAUUCCAAAAAAAAAAAAAAAAGUAUGCCAGCAGGUGUAGCCUCAAACCCUGAAGUGAUUGUUCGAGAUAAUUCAUGGUUGGAACUUGGAAUCGAAACGCGAGAUCUGCUUUCUCUACAUGAAAAAUCUAAAUAAAAUCCUCAAUUUCGACAUAGUUCAGAUAAAUGUUUGAUAAGUCAAUUGUUGUACUUUGCAUCUUGUGACCAAGUCUGUAAUGCAAAUAAUAGGAAAUAAACCAAAGUGCAUUGCAGUACAAGGGCUGCUCAUGUCUGUUUGUAGUUUAAUUUGAAUAUUUCGUGCAAGUUAUAUGUACGUUCUCGACAUUAUUUGCAUGGAAUGUCGCUCAUGCUUUAAUUUGACCUUUAAUCCCUUUCAUUUUUAUUACUUGCAGUAGUAUUAAUACAAGGACUUUUACUUCGACUAAAUAAUAGGAGAUCGAUUAGUAUGAAAUGAGAAGCUCUCAAGAUACAGAGGGAUACUUAUGUUUUGAUGCCAUGAAAUGUACCCCUACCUCUUUUUAAAUUCCAACCUUCCCUUAUUAUUAAAAAAAAAAUUUAAAAAAAUAGAAAAGUAAGCUGUUUUUUUUUUAAGAGGACAACUUCACAUCACAAAUACAGUUGAACUACUCUUUCUUUUUUUUUUUUUUUUUCCUUCUCCUCGUCAAGUGUUGGCCUCAGUAUCGCUGCUGUUGGAUUGGAUUUUUCUCUCAAGUUUCUCUCCUGUAUUGACCUUACCCCAUUUCAGACUCUGUGGGGGAAUUCUUAAUAACCAAGUGUACACUUGCACACCAUAAACUGUUGGUAGUUCAUCAGCAUUCUAAUUCCAAACUAAUUCCAAGUUUAGUUGAGAAAGGCCAACUAAACCUAAUUCUACUAAUCCAACUACAUUCGAUCAAACACUUUCACCUCUAUGGCUAUCUAUAAAUAAGAGUCAAGAAACAAUAUGCGAGUCCCUCAACUCGAAACCAGAAAAAUACCCAUCUUGUACUUGCCGUAACACUUAAAAAAGUGUUUGCUAAUUUCUGAAUUUCAAUACAGGAUCAUUUACCAAUGGCUACAUCUUCCAAAGUUUGCUUUGUUCUGUCCUUGAUCCUAGCUCUAUCAUUUUCAAGCAUCAAGGUUUCUAACGCAGCUCGCUACCUUCUGCAGACGACGCCAGGAAUACCUACAAUGCCAUCGUUGCCCAAGUUGCCUCCAUUGCCUACCAUGCCAAGCUUCCCUACAGCCACAUUGCCACCAAUGCCAGCUACCCCUUUGCCCACAUUACCCACAAAUCUUCCAUCACUGCCAAAGCCCACAUUUCCGCCAUUGCCAAGCACUCAGCUUCCAACUUUGCCUACCAUCCCUUCCAUUCCCUCUAUUCCUACUACAAUUCCUACUUUACCUUUCCCCUCACCACCACCAUCAAGCUAGACAUUGAAAACGAAGCACUUGGAUUAUUUAUCAUCAUCUCUUUACUGGGAAGUCUGGAAAUCCAUGAAGAUUAUCGAUCAUUUCUUUUUUUUUUUUUUUUUGGUGGCUCCAGCCAUAUUCGUAUGUUACUCGUACUAUGAUUGCGGCGUUGUAUCUUUGUUACUCAUACUAUGAUUGUAUUAUUGGAUAUCUGUUACUCAUACUAUGAUCGUAUUAUUUGAAACCUUUCUUUCACGGGGUCUGAGUAUCUGGUUAAGAUUUGACCGACAGCCAUCAGAAAUCUAAUCUCAACAACAUAAAAGCGGUUCUUUGGUUACAUUCUUUGAAUUAAUUGCUUUUUUUUCUGAAAGACGAAAAUAAAAUGCAAAUCUAAGGCUGUGAACGAAAACACUAAGGACUACUAUCACCGACAACUGUGUACUGGGGCAGUAGCAAUUCAGUCCCUUUUACAAUCCAAGCAUUCAGGUGCAACAUACUUGUCUAGAUUGAAAUCAGGCUUCAUGUGAAAGUUGAUGGAACUUCAUCUUGGAGACCCCAAAAAAGAGAGAGAGAGAGAGAGAGAGAUAGACAAGCAAAACAUGAGAGGAAUAUUACUUUUCAUGCACUUUUGUAGUCUGGAUGUAAAUCUUGUCAUCACAUCUUUGAUAAAUAUGCUGUUUAUAUCACAAUAGUGAAUUGAAAUAGAUUAAAAUUUUUUAUGUUUUUUGGUUUAAAUGAGAAUUUUGUUCACCAGUUAAUAUACACAAGCUGUGUGUUCAAGCAAUGACGAGUUUGGGUCCUCUUAAUUGUUGUAACUUCUAGAGCUGUUUGGUCGUAGUUGUGCAAGCAACUCAUUAACAUAAAAUAACUAUGUUGACCACUUCAACGAUUUUUAUAUAAUUCAUUAGGAUAUGGUACAUGUAUGUAUUGUGUGAUUUGAUAUUAUUAUCACAGUCGAUUUUUGUACUUUUUACAUAAUAUGAUAUGGUAUGCAUUUACACAAGUUAUUGCACUGAAUUUCUUACGAGAUGGAGUGCAAAAGAACAAAACGUACAGAAAAAAUAAAAUAUGGCUCACAUGUACAAUCACAUGAUGUAAACUUGCAUCAAAAAAUUAUGUAACAAAUACAGUAGUAUAGAACUGCACCUACCGCAAUGGUACUUGCAUCAUUUCCAUUUUAUCUGCAUCAGAAAGGAGCUACAAAAAAAUGCUAAACUAUUAUUAGCAAGUUUCGCAACUCAUCCAAAGAAAUCCAAACGGAUGUACAUCAUCCUUUGAAUUUUUGGUCUUAACUUUCCCAUUAUGGUAUGUGUGUGUUUGAAAAGUAAAAGCCGAAAACAAGAGGGGACUUUGAAGCAGCUGACGAGUUCCACGCAUGCAGUUGCUAAGAAAACCCCCCCAAUGUAGUGUUACCAUUGCGAAAUCAGUUUCCAGGUGUACAGCACUUUUGCUACCUGUCACCAUUUCAGCCCCUUCGCCAUGAAAUUUUUCCAAAUCAUAUCUCAAAAACUCAUCUAAAACCUGAGAAACCAUAAGUCCAGAUUGAGAAAAUGCCAAGAACCCACCGCACUGCAAUUUUCUACUGAUAAUCUAGACACCAACGUCAUAUUCUAAUCAAUGUAUCAAGCUCUUCAAGCACAUAUCAUGAAAUCCUUCUGGUUUCCUUCACUAUAAAUAGAGCUUGAAUGAACUAGUAUUUUCCUAACAUCUUCAGUAUCUCUUUUGUAAGCCAGAAAGCACAGGAAAAAUGAAGUCCAGAGCGUUUAUUUUGGUUGCACUUCUAUGUGCUCUAUUUCUUCUCGUUUCUUCCACUAUGGCUGUUGAUACACCCAAGGAUGGAACAAAGGGUAAGAAAAUACUAGUACCAAGUAGCUAUGCUUAUGUUUUUGCAAGAUUUCCAUCGGUCAUUAACUUGAUUUUCUUAUUUUUCAAUAGAAAUAUCAUACGAUCUCCGUAAAUGAAUAGUAUGGAUUAUAGGAUGAAUUACAAAUGUUUGCCUGGUUGACAAUUAUUGUUUGCAGAGGACAAGGCAAAGGAACCCGAACAAUAUGGAGGUCGGUGUCGUUAUGGCUGCUGUGGUCGUCGGGGCCCCUAUGGUUGUAGUAAGUGCUGCAGAACAGGUAAUAGUUGCACCAUUCAAAGAAACAGGAUUUAAAUGCGUGAACAGUAUUUGUAACUUAAAAAGUUGUGUUGUCCAUGUAGCUAAUGAAGCUGAAGCAACCCAAGUAAACGCUGACAUCAAUGGCAAUGAAGGCGGUGGACAUGGUGGUGGCGGCGGCUAUGGAGGUGGUGGCGGCGGACAUGGUGGUGGCGGCGGCUAUGGAGGUGGUGGUGGUGGCAGCGGAGGUGGUCAUGGUGGGGGAGGUGGUCAUGGUGGUGGAGGUGGAUAUGGUGGGCACUGCAGGUACGGCUGUUGUGGUGGCUAUGGCAAAUAUUGCAGGUGCUGCUACAACCCUGAAGAAGCUCAAGCUUUUGUACAAAAUGAGAACUGAGCCAAGCCAUAAAUCAAGGAAACUUCCAUGUACAAGUUUGCGUGAAUAACUACAUGGUUGAAUGUUGAUCUUAUGACAAAAAUAAAAUACUUAGUACAUGUGCUUCUGUGCUUAGCACAUAUGUAAGGAAUAAAAAGUUUCAGUCAUCAUUUGAUGAUGUGAAUUUCAACAAGUGUCCUUCAAUCCCAUGCCUGGAUUUUUUUUUUUUUUUUUUUUUUUAAAUUUGACAUCUGCUACUUGUCAUGUUUGUCUUUGCUCUUAACAUUUGCACUUGAAUGCUCCAGUCAAAAUUUAAGUAAAUUUGUGAAAUAAAUAAAAAUAG